GCUCCUCCCCUCGAGAGUCGCAACCUGCCCUUUCCCAAUCUCGCCGCCAAAUUCUCCGGCGAGACGGCCAUGGAGGUCCCACCUUUUGCUCGCCCCAAUCGAGCCUCGCCGUUGGCUUGGGAAGCGGAUUUCCUCGAGAGGACAAAUCUCACCAUGUCGACGGUGGAGUACGCGCUUCCUACCGCAAUCAUGACGUCGCCAUCCUUCGUCGCGGAAGGCGCUGGAGGAAGCCAGAUUUGCGCCAUGUAUUCCUUUCAAGCCUUCAGUGAAAUGAUAAACGAGAGGAACGCUGAGCCCGGGAUGAUCGACGUCUUCCUACUCCCCCAUCUUCCCCUCAAUGACGUCUCCGAUGUGUACGACCAGAUCGGCAGCGGCGACGCCCCCUACCGCAUCUCAAAUGGCCCCAUGCUUCUCAACAAGGUCAAUGCUUAUCGCGAGCUGAUUCGCGUGGGUAAAGAGCUGGCGCCUCUGGAGGGUCUCAUGAAAAGCCUUGAGGACGAGCUGCUUGUCCGUCUUAAUAGCAUUGUCUCUAUACUCAAAUCAGAUGGUGAAGACAUCCCGUUGCCACUUGACAUGUCUGCAGCAACUCAGCUUCUAUUCAAGUGGGAAUCUGAUUUUGUCGAGGCCUGUGAGAUGGCAACGAAGGCCAGACGCCGCCUCAUGCUGGCAACUCUUCUGGCAAUGUUCUGGUCCUCCAGUGACGACUUUGUGGAGAAUGAAUUCUCAGUCAGGGAGGGUGAUGCAAUCUCCAUGAGUCAUGUACAAGAGACUCUCCAAAGGUUGGCUCCAGAUCUUUACCAGAAUGUGUUUGGCGCCCUCAAUGAGGUACACUAUACAGAGGAUGGAAGGCCACCGAAGAGUGUAGUUGUUUCGCUCAAGAGGCUAAUUACAGAGAUCACAUCCGAGAUGACACCUACUGAGUUCGUAGCAUUCUCACUGGAGACGAGUCGCAGGGACUUGAUUCACCAGCUAAGUGAUGUGUCCCACCAGGAAUUUCGCUUGAAGGUCUUGAGGUCUCUUCAGUCUGUGGCAUCUGCUUUAAUCCACCUCCACAUGCUGGAUAAAGAGAUGUUGGAGCCCCACCUCUCACGGCCAACACUCUUGGGGUGCAAAGGUAAAAUUUAGCAUUAGCAUUGUUGAUGCUAUGACGUGUACGGCCCUGGAUCGUUUGUAACUAUCUUAUAUUGUGUGUUCUAGAUUAUUCACCGCUAAACCAGGAUCCAUAUUGGCCCCAUUUUCAAGUUUUAUCAGAUGAGGAAUUAAGUGUUGAAGUCCGUCGAGGCUCCCUGCCAAUGUUCUGAGGUAACACUUUGAUUGUUACUUUUGUUCCACAAAAAUAUGCUAUAUUGCAGAAAUGGACUGGUUUCAAAAGUAUUUGUAUAAAUAUACUAUUUUUAUACUGGGCUUGAAAGACCGGUAUAAAAAGAGAAGGGGUAGCGAGCAGCCGUAAAGAGUAGAAUGGUAGCGGUUUAUGAGAUAACAAAAAGUAUAAAAGAAAAUUGUAAAGAGUAUUCUCCUCGCAUCAGGAAUUCGAGUCAUUGUAUGAUCCAUUUUGCUGAGUAUAUUCCUUCACAAGUGUGGUUUGUGCUUUUAUAGUCUCACGUCUCAGCAGUCAGCACUAAAGUACAAAUGUGAUAGUAUAAUUGAAGAUUUUCUUAUCAUGCAUUCGUUCCUAUAUGCAUCUUAACCUUUCUGUCAAAUAAUUGUUUGUCUCACUUUUGAGUCAUUUUCCUGACUGUUUAUUGUCAACUUCGUUCAUUUGUAUAUGCAUUGAGCAGAGCAGAUAGUCUUCUUCUCUUCAAGACAAGACAUUUGUCAGGAUCUCUCUAGGUCAUUGAGGGCUAGCAUAUUGGUCAAAACAAUGUAAAAGAACCUCUUAAACUGCAUAACAGAAAUUUCAACUCUAAUCCCAUCAACUAACCCUGUUUAUGUAUAUAGUUAUUCCAUUAGUUUGUUGCUACUCUUAAGACAUGGCUUUAUUUUUUUCUCAUUGGCUUGCCUUUAUGAAGUGGCGUAAAAGUUGAAUACCCUAUGUAUUGUAGCGGUUAUGCAUAUUGUUUUGAUAUGCGAUGCCUGCUAACGUGUCUUUUGAAUAUAGCAGAAAUCUAUGCUGUGCAUCUACUGAUUUAUUCGGUGUUUACUGAGAUGCUAUGUUUACUUUUUUGUCUACCUUACGCCUGUCGUGCAGGUUUGAUUUUUGUGCAAAAGGAGGUGAAGAACUAGAGGAAAGUGAAGAGGAGAGAAAAGUCGAUGUUGUUUGAAAGCUUCAUGCCAUAUUGCGCCCCUUCCUUCUAAGGCGGAUGAAGGUGGAUGUAGAGCAAAUGCUUCCAUGAAAGAAAGAGAUAAUCAUUUAUGCUAACAUGACUGACAAUCAGAAACAAAUCCAAAAUCACUUGGUUGAACAAACAUUUGAUGAAUACCUGCAUGAAAAAUCAGAAAUUGGUACGGAUGCUUAUGCACAUAGUCUCCUACACACAUUCCUGUUGGCUUAAAAAGUUAAUCCAACAAGUGCUGAGUAUUGCAGUUCUGUGUGUUGUAACACGAGGCCAACACCAUUCCUCCCAUUCGGUCAAAACACUAACAACAAAGGAGGUCGUGAAGACUCCCAAGUGUUCAAGGCAGAAAGUACCUUUUCGCAUGGUAAAAUACUCUCGAAUGGGAAAGUAUCUUCGAUUCUUCGUGCCUGCCGUAUCUGAAAAUUAAGGUAGAGCUGGGCUUAAAUUUUCCAUCAAUGUUCAAACUGCCAACGGUUCUGCGUAUCUCGGCGUACGGCCGACUUCUAUGUUCUAUCCACCUGACCUCGGUGCACAGCUGCGCCUGCAUGCGUCAGGCCCGCAACGCACAUGACGUUGCGUUUUGCACGAUUUGGUCCACUACUGUUUCUUUUGCGUGGAGGAUAGCCUCAUCAAUCAUCCAAGUGCUUUGCGCCGCGGCACGGAAGUCGAAGUCAUCAUGUGUACAGGUUGUACUCGUAGGAGUAUCUUGCAACUGCAGCUCGUUCAUUAGAUCGAUCGUGUGUCGCCGAUGAUUUUUGCCGUGUACACAGAAUUUUGUAGCGGAACAGGUUGGCUCGCUCUGCUGAAUUUCGUCCCGUCCAUCGCCUAACCAGGCCAGACAUUCGUGACGCAGGUCUGCAGCUGCGUCAUGAAGAGAGAUGCAUGCAUUUCCAUUCAAUGCUGACGGCUCCGCCGUGCUGGACUCGUUCGUGCUCGCCGGCCGCCGAUCGAGUCCGCUCCGGUGAUGCGAAAUAGAAUACCGAGUAGCAAGAUACUCCGUAUACAGCAGUUGUUUCCCUCCAUCCAAAUACUACUAUCCACAUUACCUAAUAAGCCAAAACGCUUUAUUACAAAAUACAAAUUAAUUUAUAAGUAAAAAUUUUCUAUAUGUGUUGUUAGCGAUUUAAAAGUCAAAACUAUACUUAAAAAUAUCUUAAAAUUAAAUUCAAAAUUAAGUUUAAAAAUUUAAAUUUUAGCUUUGAAUUUGGUUUAUUAUUAGAAGCCCUAAGGCUGACGCCUAGUUCAAUAGAGCAACUUUACUCCUUUUCAUUACCAAGUUUCCCAUACUGCUAAACAUUAUGUUUUAUGUAACAAACAUUUAUAUAGAAUUUUUUUUAAAAAAAUCAAAUUAAUUUAUUUUUAAAAUUUAAAUUAAUUAAUCCUAUGCUAACGAUCUGUCCUAUUUUCCAAAUCGCCAUCAACUCUAGCUGUUCGUUUUGGGUGUUGCGUAUGGAAACUUCGUGUCACAUAAAACAAGAUGAAUCGUUAGAACAUGAUUAAUUAAAUAUUAUUAUUAUAAAUUUGAAUUGAGUUUUUUUAAAUAAACUCAUAUGUAAAAUAUUAAAUGUUGCGUAUCGUUUAUCAGAAAUAGUAGCAGCGGUCCAAGUCAUUUCCAGUGUGCCCUCGCUAGUCGGUCUCCCCUGGCGAUGGCUCCGCACAACGGGCGAAGGCCGGAGGCGGGGGCUUCACGCGAUGGCAGCCGGCGGCAGGGGCUUUGCGUGACGGCGGCCGACAGCAACGAUACCGAUGGUGGUGGCUUUAGCUUCAUGCAGCGCUAGCUGAGCAUGGGACUUCACAAGAGAUUAGGCUGGUAAUCCUCCAGCGAUACUACACCUCGAGCUCAGGCGACCAAAAUCGGUCACCUGACUCAGGCCAGUGACAUGCCAGGUUUCAUCAGGCCAGGCGAGUGGAAAGGGGGUUUAGGGUGGCAACCAAACAGAGAGUAAAAUAACUUAGGCUUUUGUCUCAGGCCAGGCAAAUUUUUCUCAGGAUAGCAAUCAAACAAACCCUUAUUCAUUUGAGAGUCUAAACCAGAAUAAACACUUGUGUUCGUAUGCUUAUACGAUCUUGCGUAGGCCAAUGUACCGCGCGAGGCCGCCGACGCCGACGACGACGACGCAGUCCAAGUCCAACGACACUCGUGUAGUCGUGUGCCACUGGAUUCCCUAUUGUUCGUACGCGCGCGCAGUAAUUGGUAGGGUUCAGCCAUUUAGCAAAGGUUUCUCGACCUAUGAUGGACCGAUGGUUGGUCGCUGGGGCGUUCCACCAGCCAAUUUGGCGAGGAACAAAGUGACAAACUUGGAUUGGAUUUGAAUUAGUAGGUUCAACUAUAUGAACAACUUGGAAUGCUCGUGAAAAGAACGUACGGGCCACUAAAGCCAUCAUCACAAAUGAUAAUUACAUAAUUUUUUUAAUAAGAAAAAUGAUCAGACGUAUCUCAGAAAAUCAAAUCAUAUAUUAAAAAAAUGUUUGGGUAGAGGACAAUAUACGCGUAGAAAUGAUCACGUGAAAUAACUCCUAUUGUAUAUAUAUAGUGGUAGUAGUCUCUCCGGGUUCAUAAUUCUGAUCAUUUUGGACAUGAGCAUCAAUCUAAAAAAACUUUGACCAUUAUUUUCCAUUAUAAUAGAUAUAAAAAUAUUAACAAAUAUACGGUUUUAUUAAAGUACUUUUUAAGACUAAUCUAUACAUAGUCACCUUAUUUGAAAGACAAAUAUUUUUAAAAUGAUUCAUAAUCAAAUAUUUUAAAAUUUGCCCUCACCCUUGUCUAAAACAAGUAUUUUAAAGAAAACACUGUUGUGCUGAUAGUAGCUUGAUUCGUUCAUGGAAUUAAUAUAUGCUUAGGCUAUUUAAGACUUUUACAGCCGCAGUACCCCUCAAUUCCCCCAAAUUGUCGUGUCGUGGAACGUUUGUGCUUGCACGAGUGCACGGUACAGGUACAGUGCAGGACCAUGCUGCACAGAGAGGACAUCACGCGUGCUAAUCCAUUGCAAAUUAUUGGAUUUCAUCAAUUUAUUGUAAUAAAUUAUUAGUCAAAGGCAAAGACUGCAUCUUGGAGUGAGCUGACGUCAAAAACCAUAUUUCAUGCGGCUUUAUCUCACAAAACAGUGAGGACACCCUGAAACUCCUGCCUCUUAAGAAGCUCUUUGGCAAUCCUGCGGCCUCUUUCCUCCAACCAAUCAACCGUCGGGAGACCCUUAAUUCUAACCAUCGGAUCCAUGAUCAUACAGUCAAGUCUACUAGCACAACGACGAAUGUGGUGUGCUAGCUCGAUCAGCCCCUGCCAAUGACAGGCUCCAGACAUGACCACCCUCUUGAGCUUGUCAUGCCGAUACGGUAGCAUAUCCACUCUGAUCGCCUGUCUGAUGACGAAAUCAGAGAAGCGAAACUGCACGCAACAAAUCAGCGCACUUGUGAGUUCCAUCGCAUAAUGUUUCCGUCAGUAAUUCAUCCAAUGUUUGGAAUGCAUGAAUUUAUGGAAGAAGAAAAACUAAUUGGAAGGAAAAAAAAAGCAAACACAAAAGUCAAAACCAGAGUGUUUGGAAUCGGGUCGGUGCUGUUUUAUGAGCAGCAGCAACAACAACACCAACAACAAUAAUUAUAAAUUAAUAAUAAUAAUAAUGUACUAAUAUGUUGUCCUCAGAACAGAUGCUAUCCUAACGAAUCUACCCUCAUAAAUCUAAUAGCUUUUAUAUAACAUAUUGUUUUAAUCUAUUUUUAAAAUUUUUCUUAUAAGCAUAGAUUUCAAGAUGAAAACUGGAAGACAUCAAAUCACUCUAACCCUACGGUUUCCCAUUUCAAACUAAAGGAGCACACCUGCAGCUUAAGAAUAGGAUCAUCACAAUUGCCAAUAAUUUUUAUAAGGUGCCAACACAUUUCAAAAUUUAAAGAGUAAAUUUCAUAAAACCCCACCUAUUAUGGUCUAAGUUGCACAGAACCACAUGGAUUUUAACAUGUCACACAUAACCUCAAAUAUUAUAGUCCUAAAGUUUCACAAAACCACGCCGUUAACCAAAUUGACAUACUCCUAUAUCAAAAUUUUAAAAAGAUUUACUUACAUGGAUCUAACAUUUAUAUGAUGGAUAAAUCUCUACUAUUAUAAAAAUUGAAGAUGUUUUUGCCGAUACUUUUGGUACGUCAUUCGUAUAUGAAUCGGUUUUCAAGUUCGUUCGCUUUUGGAAAUACAGAAGGAGUCGUAUAAAAAAUCUCUUUAAAAAUUUCGCAUGCUAACUUGAGAUGAUUGGACUCCUAAUUGCAGCUCAUGAUUUUCUAGAAAAAAAUAUAUAUCCACGAGAAUUCUCAGAGUGAUUUUCAUCUUAACUAAACUAGAGUAUAUAAUAAUAAUAAAAUUAAAAUAGCCUUCAUCCGUUGCAACGCACGGGCAUUUUUUCUAGUAAAUUAUAAAUUUGAGAUGUGAUUGUAGAACUAACAAAUGUGGUAAAUCAAUGUUGAAAUGAUCAAAAUCGUGGUUUUGUGAAACUUUAUGGCCAUAAUACCUAAGGUUAUGUGCCACAUGCCAAAACCUUUGGGUUUUGUGCAACUUAGACCAUAAUACCUAGGGUUAUGUGAAAUUUACUCAAAUUUGAAACAAUCCAAUAUUAUAUAUAGACUCUGUGACAUAAAUGGGAUGAUACCAUUAAAUAUGCAUAUGAAAUUAUUCCCAUAUUAUCAUGACUUUGUAAUUACAAAACAACAGUACAAUGCAAAAGAAAGUAACACUCAAAGGUCAAAUUGUAAUUGUGGCUUCAAAAUAUUAAAAGAAGGAAUGGUUCUAGAACAUUAUGCCAAUAAAGAAUCCAACAGGCUUCGAAAUAUAAACAAAAUUGUAUUGUAUCACAAAAUAAUAAGGUAAUAAAGCAUGGUAGUCUCUAAUUUCCAAUAGAUAGAAACUUUGUUACCCUUUUGUAUUUUUCAACUAUAAGAUCAAAAUCGACCAACUCCAAAUUUAAGCAAUGUAGUUGUAGCUUUAGAUGAAUGAAAAUAACAAACAUACAGGAAAUUGAAAAAUAAAAAGAUUUGUUUUAGAUGAAUGAAAGAAAAGUAGGUAAUAGAAAAUAACAAGGAUGACGCUGUGCCACCACAAAAAUGUCUACACAUAAUGCAUGUUUAAGAAAUUGUGAACAGAUUUUGAAGUUGUCAAAGCCACUCACGUGCAGUUCCAGUUCCUCUAGAACUGGAGCGAGCUCCAAGAGGUAGGCCAAACGAAGAAUCCCACCAACUGACCUGCCGUCCCCAUAAAGAGGCAAAUACAAGCUCAGAUGCCUCAAAUUGAUGAAUCUCACUGAGGUUUUGGCAAAACUUUGCAACUGAAACACAACCAUGAUAGUCAAGGUAUGGAUGAGAUGACAAACAGAUGUCUAACUGAUUAAUGAAUUUAGUUGCUUUCAGAAAGAGAUAAAACCUCAUCGUAGAUGCAGAGUGUCGAGGUAAUGGAGAGUUUCUGCACAUGCGGAAGAGCGGCAGGAAGCUCGGUGCAGAUGUAGUCCAGAUUAUCACCAUAAAGCACGCUCUUAUGUAGCAGUUUAAUGUUUGCCUCCAUCACCUUCAGAGAUUCACUUAGUGCCAACGGAAUUGGCCGAUUGGUCAAAUCGACCGAUGUGAGGUUUGGAGCUUCCAGCUCAACCUUUUCCAUGUAGCAGUAGUGCAAAGAAAGAUAACGCAGACGGCGCAGUGGCUUGCACAAGGUUAGCUCAGUGAAGGAAGAGCAGCUGAUGCUCAGCCACUCAAGAGCAGUGCACUCCGACAGCAUCAGAUGUUGGAAGUCAUUUAAAAAGGAAACUUUGUGCAGGGUGAGCUUCUUGAGGUUUGCAAAGCCAGUGAAACCAGUGGUUGCUGUGUUCAACCAGACGUAGCUCAGAUGAAGGGAUUUGAUAUGAGCAGGGGAGCGGUCAGGGACACUGAAAACAUGCAGGUGGAAGAUGUACUUUUCAUCAGCUAAGCCCCUGAAAAUACCCUUCACUCCAGGAGUGAAAUCAAAAGUGAUGUGCCUUGCUCUCAACUUGGAGCAGAAGCCAACCCAUCUGUUGACAUGGCAGGUAUGUUUCCUGCGCAGCCCAAACUUAACAACAAACUUAUUCAGGGUAGGAGGUGCACAUAGCUGCCGCAAAAGACUGUUGACUCUCCUGGCAAAGUUGGUCCUUGUACGUCUUAUGGUUUUAUUCCCAGGCUUGAACAUGGUGGCCCUGGUGAAGAUCAAUUUCGGGCAGCAGCUUCUCCACAGUUUCUGCCACUUGCGAGAAAGAAGGCCCAUCCGUGAGGACUCUCUGAAUGUUAAUCGAGACAGUAUGCGGUGCAGGACAUCCUGCACAUUCGUAGGUAGCAUGUUACGGAUUAAUUACCGAGUAAACUGAUUCAUUACUAAGUAAAGAGUUCGCUCAUUCUCUGGAAUCAUUUAGCAGAUGUGUAAGUGUGAAAGGCACAUUGAAUUAAUUGCUUACAUCGGGCAGAUGGUGAAGUUGCAGGGCUUCUGGCUUGGUCAUGGGAACAGAUUUAUCUGGUAUGAACAUGCCAGAUCAUGAGAAUACAAAGAUGUAACUCCCAAAAUAAGCAUUGGGUAAUGCCUUGCUUGGAUGCCUCCCCCCUCCCCCAAAAAAAAAAAAAAGUACAGUUGAACCCAAAAAGCUUUUUUGGGAACAAACUGUAAUUAGUACUGAGGUUAAGGCAAAGAGAAAAGCUUCUCAGAUCUAGAACAGAACAUAAGGUAAGACAGAAAAGGAGGAUGUGCGUACAGGUGCUCACCGGCGACGAGAGGAUGCAGCUGAAGGAAGCAGCACUGCUCGCGGGAUGGAGAUUGGUGCAGGUGGCUGGCGAAGUCGUCACGAGACAGGAGAGAGUCGAGGCAGAAGAUGCAUCAAUACACCACCCAGAAGCCGUUUCGGUAUUGGAUAUCAGAAAAGAUACAGAUCAAAAUAAUUUUCGAUACGGCUUUGAUACGGAAUCGAUCCUUCCCUCCGGAAAAAAUCUCGAUUUCGAACCCCAAAAUUCUUCUCUUCACCAAAAAGAAGAAACAGAAAAACUCCUGACACACUAAAAAAAAUCAAAGCUGCGACAAACUUUCCUGGUCGCGUCGGGGAGGAGCGGCGUCUAUAUUCUGAGAGCGUAAGGCUGCCGGUGAAGAGCCAAUCCCAGUCUCCUGUCCUCUUCUCACUGCUCCACUUCCCUCCCGAGAGCUUCUUCCCCUCCCGGCUACCCUCAGUAGUCCUUCUCGAUCUGGCCUGAAGGUCACCGGUGGCAAUCCCCAGCCGCCAGAUGCCACUCCUCCCCGACGCGACCAGGAAAGUUUGUCGCAGCUUUUUUUUUAGUGCGUCAGGAGUUUCUCUGUUUCUUCUUUUUGGUGAAGAGAAGAAAGAGAAGAACUUUGGGGUUCGAAAUCGAGAUUUUUUUUUCCAGAGGGAAAGAUCGAUUCCGUAUCAAAGUCGUAUCGAAAAUUAUUUUGAUUUGUAUCUUUUCUGAUAUCCAAUACCGAAACGGCCGCUGGGUGGUGUACGGUGCAUCUUCUGCCUCGACUCCUGUCUCGUGGCGACUUCGCCAGCCACCUGCACCGAUCUCCAUCCCACGAGCAGCGCUGCUUCCUUCAGCCGCAUCCUCUCAACGCCAGUGAGCAACAGGCAAAUCAACAAAAUUAUGGGGAAUGUCAAAAAAAUUCAAAUUCAAGAGGAACAGGCAGUGGACAGAUAAAGCAAGAAAGAAAUUUACGAGAGAAGAUCAGAGAGUAUACCAGCACUUUCUUUGCGCUGCUGGGGAUGCUUGACUGCUUGAGACGAUGUCAGUUGUGGACGGCGGCACCCUCGGCCUCCACUGCCCCUGCCCGAAUCUCAAAGCUUGGGAGGUGAGGCUGGGCAAGACCUGGUUACCACUGCCCGAGACUUCUAACUGCCUAAAUAAUUAGGAAUUUCGGAAUGUAGUCUCUAACAACAAAUUGCCCUUAGUGGCAACACAAAAAAGGAGCUUAUUGACCAAACAAAAGGAGUACCGAACAAAAGGACAAAAUUAGGUACCUGAAAUAAGGUGUACCAUCAGAACAGUAAGAAAAAAUUUGCAUGGAUUCAAAACCUCAAGCUUCUUUUCAUCAUCUAGCAAAAUAAUUGGAAUAUUCAUAAAUGAACAGUAAUAAACUGAAUUUCAUGAUCUUAGAGGACACAAUUAAUGCAGGUGUAAAGCAUUCAGUUAAAAAUAUAAUAUGCUAAAAGGUUAAAGAUUUUUUUUCCAGAGCAUCUCACAGCAACACAUUCUUAUAAGACAUGGCAACUCAGAGAAAAUGGCUUCAUAUUAGCUUAUCUGGUUUAAACUGUAAUGGUGGCCUUAAAUAAAGAGAGAAUUCAUUGACUUCAUUCUAUACCCCCUAAGUUUACUCUAGUUCAAUGAUUUGUCAUCAACUUUGUCUCUCUCUGCAAUAUGCCACUGACUUUGACAAUUUUUUCUACAAUAUGCCAUUGGGGUGGAUACUUUUCAAAAAAUGCCUAAAAUAACCUUCAAGCUAUACAAGGGUUGCCAAUCAAUUGACUCAUUAUAAGUUUUGAAAAAAAAAUUGAAAGUUUUAGUGUAGCCUUCUUAUAUACGAUACAAAGUUUGUAUGUAUAUUUUAAGAUUUUCUUCAAUGUUUUUUUUUUUGAAAAAAUAUUCUUAUGUGGCAUAUGAAAGAUGAAUCAUACAUAAAAUAUAGCGAGAUUAGAAAAAUAAUUUUGUGUAGCAUAUGAAAGAUGAUUUACAUAAAAGAACUCAACGUUACAGUAUUCCAUUAGCAUAUGAAACAUAAAUUAUAUUUCCAAAAAAAUUAAUCCAAGCAAGAAUAAUUGAAGCAUGAGUACCAAAUGAAAAUGAUAAGCACCAAAUCUGGAUCAGCAUGAGUACCAAAUGGAAAUUGAUAAUCAGUAGUUGAUAAUCAGACAGUUCCCUAGCCAGAGCACAUUCUGUCAACUACUACCAAACAAAUAAUGUGCAUGUAAAGUCCUACAAAUACCAGGUUAUUGUGUAUGCUUGACCAAUGAGAAGUUAUUUAAAUGAGAGGCACCUUAGCACUUAGCAGCUAGACAGCUGAACACAUUUGGAACAAAGGCAGAAAGUGAGACACCUGAACAGAACAAAUUGUUAAGCUAUUUCUAAAAUCUAGACCUCAUAUUUAUCCAUCCAAAUGUUGUGCCUAUUUACAUUCUGAACUUUAAACUUAUUAUAUACAUAUUCUGAAAUAUAUACCAUAUGCUGAAUCAGAAUAACAUAAUGAUCGCGCAGAGUGGGUAGCAAGCACAGUAAGAAAUAGUGCAGAAGUUCAGAAGAGGACAACUGGCAUUACCUUAAUUGCAUAGGAUGUUGAGCAGCAGUGACCUGGAGCAGAUGCUACGAGAAAAUGUAAGCUGUUAAAACAAUGACAUUCAAUUAGAAACCAAACUAUCUGUUUUCCAAUGGCUGAGAUUAUAAAGUGUACUGCAUUUUUUAUACAGAAAUAUUGUAGUCCUUAUAUCCAAAAGUUGGAGCUGCAAUAGUUUAACCACAAAUAAGUGUGUGACCUUAGGAAUUAAUGUACAAUCAGUAUAGUGCUGGCUAGUUUUAGCUAAAUAAAAUAAUUUAGCUAUGGAAUAUGCCAUUUUUCACUACAGUUCCAUUGGAGGUUGUUUAACAGAGUAAAAACAAUCGAUGCGAGAUACUACACUAAACCGACCCCUGCAGCCGGCAGCUGUACACCGAGCCAACCAAAUGAAAUCAGAUCAGAACCUCUGUCACUAUUCAUAUUGGAAAUUUCAGUUAGCCUUAUUUACUUGAAUAAUAUAAACAAGAGCUAAUGGUAUACUAUACUAUAUGGGAUCCAAAUCGCUAGGCAAUUAAACGUAUCGUCAGAAAGCAUCACCUUUUCAUAGCCUGGCCACAGGCGUCAGUGCAUAACAACAUCUUCUCAACUUGAAUGUAUGCAUCACAUAUCCACAGACAGGAAGCAAAAAGCAAAUACCUGAUGAAAUCUUAUCGGUCUUUUCCGGGUAAUACCUCGAUUUGGCAUGCUGUACUUCUCCGCCAGGAAGCCAACGACGAUGCAAGGACCCGGGCAGCGUAGAGGGGAUGUUAGAGACGCGGCGGCAGUGAGUCCCCACGCGCCGGCGGGGCAGGGAAGGCCACCUCCGCAGAUCGGCCUCAGCCCUCAGCGGCAGUGAGAGGGUUUCACCGAUGGUGUGGGGAGGGGGAAGGAGCGGCGGCGGGACUGAGGGGGCGGUGGCGGCGCGGGACGGAUCUGCGUGAGUCUAGGGUUUCGUCGGUAGUGGUAGUGGUGGCGGUGGCGGUGGCGGCGGGACUGAGGGGGCGGGGGCGGUGGCGGCGCGAGUCGUGGCGGGAGGGAAAGGAGCGUAGGGGAGACGGUCGUGAGGAGGGAGGGGCGCGCGCGGUUUGGGGGAGCGAUCGAGGGGUAGGUCUGAUGCACGAGUUUUCGCGGUCACCGGCGCGAGCGAACGAGAAACCAUAAAAACCGGGAAAAAGUAAACGGAACGUCUCCCAACUUGUCAUCAGGAUAAAAAACAUCAUCGAUCCGCAAAAGAGAUCCUUUAACUAUAUAAAACCGGUCUUAAUAGGUCCAUUAGCGGUUUUGAUCCCGGUUUUAUCCUACGUGGCUGCUGAGUCAUCGUGGGCCCUACCUGUCAACCUCCUAUUUUUUCCCCUCCUCUCUCACUCUGGGCAGGCCGGCCGAUUAGGUGGGGAGGAAGUCGGCGGCGGCGGCAGCCUCCUCUCCGUGCUCGCCGACGAGGAGGAGCGGCAGGCAACCACGGCGGCGGAGCUGGAGCCACAUGCGCGGCCGGCAGAGACGCGGGGCGGGUGGAACGCGUUGGCGUCGGCUCAGGGAGCAAGGCGGCGGUGGAGGUGACGACGCGGUCGCAGGGGAGGGGCAUCGGCGGCGGGGAGGGGAGCAAGGCAGCGGUAGCAGCCUCCUCUCCAUGCUCGCCGACGAGGAGGAGCGGCGGGCGAUCGCAGCGGCGGAGCUAGAGCCACACGCGUGGCCGGCGGAGGUACGUGCGUCAUGGUAGCUAAGGGCUCCCAUCGAUCUUGUAACAUCCCGGCCUAGAGUUUAAUAGAAUUAAUAGAAUACUCAUAUCAACAAGUUGCAACUUCUUUUUCGAAAGCCGAUCUCCAAAGAACUCCAAGGUUAAGCGUGCUUGGCCUGGAGCAAUUUAGGGAUAAACUGUAGCAUCACAUAGGCUAAUCAUGGAUUAAUUAGGCUCAAUAGAUUCGUCUCGCGAAUUAGUCCAAGAUUAUGAAUGGGUUUUAUUAAUAAUCUACGUUUAAUAUUUAUAAUUAGUGUCCAAACAUUCGAUGUGAUAGGGAUUUAAAAGAUUUAGUCUCGUCUAAACAGGUCUAAGUGCGUAUGACCGUGCGUCGAGUGUAAAAUUGGAAGAUUUUAGUCGAUUGAUCUAUACAUAUAAAUCUUCGGGAGACACUAGCGAGCGUACCAUCUUCAGCUUGCCCGUAUUUCGGCUGGUGGCGUUGAGCUCCUUUCGGAUAUUAUCCAGAUCGAACUGCACUGCAUGCAGGGACGAGAAUGCUGCAAGCCAGAUAGAUGUACCGUAGAUGACCUCGUCGACAAUAUCGACGGACCGCAACGACCGGUGCGGAAGAGGUUGAUAUCAAGCAUCGUCGUGUGAUGAGGUGGAGCAGCGCCGACGGACGACUUUCGGUUGGCAAAGUACAACGACCGGCGGCGCACGGUAGGGUUAUGGGAGUUCUCCGAGGCUCGAUAUAUAUAGGAAAAAGUACACCGAAAGUCCCUCAACUUAUCAUCGAGUUACAAAAUCGUCACUGUCAUACCCAGCAGUAAUCGGUUAAGCUCGGCGGAAUCCACCAUUUACCAAGUCUUAAUAUGGGAUAAGCCACAAGACCAACAAGACCCACGCCGCCAAAUAUCGAUAGAUGAUAGAGAUUAGCCUAGACAUACCCCAUCCCGUGCCUAUGAAAAGCCGGCAAGAGAGAUCUAGCACAAUCUCUGAUCUCUUAUUAUACUUGUGUGAUCUAGAUGGAUAAAGAGAACACCGGCUUCGGCUAACAGGAUAUAGGGCUAUUACCUGUCAAAUAAGGGGCCCUAACCUGUAUAAAAAUCUAUGUCUCCAUCUCUUUUACCUCAAUCUCACAUAUACCCUAGUAUCGACAAUCCCCAUACCAUCUAAAUAACUUAGUCGCGGUACCACCCGUCGACAGUCUCCCAACCACAAAACCAAAUAUAUGAUAUCCCUCAACUUAAAAAACCGUCCACUUUAGGUCCUUUGAUGGUUUUGACCCCGGUUUUAUCCGACGUGGCGGCUGAGUCAGCAUGGGACCCACGUGGAGCCCAUAUAUCAGGAAUCAGGAUGCCAUCAUCACCCCCUCUCUCUCCCUUUCUCUCUCUCACUUUUUCUCGUCUCGCAGGCCAGCCGAUGGGGCGAGGCAGGAGAGAAGUAGGUUUGCAUGGUUUUAAUUACAUGAGGAGUAAAGAUUUCUGAUAUUAGAGAUUAGGAUGUCAUGCAAACUCGAUGUAAAAUUCAGGGAUGGUAAGUGAACUUAUUCCAGUCAGAAUCAAUACUGGUUGCGGCCGUGAAGGCCACAUGGUAUCAGCCACAGUUCACAGUGGUCUACAGGACUAGUUCCACAGGACUUCAAACUCUCAUGUUCUUCAUGGGCUGCUGCCUGAAAGAAAGUCCGGUUUAUUAUUGCCGGUAGCCAUAUGCCGCAUAAUUUCAUCAUAAAAAUCUCAUCUAAUUAAGCUCAAUUUCAUUGUCGCGCUAACAGUAACUAGAAAAGUGCAGUAUUGUUGUUGGUUUGUGUAACAUUUGGCAGGGCCACAGGAUAUUGUGUAGGCCAUUGUUAUGUUUGGUUGAGUGCAACACUGGUGUUUAAGAUUUGACCAGCUUAGCCCUGGUGUUUAGUUCGUGCCAUAAUUAUCGUAUGCUAUACGUUUUAAGAUAUAUCAAGUACACUCGUAAAAAGCUCAUUUUACCACAACUUAUUACAAGUGUGACCAACAAAUCACAUAUAAUUAUAUAAACUUUUGUAGAAAAGUGAGAUUAAUUGUCUUCUCUCUCCCUUUUUUUAGAACUAGAUUAUCUUCCAAACAACCCCUUAAUCUGAAGUCGCUAGCCAUCCUGAUCUCAUGCAACUACCGUGGAGGACAGAGAAUGGGUGGGGUUCCAGACUAUUGGCUCCUACCCGUACAGAUACAAUGAUAUCAUCAUCAUACCGGUACUCAAGCAAAAUACUCCAUCCGUCCCAAAAUAUAAGAACAUAUGACGGGGAUGAAACAUACAUUUUUUAAUACUAUGAACCUAAACAGAAAUGUCUCGUUUAGUCCUAUGUUUUUAUAUUUUAAGAUGGAGAGAGUACAGUACUACUUCUUCCAUUCUAAAAUAUAUUAAUAUAGUACUGAACUGAACACAAUCGAAUCGAGUACUACAAAUUUAGAUAAACUCUUUGUUUAAAUUGUUAUAUUUUAAGACUAGAAGUACAAUGCUUCAUCUAAAUAUUAAUCUAAGAAAUACAUUACUCUCCAUACUAUGAAUCUACUAUCAUCUACGGUGCACGACAAUGACUCCAAUCGACAUAAACUGGACCAUACAUUAGACAUUAUGCUCCAUGAUUUGAGGCCUUCACUGUACACGCCACGCCAGCUAUAUAUACAUAUAUACACGGUACACGCCUCCAUGGACCAUUGCCGAUCAAUCAUAUGCGUGCAUAGGAAUAAGAUAACUAAGUCUGAUCAGUGAGAGUAGAAGACAGUGACUCGUCACUGAAUACGCAUACCAACAUCUAGUAGAGAACAAAAAAAAUAAACAGAUAAAAUACGCAUACCAGCUAAUCCGAGUAGCUAGUCCUGUUUACCCUAAAAUUCAGGGUAAUCAACACGCCGUCACAUACGGAGUAGGAGUACUCCAGUAUAUUACACUCACGCACCGUAGCAUCAGUUGAUAAUUAACUGCGUGUGGACAAACCGAGACGCAUUGUUGUAACCAGAAGCGCGCAGUAGUAGAUGAUCAGGCCGUGGUUUUUUACCUUUUCAACCGCACAAUCCGGCACGUUUUCCUUAAACCGCGGUAGCCAGCUGGAGUGGUACGUGCCUGCUACUACCUGCCAAGCGUCGGCGAGUGCGGACACACAAGCAACAGGAGAGGAGUGGUCGAAAUCUACGUGCAGCCCCGCACAAAGACAGCGGAUCCAUUAAAACGCGACGCGUCCACGUCGCUCGCGGGUGCGCAUCGGUCGCCGUCGCCCCGCCACCGAAGAAAAAUCCAACCCCCCGCCCACCCGGGCGGCGCUUGCAGCUUUCGGCCGCGCGACGACGCGAUCACAUCGAAAAGCGCCCGCAACCUCACGAAACUUUGCGCGGGCGCGCGACGGCGGCACGGCGCGCGAGACGUACGCACGCAAAGUGCGCGCGCGCGGGAGUUUGAACCCUGAGCGCGACCGGUGGUUUUUUGUCGCGUACACCGGCGUCACGGGGACAGGGACGUGACUAGCUCCAGGCAGCGCGCGCGUCCGCGUCCGCGUCGUCGUCGUCGAUCGAUCGAGCUAGCGACCGGCGGCGCGCGGCCAGCGACGACGCGCGCGCGCACGCACGGUGUGAAAGGCCGGCUUGACCCUAUCUGAGCCUUUACGACCGGUGCGGGCGGAUUUGCUUCCGUCCCCGAAACUCGUUUGGUGCGCGGCUAGCUUUCCCGGAGGAGAAAAAACGGUUACGCGCGUUCACUUGACUAUGGCAAAGUGAUCAGAUAUCGGGAUAUGCAAAGCAAAGCGACGUAGUUUCAUUCUUUGCUGAGAUCGGAGGGAAAAGUGGCAAGAGAUGACCUGAACCGGGCAAAGAACGUGUGCUUGUGAGAUUUAUUAGUGCCUUGGCAGGACAGAAUUAUGGUGUUCCUUUCCUUUAUCCGGGCUAUAGGCUACGUGAACGUGAUCCACGCUUCCCGAGCAGAGAGCAGCUCGAGAUUCACGUCCCGACAGAUUAGAAUGGUUACAAAAAAAACUCAGCUGUUGACCCAAGGCUGGGUUUUGCACGUCAUUUGGGUCCUCAAAGUCACGGCACAAUCAUUUUCAGACCCCCUGGCCCGUCACUCGGGCUAGCUAAGCUAGCCGCGCACGUGUAAAAGUAGCUUUCACUGGUGGAGAAACCAUCUUUCGUCGGUCGGCCGAUUUCCACAAUAGUGCCGGAUGCAAUAAAAACCGGGGCUAAAGAUGAUCUUUAGUCCCGGUUCAAAAGGGUAACGGGCAUAUUUGAUCUUUAGUCCCGGUUUGUGCUACCAACCGGGACUAAAGUUAAAGCACCAACCGGGACUACUAAAGUUAAGAUCUUUAGCCCCGGUUGGUGCUACCAACCGGGACUAAAGAUCUUAACUUUAGUCCCGGUUGGUAAUACCAACCGGGACUAAUGAUCCCGGUGAUCUUUAGCCCCGGUUGGUGCUACCAACCGGGACUAAAGUCCCACCCCUAUAUAUAUGUCUUCUUCCUCCUCCAGCUGCCCGAGCGAGCUUCAAAAUUUCUUCAAAAAAGAGGGGAGGUCAUGCCAAAAUUUCUAUUGAAUUUAUUUUGGUGAUUACAUACAAAUCGGAGGUGCCUAAAAGGUUUGCAACUUCAUCCUCCAAUGUUUUUUUUGUCAUACUACAUUUGCACCUAUGUUUUGCACACUUUUUUUUGUCUCCAAAAUUUAGUUGUAAGUUGAUGAGAGAGAAAAUGUGUGUGGGGAAGAAAGAAUAUAUAGAAAUUUAGUUCAUUUGCUAAACAAGGUUUUAUAAAAUAGUUGAGAAGGAAAACUCUAGUGAAAGUUAAUCUUAAAUAAUAGAAAACAAACUAAAAUGAAAAUUAAAAGAAGUAAAACACAUUAAAAUUAGUUUAAAACUUUACAAAUAGUUUUUAAGAAUUAUUUGGUGUAAUAUUUUAUGAUUUUUGUAUGAAUAAAGAUAUCUUAUAAUUAUUGUAUGACUGUCAUUAUUGUAAGAAUAAUUAUUUGUGUGCGGUUUUUUUGACUCAUGUAGAUGGAUCGGCAAUGGAUGUACGCUGACCGGCGGUCCAAAGAGUUUAUUGACGGCGUGCACUAUUUUUUGAGAGUGGCCGAAGCUAACAGGCAAAGGGGUUUUAUUUGUUGUCCAUGCAAUAAGUGUAAGAAUCAGAAGGAGUAUUCUGCAUCCAGGACUAUUCAUUUCCACUUGUUUGAGUCGGGGUUCAUGCCAAGCUAUAAUUGUUAGACAUCCCACGGAGAGCAAGGUGUUGAAAUGGAAGAAGAUGAAGUGGAAGACGACAAUAUUCCGGACUUUGCUCAGUAUGUUGGAUUUGAAGGAAAUCAAACGGGCGAGGAGGAAAUAGCUGCUGAUGGUAACGAUGUUGCGGAUGAUCUUGGUCAGAUGUUGCAGGACGCCAGGGAAGACUGCGAAAGUGAAAAGGAGGCCCAUAAAUUGGACAAGAUGUUGGAGGACCACAGAACUUCGUUGUACCCAGGUUGCGAGCUGGGGCACAAAAAGUUGGAUACCACUCUGGAGUUGUUGCAAUGGAAGGCAAAAAAUGGGGUUAGUGACAAGGCAUUUGGCGAUUUAUUGAAACUCGUCAAGAACAUUCUUCCGGGGGGAAACAAAUUGCCCGAGACAACGUACGAGGCUAAGAAGAUAGUUUGCCCGUUAGGACUGGAAGUUCAUAAGAUUCACGCAUGUCCGAACGAUUGUAUCCUAUAUCGCGGUGAGGAGUAUGAGAACCUAGAAGCAUGCCCUGUUUGCAAAGCACUACGAUACAAGAUUAGACGGGACGAUCCAGGAGAAGUUGACGGGCAGCUAACAAAGAAGAGAAUUCCUGCUAAGGUGAUGUGGUAUUUCCCUAUAAUACCACGGCUAAGGCGUUUGUUCAGGAACAAGGGGAAUGCUAGAAUGUUGCGAUGGCACGCUGAAGAGCGUCAACAGGACGGGAUGCUGAGACACCCCGCCGAUGGUUCGCAGUGGCGAAACAUCGACAGAAAAUUUAAAGAAUUUGGAAAGGACGCACGAAACAUACGGUUUGGUUUGAGUACGGAUGGCAUGAAUCCUUUUGGAGAGAUGAGCAGCGGCCAUAGCACUUGGCCCGUUACGAUGUGUAUCUACAACCUCCCCCCUGGCUAUGCAUGAAGAGGAAGUACAUAAUGAUGCCGAUUAUUAUUCAAGGCCCCAAGCAACCUGGUAACGACAUCGACGUGUACCUAAGACCACUAGUCGAAGAUCUUAAACAGUUGUGGAAGAAGGAAGGUGUCCCCGUGUGGGACGAGGACAAACAGGAGGAGUUUAACCUACGAGCGCUGCUGUUCGUAACCAUCAACGAUUGGCCUGCACUUAGCAACCUAUCCGGACAGUCCAACAAGGGGUACAAGGCUUGCACUCACUGUAUGGAUGAAACAGAAAGUACGUAUCUUAAGCACUGUAGGAAGGUUGUAUACAUGGGUCAUCGUCGAUUCCUUGCAGCAAACCACCCGGUACGGAAGAAAGGCAAGCACUUCGAACAUAAGGCCGACCACCGUACGAAGCCUAAACAUCGCAGCGGGAAAACAGUGUUUGCUAUGGUUAAAGAUCUUAAAGUAGUGUUCGGAAAGGGGCCUGGAAGCCAGCAUAUAGAGAGCGAAGAUGGUCACGCGGCGAUGUGAAAAAAGAACUCUAUAUUUUGGGAGUUACCAUAUUGGGAAUUCUUAUACGUACGCCACGCAAUCGACGUGAUGCACCUCACUAAGAACCUUUGCGUAAACCUUCUUGGCUUCCUAGGUGUAUACGGAAAGUCGAAAGAUACACUGGAAGCACGUAAUGAUCUGAAGCAUAUGGAACAACGCGGCGACCUUCACCCGGAACCAAAGGAGAAAGGAAGCCAUUACUUGAGUCCAGCCAGCUACACUCUUAGCAAGGAAGAGAAGGAAAGUAUGUUUGAAUGCUUGGAGAGCAUAAAGGUACCGUCUGGAUACUCCACGAAUAUCAAGCGAAUAAUAAGCACGAAGGAGAAGAAGUUCACAAACCUAAAGUCUCAUGACUGUCACGUGUUGAUGACACAACUGCUACCAGUUGUAAUAAGGGGUAUCCUUCCAGACAAUGUCCGGGCAACAAUAACAAAGAUAUGUGCAUUCAUGAACGCAAUUUCGCAGAAGGUCAUCGAUCCGGAUAGAUUAGAAGCCCUUCAGAAUGAAGUGGUGCAAUGUCUCGUCAGUUUUGAGUUGAUAUUUCCACCUUCAUUUUUCAAUAUAAUGACGCAUCUGCUUUGUCACCUUGUGAAAGAGAUCCGUAUUCUCGGGCCUAUGUACCUACACAACAUGUUUCCUUUCGAGAGGUACAUGGGCGUUCUGAAGAAGUAUGUUCCUAACCGUGCUCGUCCAGAGGCAAGCAUCGCCAAGGGUUAUGGAACAGAGGAGGUCAUCGAAUUUUGCGUAGAAUUUAUCGAAGACCUUCGCCCAAUCGGGGUACCUGAAUCACGCCAUGAAGGGAGACUACGGGGAAAGGGAACUCUCGGAAGGAAAGCAAUAACGACGGUAGACAACAAUUUAUUCCGUAAAGCCCAUUUCACUGUUCUGCAACACUCUUCAUUGGUAGCUCCUUACAUCGAGGAGCACUUGGCUCUAGUUCGCGCCAGGAACAUCGGUAAGUCCGAUGCAUGGAUUACACGGCAUCACAUUGAUACUUUCCCCGCGUGGCUACGACAUCAUCUCAUGGGUAACGAGUCGAUCAACCAACAACUUGCCUUCCUGGCGAGGGGACCGUUUGGGUCGAUCGCGACAUUACAGGGAUAUGAGAUCAAUGGGUACACAUUCUACACGAGAGCCCAAGACAUGAAGAGCACGAACCAAAACAGCGCUGUUCGUGUCGAUGCCAUGGGACACGAUGGAACAACUGCCACGUAUUACGGUGCCAUCGAGGACAUAUGGGAACUUGACUAUGGUCCUCUCAAGGUUCCUCUGUUCCGGUGCCAAUGGGUUAGGUUGACUGGUGGAGGCGUAAUGAUUGAUGAUAGUGGGAUGACAACUGUUGACCUUAACAAGGUUGGAUACUCGGACGAACCUUUUGUCCUUGCCAAUGAUGUAAUGCAAGUCUUUUUCGUGAAGGACAUGUCUAGCAAAGGAAAGAAGGGCAGAGGGCCUGAUGAGCCUAAGCGUCAAGUGGUUCUCCCAGGCAAAAGAAAAAUCAUCGGAGUUGAGGACAAGACUGACGAGGAUUACGAUCAGUUGGAUGGGCAACCCCCUUUCACGGUGACGAUUGACCCUAGCAUCCUCCUAUCAAAUGAAGACACCCCUUACUCACGCAGCGAUCACAAGGAGGGAACAAUAGUGAGGAGAAAGUACGUGCCGUAAUUAUUGUGUACACGAUGUAAACUAUUUUGGAUGUAUUGAUUAUCCAUAUAAAUCAAUUGAUGUAUGGCAUAUGUUAAUUACGCACGAUUAUUAGAGGUUUCAACAAGUUUAAAUCAUGUAUAUGCUAGUUAUAUGUGAUACUUACAAUUUUUAAAAGUUUUAAAUCACACAGGUGACAAUUUCAUAUGUAUGUUAAUUAGAGUUUUUAACAUUUAAUUUACUAGCAUUCAUAUGCUAAUUAUAAUUGACUAGAGGAUUUUUAAAAGUUUUAAAUCACGCAAGUGGCAAUUUCAUAUGUUAAUUAGAGUUUUUAACAUUUAAUUUACUAUCAUUCAUAUGCUAAUUAUAAUUGACUAGAGAAUUUUUAAAAGUAUUAAAUUUAAUAUAUUUUUAAAACUAUCAUUCAUAUAUUAGAGUUUUUCACAAUUAAAUUUACUAUCUUUCAUAUGCUACUUAUAUAUGACUAUUCGAAUUUUUAAAAGGUUUAAAUCAUGCAUGUGGUAUUUACAUAUGUUAAUUAGAGUUUUUAGCAUUUAAUUUAAUAUAAUUCCUACGCUAAGUACAUAUGAUGAUUACAAUUUUUAUUAAUUUUAAAUCAUGCAGUAUGUACAUACAUAUCUUAAUUAGAGUUUUUACCAAUAUAAUAAUAUCAUUCAUAUAUAUGCUAAGUAUAUAUGAUUAUUGGAAUUUUUAUUAAUUAUAUUUGCUUAUUACGAUUUAUCCACUUAAUUUAUUACAGACAAAAAUAAUUUUUCGAAGUAAUUGUCAUUAAUCUUUGUACUUUAAAUAAUGUUAAUGCAUUAACUUCUAUUUUAUAAACACGUAUGUAAGCGAAAAACAUAUGCAGUGCUAUAAUCUUUAGUCCCGGUUCUUAACCCUAACCGGGUUUAAAAAGAAUUUCGAAAUAGCGGGAAAAGAUAUUUACUCCCGGUUGUUGAGAACAACCGGGACUAAAGAUAUCUUUAGUCCCGGUUGUUGACAACAACCGGGAGUAAAGAUCUUUUCUUUACUCCCGGUUGUUCUCAACAACCGGGAGUAAAGAUCCGGGGGUAUAUAUAUUCCCGGUGCGCCCUCGUCUUCUUCACCAACACUUAAACGUUUUCGGCCGAUCGAUCUCUCUCGGCCUCUCUCCUUCGCCGCCACUGCCUAGGGCAAAUCCCCGCGCCGACGCCGCCGUAUCUCGCCGUCGUCUCGAGCUCGUCGUCAUCGCCGCCGCCUCCGCCUCCUCCGCUGCCGCCGCAUCUCUGGGGUGAGAGCCGCCGCCGCCAGAUCUCCCUUCAUGCAUCUCGAUCUCUCCGAUCUCGAUCUCUCUCCGUCGCGCCGCCCGCCACGAGACGCCGCGCCACGACGACGACGCGCCACGAUGACGACGCGCCACGCCGCCGCCUUCGACGCCGCGCAACGCCGCUGCCGCAUGCCAACGCCACGCCGCCGCCGCCGUCGCCACGCCGCCGCCGCCUUCGCCGCCGCGCGCGCAAUGCCGCCGCCGCCACGCCACGCCACGCCGCCGCCGCCACGCCACGCCGCCGCCGCCACGGCCCCGCAACGCCACGCCGCCGCCGCCGCCGCCACGCCGCCGCGCCAACCGCCGCCCCGAUGCCGCCACACCGCCGUUAACGAACGAGAACGAGAACGAUCGAACGAACGAGAGCGAGAACGAACACGUCAACGUACGUUGCCGCGACAACGUGAACGAGAACGAGAACGAUCGAACGAACGAGAGCGAGAACGAACACGUCAACGUACGUUGCCGCGAGAACGUGAACGAGAACGAGAACGAUCGAACGAACGAGAGCGAGAACGAACACGAUCGAACGAAGACAAGCGAGAACGAGGGAACGAACGUGAAUGAGAACAAGCGAACGAACGUGAAUGAGAACGAGCGAACGAACGUGAACGAGCUAGGGAACGUGAACGAGCGAACGAACGAGGACGAACGUUAACGUGAAAUGCAAUAUAUAUAUAUAUAUAUAUAUAUAUAUAUAUAUAUAUAUAUAUGUUACUUCGCAUUUAUCCUAAUACAUUUUUUGUAUCUUGCAGAAAAGACGUGUUGUCGGAGUCGUCCGUCAAGCCUGAGUGGAAGAGCUAGCCCUAGAAGGAAUUGGAGCAGGCAAGUGACGUAAUAAUAUAAAUGAUUGUUAUAUUUGUAAUGCAAUUAAUUAAGAUUAUUAGACCUUUAAUUAGACUUAUCAUAUAAGAUUGUGUAGUGUUCUAAUAUUAUUUGAGUUUUAAUAUAAGAUUAUUUUAUUGCAAAUUAGACUUAGUAUGACAUUAUUGACUACGGAAUUGGUGCGACUCCUAGCAAUUGACUAUUGUAGUCUUAAUUAGACUUAGCAUAUACGCACGAAACACUUAGCAUACAUGACUAUUUUAGUCUUAGCAUGUAAUAUUAUUUGAGUUUUAAUAUAAUAUUAUUUUAUUUGUAAUUAGACUUGGUAUGUAAUUAUUGACUACGGAAUUGGUGCGACAAGUAGCAAUUGACUAUUGUAGUCUUAAUUAGACUUAGCAUAUACGCACGAAACACUUAGCAUAUACAUGACUAUUUUAGUCUUAGCAUAUAAUAUUAUUUGAGUUUUAAUAUAAGAUUAUUUUAUUUGUAAUUAGACUUAGUAUAUAAUUAUUUACUAGCUAGGGUUGUAUAAUAUACGUCACCUAGACUUAGCUUAUAUCACGAUUUAUAAUUAGACUUAGCACGUAAGGUUGUGUAGGGUUCUAAUGUACGACAUUUACACUUAGCAUACAUGACUUAGAUUGUUAAAACAUAAAUGUCUCGUGACUUAGCAGAUGUUUCUUGUAUCAACAGAUGGCUGACCGCGAUGAGGAACAGAUAUUGUACGAUACAAUCGCGGAGGGAAGCAGCCAGUACUGGAAUGAAGAAGAGGGGAACGAGGAUCCAAACCAGUACUUGAACGAGGAAGGGAACGUGGAGAGGGAUGCGGAGGGGAACCAGCAGGGGCACGUGGAAAGGGAUGUGGAGGGGAACCAGGAGGAGGUUAGUGGUAAUCAACCCUCCGUUGGACAGAAGAGGGCAUGCGGGCAACGAGGUGCAGCGAAGAAGCUUGAGGGUCGGCACAUCAUAACGGAAGUGGAAGAAGAUGGACGUCCUAGUGCCCCGGCCGAAGCCGCCAAGAACUAUGUACGUCACAGCGGUUGGGUUGUGCGGGAUAACGUGCCUGUCAGUACGGUGUACUGGCGAAGAACAAGGGCACACGGAGAUCAUGAGAGCUUUGUCCCAGAUUCGGAGAAAGAGAUGUUGUGGACCACAAUGCUCGAGACAUUCACCCUUCCUGCUGGUACAGAGGACAAAGUGAAAAGGUGGACUCUGAAGAAAAUGGCAGAACAGUUUCAGAGCUUCAAGGGAGAUCUGUACCAGAAGUAUAUACUGAAGGGGCAGACACCGAACUUCGACACAUUCCCAAAGCUAAGGGAUCACUGGGACGAGUUCGUUGCAUAUAAGACAGAUGAACAAGGGCAGGCGAUGAUGGAAAGAAACAAAGAAAAUGCCGCCAAGAAGAAGUACCAUCACCACUUGGGGUCAGGAGGCUAUAGCGUCGCGAUACCGAAGUGGGAGCAGAUGGAGGCUAGCUUGAUUGAGAGGGGUAUCGAACCGGCAACAGCCAAUUGGCCGGAACGAUCGAAGUUCUGGUACUAUGCUCACGGUGGAACGCUCAACCCAGCUGAUGGCUCACUGGUCUUCGGCUAUCAGAUACGAGAGGCUGCGCGACGACUAACAGAUGCAGUGGAAGCCUCCUCUCAGGGCACGUUCCGACCAGACAGAGAUAGGGACGAGCUGACACUCGCCCUGCAGACUCCAGAGCAUCCAGGACGAACUCGAGGGAAAGGGGUGAUUCCUUGGAAGAUUGGUUUCAAGGAGGACAUCCACACGUACAGGAGUCGGAUGAGGAGCAAGAGAGAUACCGAGGCGAAGAUUGCAGACCUAGAGUUCCGGGUAUCGAGCUACGAACUCAACAUGCAAGAGGAGGUGGCAAGGAAGGUUGAUGAACGCAUGGCCGCACAUCGGUCCCAUGAUCCCCAGCCGACCAUUCCUCUUGCAAUGGUGAGCCCGUCAGGAAACCGUAGCAGCUGCGCCUCAACAGGGCAGGUAGGAUCACAGAGCAUGGACGCCAUGCAAACACAGGACGAAUCGACCUGUCCCGUUGAUGACAUCACUCAGCGGACACCAUGUGAGCUGCAUAUUCCUUUCAAGAACUUAUCAAUAAAGGUAAGAUUUAGCCAUUCCGCUAGUUGCUGCUUAUAUAUGUUGAUUACUAAUAAAUAAUCUCUCACAACAUGAAGGUGGCGUCGGGCAUGGCCAUCCCAACGGACCCUUCAGGUACUUAACACUGUAGGCCGAUUCCAGCAGGAUACUCGAAGGUCGAAGUUGAGUUGGUCGAAGGCGCGUACGAGGACCUCGAGCUGGAUUACCCUGGAGGAGACGGUGAGACGCAUCUACGAGACACAUGCCAUGCCAUUAUUCUAUGGCGCAGGCGGUACAUCAUCCUCCCUGGGCGACAAGCGGCGUCUCGUGCACCAUCUCCUCCGGCUCCGCCAUCUCCUCCUCAGGAUCCUGCACCGUCUCCUCCUCAUGCUCCGCCAGCACCGUCUCCACCUCAGGCUCCAGCAUCGACUCCUCCUCAGGAUCCUGCACCGACUCCUCCUCGUGCUCCUACACCUACUCCCCCGCAAGCUCCUCUUCUGGCACCUUCAAAGUCAGGGGCCCCCCCAGCUCCACCGCCUGCCCACACAAGGGCAACGAAGAAGGCGAAAGUUGACGCCGCCAAGAACAAGGACCCGGGGUACGAUUGCACGCAAGAGGAGCUUGACGCUUACGUUGCAUCAGAAGUCAAGAGACAAUUCAAGCCUCGAAGUCCAGAAAAGAAGAUUCCUAUAGACCCCAGUGUCAGGAACUUCUUCAGGGGUAUGUCUGCAUCUGUCAAGGAGGCCAUCAAGCUAUCGGACUAUGAGCGAACGCUGAAGAAAGCAUCUUUUGGAAAGUCCAAACCAGUCCCUCAGCUUGGAGAGCAACCAAACCAGGAGAUCGAGCCGUUGGUGACCGGUAAAGAAAUGACGAUAGAACAAUUUAUUACUGACACCGGUCUAACUACAGAUCAAUUGCUAGGAGUCGCACCAAUCGAAAAGGCGGAAGUGAAAUACAUGUACGAACUCGGUAAACCGCUUGUCAAGCCUGAGCUGCUGCAGUCCCUACCCACACAAAUGUACAAGUUCCAUCAGCUGUACAUGGAGAUGAGCGCCACCGGUAGAGAGAUGAUCGGAGCGAGGAUCAGGGACACGGGCUUCUUGCAAGGAGAUGACAUUCUCUGGAUCAAUUUCAGGGGAAUCUACGAACUAUACCAGCUGGACGCCCUCGACGUCUCUAUUAUGAGUUGCUGGAUUUUGUAAGUAUAUCGUUCAGUUAGAUUUCUUACUAUACGUCUCCUUUAAUUAAUUAGGUCCUUGUAUAUAAGUAGACCAUAGAAAAUAAUAUACUCCCUUUUAUCGUUGUAGAAUGGAGAUUCAAAGGGCCCGACGGCGGAGGGUUUUCGAUACUGGAUUCAUCGACCCUCGGAAAGUAAACGUCGCAAUGCUCGACCAAUAUCCACAAGAAACAGAGGACAAUCUCGUCCAUCUCCUGAAGGCGCAGCAUUACAAGACGUUCAUACUGUUGCCAUACAACACAGAGUUAGUUUAAUUUUACUGUCUUCCUACAUACCAAAUUUCAUUCCCGUACGAACUUGCUAAGUGUUUCAUAUGUAAUACAUCCCACGCACAUUGCAGAUUCCACUGGGUGCUUUUACUCAUCGACCUGGAGGCCUGCACCGUCAACGUAUAUGAUUCAAUGGAUAAAAAAGAGUCUACGUUUGACAAGGUUUUCGAACUUAUAGACAGGUACCGUCAUAAGUUCCUUUGUUAAUUAAGAAAAUCUUGUUAUGUUAAUUGCUACUACGAAUCAUAGCUUUAAACUCCAUGUAGGGCUUGGUAUCGGUUCCGUCAUUUGGUCCGCGGCAAAUGGAGAGAAAGACUUAGGCGGAAGUUCAAAUUUCCUGUGAGUACACAUGCUCUACAUUUAUAUUUCUCCGAUUCAAAUACAUACAAGUGUAUAUUAAUUAGAUCUCUCGUUGUUUAUUAUUUAUUUGUAGUGCGCAAAGCAAAAGCAGAGAACUAACUUGUGCGGCUAUUACGUGUGCGAGUAUUGCCACUGCCUUGCAGACCAAAUCAUCACCACAAGAGAGCUCGAUGUACGUACAAAUAAAUUCAAAAUUUCAUUACGUAGCGAUUUCUUGUUUAAUUACUAAUCAAUUUCAUACAUUCAUAUAGUUUAUUCGCAUGAGGGAUAACCUGACCACACACAAGGAAUUUAUCGCGGCGGUUCAAGAACAACUCAUGGGAUUCAUCAACGAAGAAAUCCUUGAUCCCAAGAGUGAAUUCUACUACGACGGAAACACAAUUCACCGGUCCUUAGCUUCUGAGCUAGCAGCGAGUACUACUACGUCGAAAUCGUAGCUAGCUAGGACAUAUAAUGGAUUGUAAUUAAUACAUGACUACAUAUGUUUCUAUAUGCAUGUGUACACAUUUUCUAUAAUGUAAAUAUAUUUUGUUCAUAUAUAUAUCUAUAUACAUAUGCAUUUGCAUAACAUAUAUAUGUAUAAAUACAUAUAUAUUAUGCAUGUAUAUACAUAUAAUAUAAUAUAAUAUAUAUAUAUACAUAUAUAUAUGUAUGCAUAUAUAUGUAUUGAAACAUAUAUAUGCAUGGUUUAUAUAUAUAUAUAUAUAUAUAUAUAUAUAUAUAUAUAUAUAUAUAUAUAUAUAUAUAUAUAUAUAUAUAUAUAUAUAUAUAUAUAUAUAUAUAUAUAUAUAUAUAUAUAUAUAUGUCGGUGACAUGGGACCGGGAGUAUCAUGACUUAGAGACUUGAGGCAGACACGAUCACCCACGUGGCCUAACCCCCUCGGGGGGGGGGGUCGGGCCCGAGGGUGAUACGGCCGCCCUUCUCUUUGUCUCCCCGAGGGGUCGGACCGCUCCCGUCUCGGCCCCGAGGGCCGAGGCGCCCCGACCCCUUGUGGGUUUUGCGCCGCGUAUAUGGGGUAGGUGAGCAUAGCGGGGCUCACCUAACCACAUUUAUUGCGGUUUGGACGAGCGCGUCACGCCGCAUGUAACGCAGUGCAGCGCGCUCGUUUAUCCGGUCAGUGACCAGUCACAGACCGAUCAGAUCGUGGGUUAGGUGGCGACAGGCGGUCUGACGCACGCCUCGCCCCAUCCCGUCAGGAUGAGAGCCUCCAAGCACUCGUCCCUAGCCGGAGCCGGCGUGUUAGCUCCUGGAGAUGGCACGUUGGUCCCGGUCAGAUAUAUACCAGGCUUCAUCCUAACCAUUACAAGCAAGACAUUGUAUGAAGAGGGGCGAACAUGCAGAUUGAUAAACUGACGCGUGGUGGACAAGAAUGACCGAUUUGUGACCGGUCUGACACUGAUCAUGUCGUCAGCAGACAGCCAUGUUCCCAAGUCGCGCCUGCUUCCGGCGGAAGUGGAGGUAGGUAUGGGCUGUCCCAUCAGAAGGUCAUUCGGACGGCAACCAUACAAGUCUCCGUCUGUUUAUGAAAAGAUAGGAUAAGUCCCCACAAAAAAGAAGGAGAUGGUGCAUGUGGUAUCCCCUUGAGGUAUAAAAGGAGGACCUUGCCCACUUAGAAGGAGGAGGGAUUUUCGGAUCCAGAACGAUCAGAGAGGAAGAGAGUAAGAGCUCUCUGGUUCUCCAGCUCUUUUGUAGCUUCUUCAUACAUAGAUCCACAAAAACACAGGAAGUAGGGUAUUACGCUUCUCAGCGGCCCGAACCUGUAUACAUCGCCCGUGUCUUGUGUGUUUCCAUUCUCGCGAACCUUCCACACAAAGACUAGGAGCUUAGAAUCUCACCCAGGGCCCCCGGCCGAACCGGCAAAGGGGGGCCUGCGCGGUCUCCCGGUGAGGAGCCCCACGCUCCGUCAUCUGGCGCGCCAGGUAGGGAGCUUUGCGUGUGUUUUUCUAAGCUCUCGCAUUCUUUCGUGUGCGCCAAGCUUUUCCUGUUCGGCCCAAUGGCCGAACAAGCAAAGGCGCACAACCUCUCUCCGAGUGUUAGCGGUGAUGACGGGGAGCCGAACCCACGCCGUCGAGCUCGUACUCCACCGCCCCCUCCACGCCAAAGUCCUAGGCGGGAGGAGGCGCUCGAGAGGGUCGAAGGAUCCGCGACUUCGACAUCCACGGGUGAUGGGGAAGGGCGGCGAGAUGGGGAGCGUCGCCUCCUCGUCUACGGCGACGGCAGCACGCCCCAGGGCGCGCUCCAAGCUGCGGGCGCGCUCCUACGUCACCCGCCCAUUGUGCCUGACCCGGAGGCUCCAGCCCAACGUUGGUUGGACGACGUGGCCAACUUGGUCAUGACGGCACGGCAGCGCCUAGGUGCUGGUGGGCGGUCCUCCGCCACCAAGACCUCUGGCGCUGCUACCACCGGCUCCGUGUCGUCAAGGCGGAGGGCGCGGCGAGCGGCGGCUGUUGCUCGCCAUUCAGCCGCCACUCCUUCGUCAGCGCCUCCGACCCAGGAAGAUCUGCGUGGGGGGCCGGAUGCCCGCAUCAGUAUCGAGCGCCGGCGUAAUGGCCGGCGUGCUGCCCACGCAACGGAGGGCGCCUCCUCGUCCGGAGUGUCGCAUCAACACGGACGCGGGGAUCAGCCCUCCGUGCCCCCGGUUGGUGGUGUCGGCUGUAGAGCCUUUGUGGCGAGCCUUCGGAACGUCCGUUGGCCCCCAAGGUUCCGGCCCACCAUCGCCGAAAAAUAUGACGGGAGCGUCAACCCCGCCGAGUUUCUCCAGGUCUACACGACCGGGAUCGAGGCCGCCGGGGGUGACGACAGGGUCAUGGCGAAUUUCUUUCCCAUGGCCCUGAAGGGACAGGCACGGGGUUGGCUAAUGAACUUGCCACCCGCGUCCGUCCACUCUUGGGAGGAUUUGUGCCAACAGUUCACCAUGAACUUUCAAGGCACAUAUCCGCGCCCAGGUGAAGAAGCGGACUUACAUGCAGUCCAGCGAAGGGAUGAUGAGUCACUUCGCUCAUACAUUCAGCGGUUCUGUCAAGUCCGCAACACCAUACCAUGCAUCCCUGCACACGCGGUGAUCUACGCGUUCAGGGGGGGUGUGCGGCACAACCGCAUGCUCGAAAAGAUCGCCUCCAAAGAGCCCCAGACUACCGCGGAGCUUUUUCAGCUCGCGGACCGAGUGGCUCGAAAGGAAGAGGCAUGGACCUAGAACCCCUCCGGUUCCGGUGUGGCAGCUUCGGCCGCCCCCGGAUCUGCUGCUCGGACAGGGCGGCAUGACAGGAGGAGGAAGAAGAGGUCAGCCCAUUCCGACGACGAGGGUCAUGUCCUCGCCGUCGAGGGCGCUUCGCGGGCCACCCGAAAGGGGAGGCCUGCGAGCGACAAAAAGAAGGAGGCCGGCGCUCCCAGUAGGGAGCGCCCAACCGGCAAGUGGUGCAUCGUCCACAACACCUCCCUUCACGAUCUCGCGGACUGCCGUGCAGUCAAAAGUUUGGCUGAGCGGACGAGGAAGUGGGAGGAGGAGAGGAGGCAGGAGCGCCGAGAGGGCAAGUCCCCGGCGGUUCCUUCCGGCAAUCGGCGAAGUGAGGCCAAGCAGAAGGCCCCCGCCGAGGACAUCGAUGACGGCGAUGAUGACCUAGGUUUCCAAGAGCCUGGGGCCACCAUUGCCACUGUCGAUGGGGGAGCGUGUGCUCACGUUUCUCGUCGGAGCCUCAAGGCCAUGAAGCGAGAGCUUCUGGCCGCGGCCCCUACUCAUGAGGCGACGCGCCGGGCGCGGUGGUCGGAGGUUGCCCUCACCUUCGACCAGACCGACCACCCACCGUGCGUUGCCCGGGGAGGACAAAUCGCAAUGGUGGUUUCCCCCACUGUUUGCAACGUGAAGCUGGGGCGUGUCCUCAUUGAUGGGGGAGCAGCCCUCAACAUCCUUUCCCCCGCAGCCUUUGACGCUAUCAAGGCCCCGGGGAUGGUGCUCCGGCCGUCCCAGCCGAUUAUCGGUGUGACGCCGGGUCACACUUGGCCGCUAGGUCAUAUCGACCUCCCGGUCACCUUCGGUGGAUCCGCCAACUUCCGCACGGAGCGGGUGAACUUUGAUGUGGCGGACCUCAGACUGCCCUACAACGCGGUCCUAGGGAGGCCCGCGUUGGUGAAGUUCAUGGCGGCAGUCCACUACGCCUACCUCCAGAUGAAGAUGCCGGGCCCCGGUGGCCCCAUCUCUGUCCAUGGCGACCUCAAAGUCGCGCUUGCUUGUAUGGAGCAGCGCGCGGACCACCUCACCGCCGCGUCCAAGCCCGAGGGAGGCGACGAGAGGCUUGGCACCUCCGCCCCCGCCGCCCCGAGGCAGCGGAUAGUCACAUGCGACGAGGUUCCGGUCAAGGAGGUUGCCCUGGGCGACGGCCCGUCCAAGACCACACGGAUCGGUGGUCUUCUGGGCGGCAAAUAGGAAGACGCGCUCGUCUCUUUCCUGCGGGCAAACGCUGACGUCUUCGCAUGGAGACCGACGGAUAUGCCCGGGGUCCCCAGGGAGGUGAUUGAGCACCGUCUCGCCGUGCGGUCGGGCGCAAGGCCGGUCCGGCAGAAAGUACGGCGGCAGGCCCCGGAACGUCAAGCCUUCAUCCGCGAGGAGGUGGCGCGACUUCUGGAGGCCGGAUUCAUCCGCGAGGUCAUCCAUCCGGAGUGGCUGGCGAACCCGGUGGUCGUUCCCAAGGUGAACGGCAAGCUUCGGAUGUGUAUCGACUACACCGACCUUAACAAGGCAUGUCCUAAGGACCCUUACCCCCUGCCUCGCAUAGAUCAGAUUGUCGACUCCACAGCGGGGUGCGACCUUUUGUGUUUUCUAGAUGCAUACUCUGGUUACCAUCAGAUUCGCAUGGCUAGGGAGGAUGAGGAAAAAACUGCAUUCAUUACCCCCAUAGGAACUUAUUGUUAUACGACAAUGCCCUUCGGGUUAAAGAAUGCAGGUCCUACUUUUCAACGUACUACUCGAAUUUCUUUGGGUAGCCAAAUAGGACGUAAUGUUGAGGCUUAUGUCGAUGACUUGGUUGUAAAGACGCGCAACCAAGAGACCUUACUCUCGGAUCUAGCGGAAACUUUUGAGAGUCUCCGCUCCGCCCGCAUAAAACUGAACCCCGAUAAGUGCGUGUUCGGUGUACCUGCGGGCAAGCUUCUCGGGUUUUUGGUCUCUGCCCCAGGCAUCGAGGCCAACCCCGAGAAGAUACGAGCUAUAGAGCGGAUGCGCCCCCCCAGCAAGCUUAGGGAUGUGCAAUGUGUCACCGGUUGCAUGGCCGCCCUAAGUCGGUUCAUAUCGAGGCGGGAGAGAAGGCGCUACCCUUAUUUAAGCUCCUCAAACGCUCCGGGCCGUUUACUUGGACGGAGGAAGCUGAACGUGCCCUCACUCAGUUGAAGGCGUAUCUCAGCUCUCCCCCAGUUCUGGUCGCCCCGGAGCCAAUUGAACCAUUGCUACUCUACUUAGCGGCGACCCCGCAAGUGGUUAGUGCGGCGUUGGUUGUGGAGCGCGAUGAGGACAAUCCUCAUUCCGCGCACCCCCACCCUGUGCUGGCUUGGCCCGGGAGAGAGCAGGGAGGAGAGGCCCCCGAGCCGAACGGUGGCCCAAGGCCCCCGACGACCGGAGCAGGCCCUCUGCCCGCUUGUCAGACGGUGCCAGGUGCCCCCGACCCCCAGGAUGGCCCGAGGGCCACUGCGGGAAGGCCGCACCUAUCGCCCUCUGACCCCGAGGCUAACCCUGUGCCGACUCGACCCGGGAGAGAGCAGGGAGAAGAGGCCCCCAAGCCGAACGGUGGCCUAAGGCCCCUGACGACCGGAGUUGGCCCUUUGCCCGCUUGUCCGACGACGCCAGGAGCCCCCGACCCCCAGGACGGCCCCGAGGCCACUGUGGGAAGGCCGCCCCUGUCGUCCUCCGACCCCGAGGUCGUCGGCACAGAAGAUGAGUGCACCCCGCGAGGCCGCUUGGACAAAGAGCGCCCCAGGGAUGUGGCCCCUAGCGAAGAGGAUCGGCCCCACCGAAAGGUGCAGCGGCCCAUCUACUUUGUUAGUGAGGCCCUCCGGGACGCCAAGACCCGAUACCCUCAGGCCCAGAAGAUGCUUUACGCUAUUCUGAUGGCUUCGAGGAAACUGCGCCAUUAUUUCCAGGCACAUCGGGUCACGGUUGUUACGUCUUACCCCCUCGGCCAAAUCUUGCAUAAUCGAGAGGGUACUAGACGUGUGGUGAAAUGGGCAAUCGAACUUUCUGAGUUUGAUUUGCACUUUGAACCACGCCACGCUAUCAAGAGCCAGGCCUUCGCCGAUUUUGUGGCAGAGUGGACCCCAGCUCCCGAGCCCGUCUCAGUCCCCGAGGCCAGCUCGGGCCCCUCACAGCUGCCUCACACCGCCCACUGGGUGAUGCAGUUCGACGGCUCCCUGUCUCUUCAGGGCGCCGGUGCGGGGGUCACGUUGACCUCGCCGAACGGAGACGUCCUCAGAUAUUUGGUUCGCCUUGACUUUCGGGCGACCAAUAAUAUGGCAGAGUACAAGGGACUCCUUGCGGGACUCAGGGUGGCAGCUGGACUGGGGAUCCGCCGCCUCCUGGUGUUAGGCGACUCCCAGCUGGUCGUUAACCAGGUCUGUAAGGAGUACCGGUGCUCUGACCCGCAGAUGGACGCUUACGUGCGCCAAGUACGGCGUAUGGAGCGCCAUUUUGACGGGAUAGAGCUUCGGCAUGUGCCCAGACGGGAUAACACGGUUGGCGACGAACUCUCACGGCUCGCUUCCUCGCGAGCCCAGACCCCACCGGGCGCCUUUGAAGAAAGGCUUGCCCAGCCGUCGGCGCGACCCGACCCCUUAGGGGAGACGGACGCGCCUGACAGGCCCCCGAUGCCCGUCGGAGUCCAGGCCUCGGGACCCGAGGGGAGCGCUCCCAGCUCCCUUAGAUUGAUUGCUUGGAUCGCUGAGAUCCAAGCAUACCUCACAGAUAAGACUCUACCCGAGGACCGCGAAGGGAGUGAACGCGUCCAGCGCAUCUCCAAACGCUACGUGCUGGUAGAAGGGACCCUCUAUCGGCGCGCGGCUAACGGAAUCCUCCUGAAGUGCAUUCCUCGGGAACAAGGCGUCGAGCUUCUUGCCGAUAUCCAUGAAGGCGAAUGCGGAGCCCACUCCGCCUCGCGCACCUUGGUUGGCAAAGCCUUUCGACAAGGUUUCUAUUGGCCGACAACUCUUAAUGAUGCGGUCGACCUGGUCCGGCGAUGCAGAGCGUGUCAAUUCCACGCCAAGCAAAUCCAUCAGCCGGCCCAGGCCCUGCAGAUCAUACCACUUUCGUGGCCAUUUGCUGUCUGGGGGCUCGAUAUCCUGGGACCGUUUAGGCGGGCCCCGGGCGGGUUUGAGUAUCUAUAUGUCGCGAUCGACAAGUUCACUAAGUGGCCCGAGGCUUAUCCGGUCGUCAAGAUCGAUAAGCACUCCGCACUUAAAUUCAUUAAGGGCAUCACAGCCCGGUUUGGAGUGCCUAACCGUAUUAUUACGGAUAACGGCACCCAAUUCACUAGUGAACUUUUCGGCGAUUACUGCGAAGACAUGGGCAUCAAGCUCUGCUUCGCCUCACCUGCCCACCCCAGAAGCAACGGCCAAGUAGAGCGCGCCAAUGCGGAAAUCCUCUGAGGCCUUAAAACCAAGACCUUCAACAUCCUCAAGAAGCACGGCGAUUCGUGGAUCGAGGAGUUGCCAGCGGUGCUCUGGGCGAACCGAACCACGCCAAGCCGAGCAACCGGGGAAACGCCUUUCUUCCUCGUCUACGGCGCGGAAGCGGUUCUCCCAUCCGAGCUCACCCUGAGGUCCCCUCGGGCCACCAUGUACUGCGAGGCUGAUCAAGAUCAGCUCGCAGAGAUGACCUCGACUACUUGGAAGAGCGAAGGCGGCGCGCGGCCCUCCGAGCUGCGCGCUACCAGCAGAGCCUGCGGCGCUACCAUCAGCGCCACGUCCGGGCCCGAUCACUCUGCGUCAACGACCUCGUCCUACGCCGCGUCCAAACGCGUGCUGGAUUGAGCAAGCUCUCACCAAUGUGGGAGGGUCCGUAUCGACUGAUCGGCGUCCCCCGGCCGGGCUCCGUUCGGCUGGCCACGGGCGAUGGCACAGAGCUGCCUAACCCGUGGAACAUCGAACACCUUCGUCGCUUCUACCCCUAAAGGGGGAUCGGGUGUCAGGUUUCGGGCUCGGGCCAACCCCGCACCCCCCUCGGGCGUGCAGGGUUGGCCGGGGGCUACCACAUAUGCAUAUUCUUAUUUCUUUUAUAUCUGUAUUUCAAUAAAAGCAUUUUCGAUUUCCUAAAGGCUGUAUCUGUGCUGUUGUUUCCUUUUGAAGGAUCUUGACUUGAAAUAGGUCACUCGUGUUCAAUCCUGCCCUCGGGGGCUCGGGUCGGCUAAAAUCGCCAAACGGGGCCCAGAACCGAGCCGUGCCCCGGGGCGUGGUGAACUCCGGGGGGGAAUCGGCAAAAACCCACAAUCGGGUCACCCAUAACCCUCGGUCAUCACGCUCCCGGCCUGGCCAGUCUCGACAUGUGGAUCUCCCCAGGCACUAGCCCCGACCCGAGCCAUUUGAGGACUAGGACCUGGGCACGAGCCCUUGUUCAAGCCAAGACACAAAAGGACCGCGGCACAGACCAUCCUCGUCUCAUACACACAACAAAUAGAAUUGACACAAAAAAUUUUCCUCUUUAUUUGAUUGCAGAUUAAAUUAGUCUAUACAAGAAGGGGGCCCGAAGGCCUCGGAAGAAGAAAAGAAGAAACUAUUUAAAGAUUGGCGGGGGCCUGGGGGCUCACUCCGAUGCACCCGGGUCGCCAGCCUCGUCGCCACUGUCGCCCACUCCGCCGUCAUCGUCCUCCUCGUCGGAGUUGAGGGCGAACGCGAGCCGAGGGGCCGAACCCUCGAAGCUGUGGACGAUAUGGUCGGCGGCGUCCCGGACCUGCGCGCGCGCGCCGUCCUCGGUCCCGGGAGGGAACUCGUCCAGCGCCGUCCAUGGGGAGAAGUCGGGAUCCCUGGCUUGGUAACUCGCCAGUACGAGCUCCACCGCUCCUCGGGCGAGGUCCCUCGAGGAUGACUUAAUCGUCCUCUCGAGCUCCUCGGGAAGCCGUUGGAGAGUCCCGGCUAUCUCCGAGAGGCGCUGGGCGAGGCCCCCCUGGUUGGCGGCGUACUUCGCAGUCCGCCCGCCCCAGAGGCCCGCCUGCCGGCCGGCGCGGUCUAGACGGGAGACGGCGUCCCGAAGCAUGCCGGGCCCUACCUCGCCUGCCAAGCGGAGGGCCUCGACCUCCCGGCAGACGAGUCUAGCGCGCCCUGCAGAUCGGCGAUGGUGUGUUCGGCAGCUGCGAGGCGGGCGGUUAAGUCGCUUUCGCCCGCGGCCGCCCCGCCACUGCGCGCCCUCGCGUCCAGCUCCCUCUCCCGCGCCUCGAGCUCACCGGCCCACUGAUUCAGCGCGGCCCUCUCGGCGCGGGCACCUUCUAGAUUACGGCGCGCCUGCUCCUCCCGCACUGCCUCGCGGAGGGACAGGCUGUCCGCCAGCCGUUGCGCCGCGGCCUCGGCCUCCUCGAGAGCUCGCUCCCGCUCGGUGAGCGCGUCCUCGCGGAGGCGGAGCGCGGACUCCUCUUCGGCGCAGGCGGCCUCGUGCGCAGUCAGCGUUGCCUCCCGGAUGGCAACGGCGGCCUCGCGAUCCGCCAGGUUCCUCUCCACGGCACAGGCACGCUCUUCCAGCGCCAUGGCACGGGCCUCAAGGGCUUCUUCGCGCCGCCGGGAUGCCACCUCGGUCUCCGCCGCCCGCCGUUCUCGGGCAGCGGCAGCGUCAAGGACCCCCUGGGCGGCGUCGAGCUUCUUCCCUAGCUCCGCCUCCCAGCUCCCGUAUUGAAGGCGGAGGGUGUCCUGCGCCUCGUUCAUCACGGUGGUGGCGAUGAGGGCAGCCCCCCGCUCCUCCUCCACCUCCUUGGCGAUCUCCCCCAGCACCUUCCGACGGGCUUCGAGCUCUGAGACGUGCCGGCGGUGUGCCUUGCGGCCCACCUCCACCAUGGCCUCCACCGAGCGUCGCCCCUCUUCGACACGCGCCCAUGCGGCGUCGAGCUCCGCCCGCUCUGCUUGCAGGGCCUCCACCUGGGCACUUAACCCGUCCAACACCGUGGUGUUUGCGAUGGCCAAGGCCUGCAGAAGGGGUUCUGCGCUCAGUGGAGCAACGGAAGGCGUGGGGAAGAGCCGCCUCGAAGAGGAUGCUGCGCGGCUUGGCCCGCCGAUGGACGUGCCGGACUCGGGGAUGUCCCCCGGACCUGGUUUGUCCUGAGCGUCGCACGAGGGAGUGGGCCCAAGCGAUGCACUCGCGGCCUCGCCGCGAGUUGCCUCGGAAGUCGUUGUCGCCUCGGCCUGGCGAAGUCUAGCCUCCUCCCGAGCGGCUUCUUCAGCUUGGCGAGCUCGGACGGCCACCUGGGCAGCUUCCUCGGCUUCUUGAAGGCGAUCCACGGCCUCUUGCCGGUCAGUUUCACGGGUCGCCUCGGAGGAUGUCGUCGCCUCGGCCUGGCGGAGUCCGGCCUCCUCCCGAGCGGCUUCCUCGGUCUGGCGAGCCUGGGCGGCCUCCCGAGCGGCCUCCUCGGCUUCCCGAAGGCGAUCCGCGGCUUCUCGCCGGUCAGAUUCCCGCCUCCGGGCCUCUGUGGUCGCCGGGUCCUCGGCCUCAGACUGGCCGGACUUGGAAUGGCGGGAGGGACGCGACGGGAUCUCGCUGAAGCAGAAGAAAAGCCAGAAGACAAACAAGAUGGGUGAAUGAAAACUUGUGUUGGAAGAAUGAAUACAGCCACAAUGGGCGUGGGACGAACCUGCGAGGGGGUCGGUUAAACGACCACCUUGGAGGAGAAAUGAGGUUUCCCCGGGAUGGUUCUGUCCCCCCCAUCUUGCGGAGCCGUUUCUUCUUCCGCUCCCCCUCGGGCUGCGGCGUCGGCGCGGCCCCCUCCGGGCGCCUGCUGCUGACACGCGCCGCCCCGCCCCCUCGGGGAGGAGAUGGGGAGGAAGUACCCUCUUGCUUUCUCUUCCCUCGGGCGUCGGCAGGGCGGCUACCCCCCGAGCCCCCAUCACGGGGCCCAGAAGCACGACCCCCUCCCGGGGUAGAUUGUUCCCCCCUGCGGCUCCCGCCCGAGCCAUCGUGGCCUCGAGGAGCCCGCUCCUCCGACGCCCCGACCGCCUGCAUGAUGGUCAGGAUGUUGGCGCGAUCUGGAUCGCUGCAGAGGGGGAGGACUCCUUGGGGGAUGAGGGAUGCCUCCGCGGAGCUGAGAUUCAGCACCCGUUGGAUCAUUACCUUGAAGUCUUCGGGGACCCAGUCCCAUUUGACCCCCCGGUGGGUCCUCAUACAGUCCUCGGACCCGGUGUACUCCCAGGCAUCCCGGGCGCGCCGCUGGAGUGGCGCGAUCCGGCGACGAAGAUAGUCGCUGUACACCAUGGCCCCUGUGAGCCCCAGGGAUCACAGGCCCGCCAGGCGGUCGAGGACGGCGUCAUAGCCAUCUCCCAGAUCUACCGGCGCCCGCCAGCUGGAGGCCUGCGCCGGGGGCUGGCUCGGAAGACGGAGGCGCGCUUCGUCGGCGAGGGGGGUGUAGAACCAGUCGCUCUUCCAGUCAUCCCACUUCUUGCGGAGGACGCAGGGAAUGUAGCGGUUCAACACCGGCCCCCGCGGCUGGAAGUAGCAACCACCAACCACCGACGGCGGCGACACCGACUGUACGGUGAAGAACCACCGGAACAGCCGAAGGGAUGGGCGCACCCCGAUGAACAUCUCGCACAGGUGCGCGAAGAUGGCCAAUGUCAUUACCGCGUUGGGGGUGAGGUGCGCCAUCUGGAGAUCGUAAAACUCCAGAACAUCCAUGAAGAAAGAAGAAAAUGGCGGAACCAGCCCUGCCAUUGCAAAAGGGAGGAAGAAGACGGACCGCCCCGGGUAGCAUGGCGUCGGGCGUCCCUCGCCCAGCGUAACUAUCUCCCGGCCGGUGGCAGAUUCCGGCAUGAAGCGGCGUGGCAGCCCGGCCUGCCUCUCGCUCACGAUGCGGGAAGGCGGCAGCACGCUACCAUCAAGCAAAGCGGAGCCCCGUGCCAUGACGCCGGAGGAAGAGAUGUUUAAGAGCGAGCGCGUGUGGCGAAGGUAGGGCACAGGAAACAAGGAGUUAGGGCGCAAGCGGCGAAGACAAGGGGAAUAAUGGCGAGAGGAAGGAAGCAAAUCUCUUCCUCGGCGACUUUAUACCCUUGCCAACGCUGUGCCCGGCUCCUCGUUUCUCGCGCCCACUAUCUUGCCCCCUCGUUUCUCGCGCCCACGCUUCCACAAAUCCCAUUCGCCCGUUUGCGGUGCAUGAGGUGGACAUGCGGCUGUGGCAGUCGAGAUGGAACAUCUCGUGCGCGCGUUAAUUACGCUCGCCGACCAAAGCGCCAUCACCAUAUCUCCAGGAAAAACGAACCGGCUUGUCCCGAUUUUUAGACCGGCCCCACCAUGUCACCAGGCCUUAGGAAGUGGCGUCACGCCCGACCGCUUCCCUCGAGGAGGGCGAUCGCCCUGGCAUAACGCCGGGGGCUACUGUCGGUGACAUGGGACCGGGAGUAUCAUGACUUAGAGACUUGAGGCAGACACGAUCACCCACGUGGCCUAACCCCCUCGGGGGGGGUCGGGCCCGAGGGUGAUACGGCCGCCCUUCUCUUUGUCUCCCCGAGGGGUCGGACCGCUCCCGUCUCGGCCCCGAGGGCCGAGGCGCCCCGACCCCUUGUGGGUUUUGCGCCGCGUAUAUGGGGUAGGUGAGCAUAGCGGGGCUCACCUAACCACAUUUAUUGCGGUUUGGACGAGCGCGUCACGCCGCAUGUAACGCAGUGCAGCGCGCUCGUUUAUCCGGUCAGUGACCAGUCACAGACCGAUCAGAUCGUGGGUUAGGUGGCGACAGGCGGUCUGACGCACGCCUCGCCCCAUCCCGUCAGGAUGAGAGCCUCCAAGCACUCGUCCCUAGCCGGAGCCGGCGUGUUAGCUCCUGGAGAUGGCACGUUGGUCCCGGUCAGAUAUAUACCAGGCUUCAUCCUAACCAUUAAAAGCAAGACAUUGUAUGAAGAGGGGCGAACAUGCAGAUUGAUAAACUGACGCGUGGUGGACAAGAAUGACCGAUUUGUGACCGGUCUGACACUGAUCAUGUCGUCAGCAGACAGCCAUGUUCCCAAGUCGCGCCUGCUUCCGGCGGAAGUGGAGGUAGGUAUGGGCUGUCCCAUCAGAAGGUCAUUCGGACGGCAACCAUACAAGUCUCCGUCUGUUUAUGAAAAGAUAGGAUAAGUCCCCACAAAAAAGAGAGAGAUGGUGCAUGUGGUAUCCCCUUGAGGUAUAAAAGGAGGACCUUGCCCACUUAGAAGGAGGAGGGAUUUUCGGAUCCAGAACGAUCAGAGAGGAAGAGAGUAAGAGCUCUCUGGUUCUCCAGCUCUUUUGUAGCUUCUUCAUACAUAGAUCCACAAAAACACAGGAAGUAGGGUAUUACGCUUCUCAGCGGCCCGAACCUGUAUACAUCGCCCGUGUCUUGUGUGUUUCCAUUCUCGCGAACCUUCCACACAAAGACUAGGAGCUUAGAAUCUCACCCAGGGCCCCCGGCCGAACCGGCAAAGGGGGGCCUGCGCGGUCUCCCGGUGAGGAGCCCCACGCUCCGUCAAUAUAUAUAUAUAUAUAUAUAUAUAUAUAUAUAUAAACCAUGCAGCAACAAGGCCAUGCAAAAAAAAAAAGGACAGCUCGAUCUUUACUCCCGGUUAUUUCACCCGGGACUAAAGAUAGCGAUCUUUAGUCCCGGAUUGGUACUCCCGGUUUGGAAACCGGGACUAAAGGGGGGUUACGAAUCGGGACUACAAAGGGUUUCUCCACCAGUGUUUAUAAUACGCGAAGGCGUAUAGUUUAGUGGUAAAGUGCGAUCCAUGGACCGUGGUAGGAAUGUAGGAUAAGCACCGUCCCUAAUCUCAAUACGAUAAGAGACACGAUAGCUGGUCGAUCGUGCCACAGAGGUUAUAUCUAAUUUUAUUAUAUAUAUUUGAAAAAAAAACUAAUUAAUCAUGUGCUUAAACCAUGUGAUCAAGGUGGUGCUCAAAAUUUUCUCGUCGCAAUACGCAGCAAUACUGCUAUAGUACUGUCUAGUACUAUCGGCUGUACCGUUUAUUACAUGUAUGGAAAUAGCACUACGUAUAGUAUAGUAUACGGGAGUAUUGUGCUACACCUUGAUGUAAGAUUUGUUUGGAGGGUUUUUGAUUCUGAAGAGAGCUGUCGGGAAGGAUGAGUUAGGUUGGCUUUUUUUUAGACAUAGGGAAUAUAUUAUCAUGAUUGGUUUUUUAAACAGGGGAGUAUAUGCUAAUUAUGAGUUGCUUUAUUUUAGUUCCCAACAACAGCUUUCAAACACACCUUAAAAGCUAGAAAAUCAACGUGGUGAGAAUUUUAAGAAACACAAGCAUUAGACUAUUUAGGAGAGUAAUGGUUUUGAAAAACACUCCCUCCGUUUUAUAAUGUAAAUCAUUUUAGCAUUGCCUAUAUUUAUAUAGAUGCUAAUUAAUUUAGACAUGUCUAUAUAAAUUUAUAUAAAUGUGGAUAAUAAUAAAAUGACUUACAUUAUAAACGGAUGAAGUAUUCUACAGCUAUCAGAGUAUCAUAAAAAAGGGCAGUAAUGUUUGCCUAUCCGCGAUUACGUGCACCAUCCAUCGUCUCCACGUACGUCGUUCGCCGCAGGGUUCGCACUCGCGGGGCGUGUGUAGAUUCGCGGGCCGGCUGCAAUGGGCGAAAAGCUACGAGUAGAUCAUCGGAGGAAAAAAGGCGCCGGCAAAUCUCGGAACGCGGCGUAGUAAAAGCAAGAAAUUAAAAACAAAGCACCGAGAUCGGCUGACGUCGCCGCCAGCCGCCCCGGGAAGGGAAGCCUCGGUCGGGUCUUCGAGCGCCGUUCCCACGUACUCCGUACGGACGCAACCGCAUGGCGCGCGCGCAUUUUGAGGGCUGGCCGGCGCCGCGGGCCCCUGCCGCUGCCAGUGCCAACGUCGCGGCGUCACCGUGUUGUCCGUGCAGCUAGCUAGUCAUCACUGUAGCUGGCGGAGACUCGCCGGCUCGACGGGCGACGGCCAUGCACUUCCAUGGAGCAGCACCACAGACACCGGCCCGUCGCGCAAUUCUGCGUCGCUAGUGGCUAGUGCUACUCGUCAACUCCGGCUGCCAUCGACGGUCAUUGUCUCACAAACAUGUACUCCCUCCGUCGCUAGUGGUUUUGAGUUUUUUUAGUUUGUAACGUUUGAUCACUCGUCUUAUUUAAUUUGUUUUGAAAUUAUUAUUUAGUUUAUUUGUGACUUACUUUAUUAUCUACAAUACUUUAAGCAUAACUUUUCGUUUUUAUAUUUGCAAAAAUAAUUUGAAUAAGACGAGUGAUCAAACGUUACAAACAAAAACUCAAAAUCCCUUAUAUUGUGGGGACAAAGGGAGUAGUACGAAUAAGAGCAAGUAUAAUGGUGAGUUAUAAGUCUACUAUAAACUUAGAUGGAGGAGAGAAGUAGUGAAAAAUCAAGAGUGUUAGCUCUCAUGAAAGAGCUAACUUAUGAGAGAGGAGAAGAAAAUUAUAGCUAACCUUAUAGCUAAUCUAUUAUAUAUGUUGACUUUAAGAUUAGCUAAUAGUAAGAAGUGAGCUAUAUUAUUAUCUUUGCUAUAAGAGUAUCCACUCAACUAACUAGAUGGGCACGCAUUAGUGCUCUUUGUCCGUGCACGUCACGGCACUAUUGCGGUAGUAGUACUCGCAAAGGGCAGUGGCUACCAAUAGUCGUUCGUUGGGAUGGAGGGAGCCGGGGGCUGGUCGAGCGUGGCAACGGGAAACAGGGGACGACCCUGCAAACGAGAGCGCAUCGUUCGUGCGGUCGUGGAUGUUGUUGUGUUGUGCUGUGCGCCCGUUUGGUCGACAGGCACGGGCGCAUUAAACUCCCAUGCUUAAUUCCCCGGGCCCCACCAGACAGGCAGAUCAGAUCCGACGUGUACGACGGGCGGUCAAAGCCCAGUACGGACGGACCCGGUCACCCACCCGGUGCCGGAGCCCCCGGUGGUGUCGCGGCUGUGGCCUGUGACACCUGUGACACUUCACUGACUCUGAGCGCCCGCAGGACGGUGGGCCCCACCGACCCGCGAGGGUGGGGUCACGUCACGGGGCAGCGCUGCGAUCGAGGGGCUCCGGAUCGACGGACCGGAUUAAACUGGAUCGGGGUCGUCACAAUGGCAGGUGGGGCCCGCGGUGCAGCGCGACGUCACGGGGCGGGUGGGGCCGAGGGGCGUCGUGGGGAUAUCCGGAACCGGACGGAUCAGCGGUCGGGCUGGCGUGGCAAUAUGUGUGGUCCAGCCUGUGCAGUUGGGGGCGGGGGAAGGGAAGAUCUUCUGUAAGCAUCAGCGGUGGCAGUACAGUGGAUGGCAGCUGGAGGUCAGGAUGGGAAUGGUUAAUAUGGAUCGAACUUAAACCAUUUGAAAUGUGUUUAUUGUACCAUGGUUUAAAAGUUUCAAUCUAUCAUGGGUCUAUUAUAUCAAUAGGUUAUCUAUGUAUAUCCAAAUGGAUCAUCUAUCCUCCUAAUAGAUAAAAAAAAGCUCUUAUUGCAUAUAUGUAAAAGUCGGACCUAAAAUUUUUAAACUCGUGUUUACAUAGUAAAACCUUAUCAAAUUUAGUUAAAUUUAUAGAGAUGAUUUAUUAUAUGGAGAAGCAACUUUGUUCAAAUUUUAAGUUAUUUAGACAUGCGGAGCCCACUAUGCAUUACUAAGAUUCAAAGAAAUUCUAGCUACACGUGUGUAAAACUCGGACCCAAAAUUUUUAAACUCGCGUUUACACUAUAAAAAUUUGUCAAAUUUAGUUGAAUUUUAUAUGAAUGAUUUAUUAUAUAGAGAAGCAACUUUGUACAAAUUUUUAAAAUAUUUAUACAUGUGAAGUCAUUUUGGGUCAAACCUCUUAAACCUUAGGUUCUAAGGGCAAGGCCAAUGCUUAUGGUUCCAUCAGCCAUAUAUGUGGGACCCGCUAUAAGUAAGCAUUAGCUAUGUCCAUAUCCACAAUGGCUGUGCCUAUGGGAGAAAAUAAGCUGGGUCCCAAUGGGUCCCACCGAAGGAUAAAAAAAUCACUUCUUAUCCUCCUGUGAAACUCUUUGCACAAUGAAAAUUCCCCAAAAGUACUAGCGUGAACAGCACAUCACAAAAGUAUUGUAUUCUAUAGUUUUGUUACCACACCAUAAGGCUAAUGCUCAUUUUUUAUGUCAGAUUCUUAUGGUCCACUUUCACAAUGCUUAAUGUUAUUUAUUGCUUAAGGUUACUUUUAGCACACAUUGUGGUUGCCCUAAUGGUUUGAGCCGUUUGGUCCAUUUAUAUUUUUUUAGAGCGACCCUAAAAUCCGUUAGGACAAAUUUAUGAAUAGAUUUAGUGAAUAAAUGGAUCGACCCUACCCAUUCCCAUCCUGAGCUGGAGGGUGACGGAGCUGUGUAGUAGGGAUAGCAGCGGCCGUCGGGGCCAACCAGACUCAUGAUCGAGUUGCUUGGCGUCGGGGGAGAAACUCUGAAAGAGCAAAUAGGACACAGAUCUUUUUUUUUUAUAUUGACUGUUUGAUACGUGGGCUCUAUAUCCAGUGAGUUUAUAUGGCAGUGAUCCACAUUAGAGGAUAGUAUUGCACAGAAGACUUAUAUGAAGUAAGGUGUGUUUUUUUUCGAGGUAGUAAAGUGUUUUUGGUUGACAAGGAUAGCUCCGGUAUUCGAAAUUAUAGAAAUUAUAUUGUUCUAUGUUGAAAUUCUAAAUGUAGAAAUGGGAUUGUCUUACAUUUGAACUAAUAAAUAAAUGUACAGAAAAGUAGUAAUACUGAUAUGGCUUUGUCUCGAAUUUUGAAAGGUCUGGCAGCUUCAAAAUAUUACUAGCAUUAUACUAAUAAAUUACAAACAAAAUCUAGGCAGUAUACAGCAAAAGAUGUCUAUUAUGGAUAUACCUCGAGUAGCUAUCCUACCCUAGUACAAAGAAAGUUUAGGUCAUCAUCGGUUACUCAUAAAAAUUAAUCUGUAGUUAACAAAUAUAUGUGUGUUUUCUCAACAAUUUAAAAUGACAAUGCUGAAAAAGUAACUACAUUGAAAUUGUCUUAAAAUCAACUUUAAUUUUAAAGUUUUAAAAUUUAAAUUUUGGAUUUGCUUUGACUUAUUGAGGCAACCAAUGAAGCUCUUAAUUUCUUGAAACGUGCAAAUAUAUGUCAAAGGUAAGCGCAUAUGAUAAAGUGCUCGGAAAGCUAUGGUGUAGAGCUUUCCAAAAUUAUCGUUAGACAUACACAAGGAUACUGAAAAACUUGUGGCGUUGUUUUACAGAUUUAUCUUAACACGGAAAAUAAAUACAAAAUGAAAUUUAGGUACAUGAAGUUUGUGUUCAACAAGAAAAGAUGAACAUUCAUAUGUAGCAAUGGUUGUACGGUAUGUCCGUAACAUGAAUACUGUUUUCUAGUCUUGAAUAUUGUUUUCUACCCACAUCAAUAAUGAAACCAAUUCGAACAGCUUGCGGCAACUUAAUAAAUAUACAAAUAUUGCACUGAUCUAUGUUAAAAAAAAGUUAGCCGCAAAAUCUUAUAAAGCUUGUAUCAAAAUAUGAAACCCAAGGAUCCAACUUCAAAAACAAAAAAAAGAAGAGUAAAUUACACUGGUAGUUCUUAAACUUGUAACGAAGUUUUACUUAGGUCUAUAAACUUGCAAAACGCAUAUCGAGAUCCCUAAACUUGAUUUAAUGUAUCAUCCGGAUCCAAAGCCUCGUUUGACCGUGUCUUACCUACGUGGAGGAUAACAUGGAAUUUUUACUUUUUUUCUCCUUUCUUAUCCCUUUUUUUCUCCUUUCUUAUCCCUUUUUUUUUCUCCACUUUGCCUCUUUCCUCUCCCUUAUGCCGCAUUUUUCUCCACGCGAGGUGAGGAAGGAGAGAAAAGAUGGGAAGAAAAAAAGGGAAAAAGAAAAAUUAGCCAAGUCAUCGUCCACGUGGCAUAACACAUAGGCAAGAUUACGGUCAAACCAGUCUUUAGACCAGGAUGAUACAUUAAACCAAGUUUAAAGAUCUCAAUACGUGCUUUGUAAGUUCGUGGACAUAAUUGAAAAUUCGUUACAAGUUUAAGAACCGCUAGUAUAAUUUACUCAGAAAGAAAAGAAAGUAAACUAUCCAAUAUCCACAAAAGAUCCCCACACCUGAUCACACCCAGUUUAAGCGCCCACACGGCCACACUCCCCUGCCGUUCAUCACUCCCUCCCCAUUUUACCGUUGAGGUCGGCGACCUCCGCGGACGGUACGGCGGGACACUAGCCCGUCCCGAGGGGCAAUCCCGUAAUUUUCGCGCAGUACAGUGCCUCCCAGCGCAGUGGCUUCGCCCCACGCCCUACUGUUUUAAAUCCCCCUGCCGCUCUCCUCCGCCGUCUUCUUCCCCCCCUUCCUCUCCACCACCCCCGAUUCGUCGUCCACCACCGUUCGACGAGUUUCUCGCAGAUCGGGCGGGGGCGCGCCGGGAUGGCGUACAUGUGCGCGGACAGCGGCAACCUCAUGGCCAUCGCGCAGCAGGUGAUCCAGCAGCAGCAGCAGCAGCAACAGCAGCAGCAGAGGCACCACCACCACCACCAUCUGCCGCCGCCGCCGCCGCCGCAGUCGAUGGCGCCGCACCACCACCAGCAGAAGCACCACCACCACCACCAGCAGAUGCCGGCGAUGCCGCAGGCGCCGCCCUCGUCGCACGGCCAGAUCCCGGGCCAGCUCGCGUACGGUGGCGGCGCGGCGUGGCCCGCCGGGGAGCACUUCUUCGCGGACGCGUUCGGGGCGUCCGCCGGCGACGCGGUGUUCUCCGACCUCGCGGCGGCCGCGGACUUCGACUCUGAUGGGUGGAUGGAGAGCCUUAUUGGGGACGCCCCCUUCCAGGACUCCGACCUGGAACGCCUCAUCUUCACCACCCCGCCGCCGCCCGUGCCGUCCCCACCCCCCACGCAUGCCGCCGCCACCGCCACCGCCACCGCCGCCACCGCCGCUCCUCGACCUGAGGCUGCACCGGCUUUGCUCCCCCAGCCUGCUGCUGCGACCCCGGUGGCGUGUUCGUCUCCGAGUCCGAGUUCCGCGGACGCCUCCUGCUCCGCUCCCAUCCUCCAGUCCCUCCUGUCCUGCUCCCGCGCGGCGGCGACCGACCCUGGCCUCGCCGCCGCGGAGCUCGCCAGCGUCCGCGCCGCCGCGACUGACGCCGGGGACCCAUCUGAGCGCUUGGCCUUCUACUUCGCUGACGCGCUUAGUCGCCGCCUUGCGUGCGGCACCGGAGCUCCGCCCUCCGCGGAGCCGGACGCGCGGUUCGCCUCCGACGAGCUCACGCUCUGCUACAAGACGCUCAACGACGCCUGCCCCUACUCCAAGUUCGCGCACCUCACCGCCAACCAGGCCAUCCUGGAGGCCACAGGCGCGGCGACCAAGAUCCACAUAGUUGACUUCGGGAUCGUGCAGGGCAUCCAGUGGGCGGCGCUGCUUCAGGCGCUCGCCACCCGGCCCGAGGGGAAGCCAACGCGGAUACGGAUCACCGGCGUCCCCUCGCCGCUCCUGGGGCCGCAGCCCGCGGCGUCCCUCGCCGCCACCAAUACCCGUCUCCGUGACUUCGCCAAGCUCCUCGGGGUGGACUUCGAGUUCGUCCCAUUGCUCCGGCCUGUGCACGAGCUCAACAAGUCGGAUUUCUUGGUUGAACCUGACGAGGCCGUGGCCGUCAAUUUCAUGCUGCAGCUGUACCACCUUCUUGGCGACUCGGACGAGCUAGUGAGAAGAGUGCUUCGUCUUGCCAAAUCGCUCAGUCCAGCAGUGGUCACACUUGGAGAGUACGAGGUCAGCCUGAACCGAGCUGGGUUCGUCGACCGGUUCGCCAAUGCGUUGAGCUAUUACCGGUCAUUGUUCGAGUCGCUGGAUGUGGCAAUGACCCGGGACUCACCGGAGAGGGUGAGGGUGGAGCGUUGGAUGUUCGGGGAGCGAAUUCAGAGGGCCGUCGGGCCGGAGGAAGGCGCAGACCGGACGGAGAGGAUGGCCGGCAGCAGCGAGUGGCAGACCCUGAUGGAGUGGUGCGGCUUCGAGCCCGUGCCGCUCAGCAACUAUGCCAGGAGCCAGGCUGAUCUUUUGCUCUGGAACUAUGAUUCCAAGUACAAGUAUUCACUUGUUGAGUUGCCACCGGCGUUCUUGUCCUUGGCAUGGGAGAAACGGCCAUUGCUUACUGUGUCUGCUUGGAGGUGAGGGUAGUUUUUUUGGGAGUAUUUGGGGGAAUGUGUGGCGUUGUGAUAGAACCUGGGAGGAAAUAGUUAGGAGAAAUCAUUUUGCAGCUUUUGUUGUAGUUUCCUCCAAAACUGUGUUUAGGAUGAUUGGUAUAAUUGGGAAAUUUUAGCUGAAUUAUCUUGCUCGGUGUUUGUGCUGCUGAAUGUGUGCAUGAUAUUAACUGGUUAGAGAAAAAUUAGUAGUAGUUGUACAGAAUUUGGUAACAGGUUUUAGCUGUGGUAUAUUGCUUGCUCAUGUUACCAGGAUGAGAAAUAUAAAUCUGGAUGCAAUUGUGCAUUUUAAGUAACAGAAUCCAACCACAAGCAAUAUUUAAGUAAUUUUCAGCUCCUGAUAUGAUACUUUUUUGAACAUCUUGUAUAUUCAUAAUCCAACAUUUCAGUCCAUUUAUUUCUUUUGAAAGCAUCUGAUUGUAUCAAAGUGAUCUCUGUAGUUAUGCAUGUACUCCUGGUUUGUCCCUUCAGUAAUGAAGUGUUGUCUGGAACUGGAAAGACCUCUUCGACUAUUCUUAUGAUUUGAAAGUAACCUUAAAUUGUGUUUUUGUAUUUCAUCUGUAUUCAGUUUACCGAUUUUCUUCACAUCUGACAUGUUAUUUUCUUGGUAACCACAUUUUUUAAAGCUCAUGUUGUGGACUGCCGAUGUCUUGCAAUGCUUUAUAAACUCAGCAUUUUAACUUGAUCUAGAAGGCAGCAUCCUCUCUUUUGGCACUUGCCCUUUUCUUCCGGAGCUAAAAUUGCUGUACUUAUCAUCUGACUUUUGUGCAUCUGAACUUGAAAACACUGUCCUAAGUAUUCUUUGCAGAAGAUAUAUAGCAGCUGUAAUUUUCAGGCAGCAUACCUUUCUUGGAUUGAUUUGCCUCAUUUUCCUUUGUUGGAAGCCAUGCCACAUGAGUCGUGACUAACUACCAGAAAUUCAGAAUCAAGAGCAAACGGAAGUUUGCCUGCCCCAAAUUUCCUGUUCCCCACAACACACAAACCUGGAAUUCUAAAUCUACCCCUUGUCUGUAAAUUGUAAUAGCCUGAAAUUCACACUAUUUUGCAGAGUGAGCAUGUCUCUCUUUUAUGAAAAGUUCCCUUUGAAUGAUAUCAACCGUUCUUCCAACCGUUCGUGCUAUGAUCCUGUCGAGGUAUUUCUGUCAGGUUUAACUUCGCUGCAAUCUUAAAGCUUGGAAAGCUUUUUCUGAGUACAUUAGGCCAAACAGAGUACAGAGCACCAGUCAGGCCUGUUUUGGCAAGAUCAUGAACCUGACCACCAGAGAGCUUUUAAGUGUGAUCAGUGCUCGGAUACGCUCGACUCUCAGUUGCGUAAGUUCCCUGGAUCUCGUGGCCACUACUGGUUGUCGGGAGACGAAGGCCUCUGCUUCUCUCCCCACCAGGCACCAGGCCACCACCGGCACUGUCGCACUGAGCCAUUUUCUCUGUGAGAAGUGAAACGCUCAGAAGUGAAAUGGCUUUGUUUGAAAGAGCUUUUAGCCGCUGUAACUUCUUUUAAAAUCCGUAGCUCCUUCAACAGUUCAGAUUUUCAUCAAAAUUCUGAGAAUUGAUAGAUGUAAAACAUAGAAAUAAACUGAAUGUCAAAAGGUAGAAAGCAUAACUUUUCAGAUUUUCAUUCAGCUUCUUAUCAGCAUCUUGAACUACCCAUAGGUGCCAUUUCCACUAGCUGGCCCCAACCGUGCAGUGAUGAUUGUUUCAUUGACUAGUUUGAACAUUUGUUGCUCCAGCCACUGAUCUGGCCGUGUGUUCCUGUUACUUCAUGCAGUCGCUCAAUAAUGCGUUUAUGCCCAUGCUAGUCUGAUAGUAGCAGUUUCCUAGUGCUAGUGGCUCCCAUGAUUACGUCGUAAUCUAUCACUCUCCCUCUUGCUUUGACAAGUGAAAUCUCUUGACAGACUCCAUCCGUCCCCUAAUAUAAAGAAUUUUAACAUUUUGCUUGACCACUUAUCUUAUUAAAAAAUUUAAGCAAAUAUAAAAAACAAAAAGUUAUGCUUAAAAUACUUUGGAUAAUAAAGUAAGUCAAAAAAAUAAUUCUAAUUUUUUAAUAAGACGAAUGAUUAAACAGUACAAGCAAAAUCCCUUAUAUUAGAGGAUGGAGGGAGUAUUAAGGACUCUUUUGACAUAUUUGAUGUUUAGUCCGACGGUGUGCCGUUUACCAUUACCGCAUGUUAGCAGGGAUUCAGAUUGGAUGACAUGGGGUGAAUCUUGGCCCUCCGAAACAAAUCCAACGGCUGAGAUUCGUCCACGUCAUCAUGAGUAAAAGUUUUACUCCUAGUUAAAUUUUUACUCCUGAGUAAAUCUGCGAGUAAAAUGUUUACUCGUGAUGACGUGGAUGAAUGUCAGCCGUUGGAUUUAUUUCAUAGGGCUGAGAUUCACCCUAUGUCACCUUGUGACAUGCCUACCCUAUGUCACCCAAUCCCAAUCCACCUUAGCGGUAAGCACAGUUACUAUGGUAACUGGGUUUACUGUUAGGGUAGGGGAAUGUUAAUCGCAAAGUAACCCUUCCAAAUUUUGAAAGAUAAUUUAAUUUCUUGAUAAAACUUGUCUAUAUUUUUCACGGUUUGUUGUGGUUAUCACAGUUAUGAACUAUUAACUGUGCUUAUUGUCAAUGUCUGGCAAUCUAGCCAUAGCCAUACGGUUCAAAUCAACCGUACGGCUAUGGCUAGAUUUCGUGGAAACUGUUGAUAAAACUGAUAAAAACAGAUGAUAUCCGAACAAAUCUUGUUAUAAAAAAUAAAAUUCAAUUUGUUUUUUGAUUGACUAGAGAAACCGAGUUGUUUGUAUUUUCAACCCGGUUUUUUGUAAACCCAACCAGUGCCUCGUCCAUUGUGAGAAGAAAACACUAACGGUGUGACAGUGAGUGUUUAUAUCAUUAUAUAUGCUGAUUAUAUGGAGAAAAUUGAUAUUUAGCCAUUCUCGGGUUAGGGUUUCGCCAAAAUGCCAUCGCCGAAUGUGGCUUCGUUAUAAUGCCAUCUUCAAACGACUCCAUCUUGCCACACUACCAAUCUACCAUUUCAACCGAUUUUGAUUAUUUGCAAAUGUUUUCCACUGUUUUGCUUAUUUGGUUUGACCCAAAUGCCCUUACCUCAGCCAUGGGGCCCACUUGCCAGGAGCGUCUUCCACCUCUGCCCACCACCAUCCUUCUCUCUCUGGUGAACUCAUGCAACAGUGUUCUCUCUUGACCUCCCUCCUCGGUUGUUCUCGCCCCAAAUUGAAUGCAAAAAUCGGUUCCUCUUGUCCUCAUCAAUUCCCCCAACAAAUCCCACUCAAAUCAGCGUAACUCCGUGGUGUAUUUUGAAGUCCGACUUGAAUAGCAAGCUCCACCAUGACCGGCGUCGAUCUCUCUCCCCGGCGAGGUUGGAGAGCCUGCUCAAGCGGCUGGACGCUGCGGGUGGAGCAGGUCGCUGCCCACAUCGAGGAGCUCAUCAGAGAAGGGGGUGACGCCGUGGCGCGCGGUCCGGUCGAGCACUUGGUGCGCCGUGCCGCCGAGCCGAACCGUCAUCUCCGUCUGCACCGCUGCCUUCCCGUCCCCAGCCAUGCCGCCGCGUCGCCUUCCCUGUUCCCGGUCGCUGUCGCCACCGCCGACAACCUGCGGGUGAACCUGGUGAGCUAUGUUGUCGAGCUGGUGAAUGCGGCGAAGGGCAAGGUGAACAUGGAGUACAUGCGGUUGGUGGUCGACCUCAUGGUGAAGCGCGGUCGGCCGAAACUUCACGAUGGUUCGACGUGGUGAAGGCCAGGUUCGGUGACCUCAACUUCGGGUGGGGGAAGGCGGCGUAUGGCGGGCUGGCGAAGGGCGGGGUCGGCGCCAUUUCCGGUGUGGCCAGCUUCCUCAUCCUGUAGCGGUUCGGCAACGGUCCCGAGCUGCGCCGACGCCGCCCACCAUCUGCAACGAAGAGAGGAAUAGGUACAGAGAGAUGCAAUGGGAACCAAGGGUAUUUUGGUCAUCUUAGCAAGAAAAAAAUCAUUAAACUGAGAAGAGAUGGAUGAAAUAACAUUGCAACAUGUUGCGUCUGUUUGAGGAUGGUAUUUUAGCGAAGCCACAUUCGGUGAUGGCAUUCUGGCGAAACCCCAACCCGAUGAUGGUAAAAUGUCAAUUUUCUCGAAUAUAUGGGCCGUCAAGGAAGACCUCGAAUCCACGGCCCAUGACACGAUGGGCCCUCUCAGGUGGGUGGCAAUCUGUUCCAUCUUCUCCGGCUCUCCAGUGUGCUCUCAACGGGAAACAGGACACAGGCCUUUCUUUGGGAAACAGGAAAAAAAAUGCUAGAACCAGCUGCAAUAUCGCUUAACAAGGUAUAUUGGUGGAUCCAUUUCAUCCCACUUUAUGACCAUGCAAAUUGUUUAAGACAUUUUCUAAUUUACAAUAAUUGUUGGGCGAUCUGCCAUUUAUAGAUCGUCUUAAAUCAUUACAUGGAAAAUGGAACACCUACUUUCGCAGCUUCGCUUCAACAGAUCAAUGCAGCCAGGGCGUCAUUUUGUUUACCGAUGGACAAGGUGACAUGGGUUAAUCCUACGGGUAGAGGUGACAAACGGUGAAAUCUUACACGUGGGAGAAGGAGCCACCAUAUAAAAUAACAAGGACAGUCAAAUGAAACUGGUAAAAAAUAUACACUACUAUAUUAUAUAUAAGGGCAGUAGCAAUGCAAAGCUACGUCAAUGAGAAACCUCAUAUUGCCAAAUAGGAUGAAGCAAUUCAGAACCACACUUUCCAUGGUGCAAGCAGCUUGCUGUGUGACCUAAGAGUAGAUAUUUGCAUUUCAGUCCCUAUUACCUUUAAAUUUACAGUAGUACAAAAUUUUACACUCAACACCCUAAAAUCUACAUAAUAAUAUAUAAUCUCUCCCCAGUCCCCACCUACCGCCGAUUUCUCUCCUCUCCCCACCUACCGCCAUCUGUCCUCACACUCACCGGCGCCGGCGCACCGGGUGGGGAAGCCUAGAAGGGCGGCGGUCGAGGAGCUCCUUGGGCGGCACGGCGACGAGCUCCCUGGCGGCACCGGUCGCUGCCUCUCUGUCAACCCGUCGACGACGCCACCUCCGCUCGAGAUCCGCCACUGGGGCGAUGGCCGGCGGCGUAGAGAUCCACGAGCGGUCGUGGCAGGCGACGGUUGCGGUCAUCGACGGGCUGACGGGAGGGAGGCGCGGUCGUGGCGGGCGGCGGUGGCGGUCGUCGACGGGCUGAUGGGAGGGAGGUCGGCGACGGCGGCAGUGGCGCGGUCGUGGUGGGCCCCGGACGACGGCCACGCUUGGCGCCAUGGCUCUUUGUUCCUAUAGCGAGAUGCGAAAAACCAAUCAGAGCUAUGAGGUCUACUUGCUUUUUCCUCCACGUAGACGAGGUAACGCGCCAUAUACUUGCAUUGUGAAAGACCUAAGGUACCAAUCAGGAGGCUUAUGUACAAGAGUGAAAUUCAUUUGAAGCAAUCAAGAGGCUUCCAAACCUUCAUCAAUUUUUUUAUUUCUUCUAAAAAAAGAGGCUUCCAAUAUUUGGUUAGUUAAUCGACUGAUCAAACCAAGAAGAAAAUAACAAAUGAAGCCUCAACCUUAAGUUCGUACUGGAUUGAGUAACCUCUACAACUAUCUCAUCAAUGAAGUAGUUUCCGGCAAAAUUAAUGUGAGGUCGUUUCUUGCCCUGGACAGUGCACAUACUGAUGAUACGUUAUAGAUAUAUUGACUGGAUAUCUUUAUCUUUACCUACUAUAAGGAAGGCCCUACACGUCGGGCGCCCGAUGCUUCGGGGGAAAAAUCGGGCGCUGACGUCAGCGUUCGAUUUUACGUGCAAAAUUACUUUAAACUGAUUUAUCUCUUAAAUUACUUAUCCAAAUCAUGAUCCAAUUGCACCAUUAAAUUCGUUGCAAUUAAAUCUUCAAAACAAGACCACACAUGGAUAUAUUUUGACGAAAUUUUUUUUAGCUUAUUAUUGAAUUAUUUUUAAACAUUGCACGAUGUUCCACCAGAUAUAUCGGAAUUGUUUCACUAAGUAGAUCGAAAAUGUUUCACUCAUUUAAAUCGGGUGUUAUUUCACCUUAUAUAAAAACAAUGUUUCAGCAAAUAGCGAAAGAAUGUUUCAGUUCACUACACAUUAGAUCUAUACAUAGUGAAACAUUAUGACUACACUAGAUGAAACAUUUUUCGGUGGAACAAAAAAUAAACCAAAUUCCAUUAAUAGGGGGUUUCCAAAAUAUGUGGGUUUUUUUUGCAAUGGAAUGUUUCGUUCAGUGCAACAUUAGAUCUAUACAUAGUGAAACAUUGUGAGUACACUAUGUGAAACAUUUUGGGUGGAACAAAAAAUAAACCAAAUUCCCUUAAUAGAGAGUUUCCAAAAUAUGUGGGUUUUUUUUUUUACAAAAAAGUAUUUUAAUUCACAGCAACAUUAGAUCUAUAAAUAAUGAAACAUUGUAAAUAUACUAGGUGAAACAUCUUUUAUAGAAAAAAGAGGAGCAGAAAUAGGUGGGCCCAAGUAGUCACGUGGAGGGAGGGGGCGCGGGGGGAGUGCCCGAUCCAGCUCCCCCCGCGCCGGGCGACCAGCAAGGAGCAUUUCUAUACCUAAUUAAAAAAUAAGUAAGGCUUCCGGUUGAUUUUUUUGUCCGUCAUUAAAGAGUGGGCCCAUGUGAUUAUUUCGCGGCUAAUCUGUGAAUCCGGAUGCAUUACGGCGAUCUCUGACGCUCCGAAAAAAAAAAGAGAAACGAAAAAAAGAAAAACCUAGCGAGCAGCCCAGCCAAGACGGCAGCAGGCCGGCCCAACAUAAAGCAAACGCGGCCCAGCAGCCAGCCCACAGAACAGAGAAGCAGCAGCCCAGUACAGCAUAGUUAUGUGUGAUACUAUCUAUAUCUAUAACUAAUAUAAAUAUUCGUAUUUUGUUUUCGUCACAUCUAAUUUUCGUCCGUACACAAUCCGAUUUGGUUAGCAAUAGCCAUGGAAAAAAUUGCAAAAAAAAAAAAAUCCGCCGCACCCUGUCAUCGCUACACCGUGCCGGCGAGACAAGAAGGAGAGAGGGAGAGGGAGCGCGGACGUCGUCGACGCCGCCGUUGGGAGGGCGCCGUCUCCGCCGCACCCCGCCGUCACCGCGCUGUGCCGGCGAGAAGGGAGAGAGAAGAGAAGGGAAGCGGUGCUGGUGGGGGGAGAGACGACGCCGGUGGCAGGGGAGGCGGCCGGCUGGGGGGAGGGGGAGAGGCGGGAGAGGGGGAGAGGGAGCGGCGCCGCCGGAGGGGAGGGGAGGGGAAGCGGUGCCGGUGGGGAGAUGGGGAGGGGGAGAGGCGGUGUCGGGACGGGGGAGAGGGAGGCGGCCGGCUUGGCUCGGCUGGGGGGGAGGGAGGGGGAGGGGGAUGGUUAGGGUUAGGGUUCUCAUCAAUUUCAAACUGAUCUGAACCGUCCAUCAAAACGAACGGCUGAGAUCGAUCGAGGGUUUGGGCCGCACCACUUGGGCUGCACCACUUGGGACGCACACGGGCCGGCGGUCCACCAAGUGAGAGGAGGAGUAUGGGGGCAUUAAGUAGACUUUGGUCGCUUGCGGGCUGAAGAAGAAAAUGGGCUGAAAAAGGCUCAUAGAGAAAAAAUAAUUUUUAUUUAAAUAAAUGCUGAAAUGAUAUUUGUAUUAUCAAAAUUAGCAAUUAAGCUAUGUAAAUUCCAAGAAAAUUUCAAUGAAUGUAAUUAAUAUAGAAAAUUUAAUCCAAUCAUAACAUUUUAUUUCUCACACUUACUCUACUUAUAAAUUAAUUUAAUUAUAUACCUACUACUUAAAAAAUACCUAAAUAUGUCAGAAAUUUUGUAUUUCAUUUAAUUAGAAUUUAAUAUGUUUUAAUUCAAUUUUAUCUUUUUUCUUUUCGUUGCAACGCACGAACACUUUUGCUAUAAUUUCAAAGAGUGUAAUUAAUAUUGCAGAAAAUUUAUAUGUCAUUAAAUUAUAAUUCAUUUUCUUCAUAAAAAUAGUUCAAAUCAAAGUUCAGUCACCAUAUUAUUAUCCGGUGCAACGCACGGAUAUUUUGUUAGUCCGUAUAAAGAUUGAAGAUGUUUUUGCUGUAGCUUUUGGUACGUCAUCCGAAUUAAUCUCCGUGUCGAGUUGUUUUUCGCGUUAAUCACCGUUUCCGAUUUCGCAUUGGAUCACAACGCGUGAUGCGGAGGGGUGAAGAUCGCAUCAGACGUGCUUGUCUAACCGAAACGGGCUUGUGCAACAUCUGGUCCUGCCGGUUUGAUGCAGAGCCGGCCAGCCCAUUAACAGCCUAACCACGGCUUUCUCUGUGUAGGUCCUGUUUGGUCAGUCAAACAAAUCUAUAUACCUACCGGUAUUUUUUUGUCCAUUGUUUUUUUCCGUAUGCAUUUUUUUCGCACGGUCCAGCUUUUUUUCCGUCCGACCGGUUUUUUUUCGCACGUGCACGCGGUUUUUUCGCAGGGCCCAGUUUUUAUUCUGUCCGAUUGGUUUCUUUGGGCCCGGUUUUUUCCGGUCCGAAUGGUUUUUUCACGUGGUUUUGUUUUGCCAGGUUUUUCCCCAUCCAAUUUUUUUCCUUUUUUUCCAUCCUAUAUUUUUUCCGAUAAGUUUUUUUGGUGUGCACGGGAUUGAAUCCCAAAUCUAUAUAUAUACCAAAUUUCUACUAUUAUAAAAAUUAAAAAUGUUUCGCCGAUACUUUGGUAUGUCGUCCGUAUUUGAGUCACCUUGCAUGCUAAUUUGGGACAAAAGUCGGACUCCUAAUUAAUUUACAAUUCUCGCCAGACCAUAAGAAACUUUUGCAAAUACAUAAGGAGUCGUAUAAGAAAUCAUUUUAAAAACCUAACAUGCUAACUUGGGACAAAAGUCGGAAUCCUAAUUGAUUUAUAAUUUUCGUCAGACCAUAAGAAAGCAACGUACAAUAUAUGAUCAAUACUAUCAAAAUAAAAAUCCAUAUACUUUUAAGAAAUAAAGUCUAACAAUAAUACGAUUAAAAUAGCCUUCACCCGUUGCAACGCACGGGUAUUUUUUCUAUAUUAUAAAAAUUAAAUAUGUUUUUACCGGUAUUUUGGUAUGUCAUCCGUAUUUGAGUCAGUUUUUAAGUUUGUUCGCUUUUGAAAAAAUAUAGAUCCGUGUUAAAGUCAGAUUUUAAGUUCGUUUGUUUUUAAAAAUAUAAAAGAAGUCGUACAAGAAAUUUCUUUAAAAGAACUUGCAUGCUAACUUGAGAUUAAAGUCAGACUCCUAACUGCAACUCAUGAUUUUCUAAAAAAUAAAUCCAAGCGAAUUCCUAAAUGUCAUCCUAUCUAAACCGUAUAACAAUAAUAAUAUUAAAAUAGCAUUCACCCGUUGUAACGCACGGGUAUUUUUUUAGUCAAGUUUAAAAAUAUAUCUUUGUAUAUAUGUGUAUAGGACACCACCACCUAAGGCUUCUUAUAGGUAGGUCUAUACCUAUAAGACUAUAAGGUAUAAGAGAGUAUAUAAAUAUUUUUACUUUCGCAUGUACUGGAGCACACAAUUACCAAACGUUUGGGCCCGAGAGCACUUAAUUUCACUAGAAACACAAAAGCCCACGUAAAACAUCACAUGGCAAAGUAUGGCACAUGCUGUCCAUGCGAAGCUCCCGUUCCACCUCGUUUAGUCCCACCUCGGAAAACUAGCUUCAGACAGCGCAGCUUAAAUAGCAAGAGCGUCCCACCACCUCCAGCCGAGCUCAGCAGCGCGAGCUUGUAACCCGAGCGGGGGCAUUAAGGUGGUGUGGACGUUGCCGUAUGGCUGCGGGCCUGGGUUGGCAGUGCCAUAGAUGGCCCGCCCGUUCCAAGUUGCGUAGUUGGGCCGGCGGGGCUUGAGCGAAAGCUCUGGCCUCACGUUUCCCUAGAGUGGCAGGCAUUGCGUGAGGCUGGCUUCACAGAGCAGCGAAUACUGUCCGCUUCCAACGGUGGAAGGAUAACGGGCCGCCGCACUGCUGGCCCGCUUGGGUCUCGCAGCCUACUCCAACGGACCACCACUUUUUUUAUUAUUAUUUUCCCAUCUUGUUUGCCUGAAUUUACCUCUAACUGACUUGCUGCCACGCAUGUAGGCCGUCUUUACGGAUCAUGAACACGGGUAUUCUUGAGCGGUAAAAAUCCAACUUGUAUGUAUUUGUACACUUCAUUAUCUAAAAAAGAAUGUAUUUGUACACUUUGUUGUAAACAAUUCGAUGGAACAAAAAAAAACUAAAGCUGGUGAAUUUGUCGUUGAAUCAAGUCCUUUUUAGUUUUUUUUUAGUUUUGCUGAUUGAAGUUCUCUGUUAGGCAUAAUUGGAGCUUAUGUUGUUUUUAGAUUUAAUAUAUUUCAAUUGUUGCACAGACUGGGAUCGCAGGGAAACAUAAUUAUUUAUGCUAAUAUAGUAAACUGGGUUAACAGCAAACUGAAAGCAGCGGGAAGAAGAUCUCAAAUGGAAAGCUUCAAUGUGUUCUUCCUGUAGCCUCCAGUCUCAAUCAUUUAAAUACUACUCCCUCCGUUUCACAAUGUAAGUCAUUUUAGCAUUUCACACAUUCAUAUAGAUAUUAAUGAAUCUAGACAUAUAUAUCUAUCUAGAUUCAUUAACAUCAAUCUAUCUAGAUUCAUUAACAUCAAUAUAAAUGUGAAAAAUGUUAGAAUGACUUACAUUGUGAAACGGAGGGAGUAAUUACAAAUUUAUACUCAUUCUUCUUUCUUGAUGGAAAUGCCAAGUGUAAUACAGGCAGAGCAGCAGUAGUUCAUGGAGCAGGAGGCGUCAGCUUAUUGCCCAUUUUUCUCUUGUUGCUGCUUGCCGUCGACACGCUGAAGCUGUUGGUGUUGUCGUUUGACUUUUUUUAACAGAAAGAAUUUUAUUUAAAAUGAAAUUAUACCCGGCCUCUACAUACAUCCUAGGACUCACACAAGCGAAAAAAAGAAGAAUAUCCUGAGACAAACAUUAAUGUAUCAUGUCAUCAGAUCUUCUAGUCUCUGUUGCCAAAUGUUGAAGAAAUCAGACAAAAAAGGAGAGGCAUCAUUGCUGAAAAGGGGAUCAGCUUGCCUACUGAUGUCAAAAGAAACCGUGCCAUCAGCUCAUCAUCCAGCUUAUGUUGUUCACCAGAUCUCUUAUAAUUCUUGUCACCAGAUCCUUAGACCGGCGAGGAGAAGAACAUCAUAGUUUCUGAAGUCCUGCACUGGUGCUGCGCCACAAGGGACACAAGCAAACCUUGGUGGAUUGCAGAAAAGGUGUGAUUUAGCGAUCAGUUCCGUAGUUAGCUCUCAUAGGAUAAAAAGUGAUAGUAAUUAGUAGGCAAAAUUGGUUAUAUAGCAUCGAAAGUUCACGUUUUUGGUUUUAUAGCACCAAAAGUUACCGGUUCACUUUAAUAGCAUCCAAAGUUCACCCUGUUACCAUUUUUAGCACUUCCGUCAAUUUUUCUAUCCGUCUUGAUCGUUAUUGAUCCAGUCACACACAUGAUAUGACAUUUCUACCUCUCAUUGACAUGCAUUAUACUUGUACUUGUGAGGGGUAGAAACGUCAUAUCGUGUGUGUGGCUGGAUCAAGACGGACGGAAUCCUCCGUUUCACAAUGUAAGUCAUUCUAGCAUUUCCCACAUUCAUAUUGAUGUUGAUGAAUCUAAAUAUAUAUAUAUAUCUAUCUAAAUUCAUUAAAAUCAAUAUGAAUGUGGGAAAUGCUAGAAUGGCUUACAUUGUGAAACGGAGGGAGUACAUAUUUCAAACAUAGAGAAGAUGCAUUGCUACUAUUAUAAGUGCUUAAGAAACAAUGGUCAGUAAAUAUUCAGACUGAAGUUCUCUAAGUUUCAGAUAUGACAUACAUUACUUAGUAAGCUUCUCUUUUCGCAAAUUUUCUGUCGGAUUGCCCGAGUAAAAUUUUCUUUUCUUUUAUAUUUUUCCAAUGACAAGUAGUACUCGUACUUAGUGAGGUUAGAAGUAGACUACUCUUAUGUUCUUACGAUGAAAAGAACUUUUAAGGUAUAAUUUAGUGAUUGUAUAUACAACAUAUUGUGUCUAAAAAGUUCUCAAUAAUCAAACCGUUAAGAAUCGGAAGUACCUCCAAUCAGGGGGCAAGUUCAUCGUGGAACUUCAUGGUUGGUUUAGGGGAGGCCACCGCCGAGAGCCAGAGAUAAAAGAUGGUGUCACCAGUACUCCCUUCACUCCAAAAUAAAUUAAUCUGAUACAAAAUAAAACAUCAUUGAAUAUAAUGAAUUUGAACAAUUAUUCUAUUAUCUAAAAGAAAUGAAUUUGGACAAUGUUUAGUGGGCGCAAGAAAUCUGAAAAAUUGGCUUAUACUAUAAUUAGCUCGGACCAAAUAUCGUGAGCUUUUCUUUUCCUUUUUUUUUAUAGUUUACUCAUUCUCUAUUGAAUAAAGUUGGUAGCUUGCGCAUUAAAAAAUUUAGACAAUGUUUCGUCUUACGGACUAAGGCUAUAUUCUUCUCCCAUCUUUUCCAACUCACCUCUUUCAUGUUCCUUGCACACACUCUUGAAACUGCUAAACGGUACGUUUUUUUCAAAAGGUUUCUACACGAAAGUCAUAUUAAUAUAAAAAAAUCAUAUUAAUCUUUUUUUAAAAUAAUAAUAAUAAAAACUUAAUUAAUCAUAAGAAAAUGCGUCGCUCUAUUUUGCGUACGCGGGAUGUGAGUUCCCAACCUCACCUCCUAAACACAUUCUAAAUUUGUUUCUCCUCUUCCCCCUCUCGUGCUGGGAUGGAUAGAAUAGUCAUUAAUGAAGGUUGAAACUAAGUUUUCUAGUUUUUCCUUUUUGUGUUUGUGUAUAUUGUUCUGUGUGAGGCUCGGAGUCUAAAAACUCGCGCAUGUUUUUGGCAGUAUAUCCUUUGACAUAUAGAGACCGAAUUAAUGAAAAAUUCACUAUUAAAAGUUUUUAGAUUAGUUUAUUUUAGGAUAGGAGUGGAUCUAUAGUUAGCGUCAGCUUUAGGCGACCCGACGACUUCCGACAAAAACUAUGAUUAUACUUAUUCAUAUAUUAUAAUGAUAUAGUCUAAGUAUAAUUAGCAUGUCAUGGUAUCGAUAGAUCUAUUAUAAUACCAAUGAAUUAAUUUCUAUAUCCAUCAUUGUUUUAGGAGAUAGAGGAGAACUGAUAUGACCGUGGCAGAGAGGAAUGGAGCUGGGUUGAUGUGGAUAUCUCCGUGAUCGCUACACCAACACCUCCAGGUUCCGUACUACCGUCCAUGUGCCAAAUUGUGGCGCAAAACCGUACCACUCGGCCACUCCGGCUGUUUCCCGAACAAAAAAUUGUGGCCUAGCCUAGCGUCACCCUCACCGUCCUAGAAAAGCCUUGCGAGCGAGAGAGCGACACGACCCCGCCCGGCCGCCCCUACUCUCCUCCCCGCCUCACCGCGCUGCAGCACGCGCGCGUGGACGUGUCACCCCGCUCCGCUGCACGUGGCCAUAGCCCUCGCUGGCCACGCGCCCCCCGAGCCUUCCAGGCGCGCCGCUCUGCGUACGUGUCCCCUCCUGGUAGAGAACGGCAUCACGGCGCGCCGCGAAUUAUAAGCCGAGCACGAGCACGAGCACGAGCUCCCCUCUCAACGCCAGGGCAAAUGUUACAUCGCGCCUCGCGUCUUUACCCCUCAUGUACUCGCUUCGUUUAGCUAGCAGCGGCAGCACGGGACUCGGCUUCGCGCUCGGCCGGCUCGGCGGGAGGAGUGGCGGCGGCGGCGGCGGUGGUGGUUUAGCGCCCGCGUCGGCGUCGUCGUCGUCGGUGGUAUCCGCUCGCACGAGGAGGACCGUCUCCGUGACGCCCAACGCCGCGGCGCCGACUCCGGGCGAGCAGGGCGUCGCGAUGGAGCAGGGCAAGCAGCAGCACCAGCCACCACCUCCGUCGCAGCCGCAGCCGCAGCAGGAGAAGCGCGGCUCCCGCGACGACGACAUGCACAAGACCACAGGGUACGUACGCACGAGUACACUACGGUUUUGGCGUGAGCGGCUGCGUGCGCCGGAUUUAACCGUGGCGUCUGCGUGUUCGCGUGUGUGCAGGGACGUGAUGACCCACUCUUUCGGGGAGGGAUACUCGACGCGGUCGGACGAGGAAGGGUUCGGUGGCGUGUACGGACAGAACGACCCGGUGUUCAACCCUGGGACCGAGGUGCACCCCAGCCACCCUGGUACGUGCACUGCUGCUAGAUAAAAUUAACGAAUUUGCUAUAUAUUUAUCGAUAAAUUUCCUCAAAAAAUUUGUCAAGAUGCAAUUACAGUACAAUCGUAGUGUAAUUACACUGUAACUUGCAUGUAAUUACACUGUAACUAUAAUGUACAACUUGUAUGUAACUUUCAACAAUCUCUCGGUAAUAUGUUAUUUCAGUAAAAUAGAGGUCAUGGAAACAAAUCCUUUUAUAUAUGUGUGUGCUAUGAUUUUUUUUCUUCCUCACCAGAACAAAUCUUGUAAUAGAUCUAACGAUUCAAAAUUACGUGAAACUUAAAUACAAGUUACAGUGUAAUUACAUACAAGUUACAAUGUAAUUACACUACGAUUGUACUAUAAUUAUAUCUGUCAAAUUUUUAGUAGAAAAUUUGUCGACAAAUGUAUAGGUAGUCCCUAAAAUUAAUUUGACACAUCCUUAAAUAUCCGUCUUGAAAAUAGGUACAUUAAUAAACAUAUCCACUACGAAUCUUGAAUCUGGAAGGAUGUCUAAUGAAGGAUGUCUAAUUUUGUUUCGAGUAAUUUUAUAAUCUUGAGAAGGUACUGUAACGUAUCAAAAAUUAAAAUUUAGUGUAAAAUUUGAUCUCUUUAUAAUUUUACAAUAGAAAAGUGAUACCUCCUUGAGGACUAAAAUUGCCUUUUGUUUUGGUUUAUACCGAGUAGUUGGGAACAGUGGUUACAGGAGGGACGUGAACUUAAUUAUUAAUCUGAAAAUUUGGAUUUUGAUCUCUGUUUUGAUUAAUAACUGGGGUUGCUUUGGUUGUACUGCGAUGUGUGCAGAGUACGACACGUCGCAGGGGUCGGAGGUGAAGGAGAAGGAGAAGGCGCGCCACCAUAAGGACGACAAGCACGCGACCUAAGCCUAGCAGUUGGGGGCUGGAUUAGGUCCUAAUCGUAGUUUAGUCGGGCAUGACGGGGAUCACCCCCAUCAUCACCUGUGCAUCCACGUUGCCCUAUCUUUGAUGGGCACUAGUUGUAUCUUUUGCUUCUGAACUGUUUUGAUGCAUUUGUUUUAUUCCUUAGAUGUGAUGUAAAAUCUCUACAGUACUUAAUUAGCUAUGUACUGGUACUGUGAGUUCUCCAGCGCUUGUGUCUCCUGGUGUGUGUGAUCAUGUAAUGAUGAGUCGAUUCAUAUAUAUACUCCCUCCUCCUCCGUCAUCCCUUCUAUAGGAUUUUCAAAAAACAUCCCUUCUAUAGGAUUUGUAUAAUAAAUCUGUAAUAAAAGAGAUUUUAGGUGGCUUGGAUAUAUUCUGAUUUUAGGUGGAUUGGAUAUAUUCUAGUAUAAUUAAUUUAGGCAGAUAGUUUUUAAAUUUAUUGUAUUUUUAAAUUUAUUGUAUUGGGACGUGUUACGUUCAUAAAAAUCCCUUAUAAGAUCGAAACGGACAUACCAGAUGAGCUACGGCAGAUUCACAAAAAUCCCUUAUAAUUUAGGCUUAAGUGCGCUCCAUGUGAGGCCGCCGCUCUAAUUCGACCGACGACUCUUUAGGGCUCGAAGCUUCUGUAUCGUGAGCCUUUUGGGAAGGGACUCAAGGAGUGAUGGGCUACUCGCUAUAUUCUUCUCGAAAUACUACAUCCAUACUAAAAUGUAAUAAUUUUUAGCUAAACGUAUAACUUUUAGUUAUAAAUCUGAACACAUAAUUAUCUAGAUUCAUAGCUAAAAAUACAUAUUCAUAGCUAAAAUAAUUAAAUGUCCUAAAUGUAACAACUUUUAGCUAUGAAACUUUUAGCUAUGAAUCUGAACUUAGCUAUGAAUCUGAACGUGAACUUAGCUUUUUAGCUAUGAAUCUGAACUUAGCUAUGAAUCUGAACGUGAACUUAGCUAUGAAUCUGAACGUAAAGUUGUUUAUAUUCAUAGCUAAAAAUACUUAAAUUUUAGAUUUUAGGACGGGGGAGUAAGUCGUUAAUGGGCCUCUAUGACACCUAAGAAGCAUUUUCUUCUCGAAAUAAGUGGUGUUUGGAUAAGGGACUAAACUUCAGUACCUUACUCUGGCAAUCCAUGUUUAUGUACCGAGAGAAAAAAAUCACUGUCACGCAUCGAAAGUUUGGACAUUUGGUCUAUUAAAUAUAGACUACUUAUAAAAUUAAUUAUAUAAAUAAGAGCUAAUUCGCACGAUAAAUUUUUUAAACCUAAUUAAUCUAUAGUAAGCACAUGUUUAGUGUAGCAUCAUAUAGGUUAAUUAUGGAUUAAUUAGGCUCAAUAGAUUCGUCUCGCAAAUUAGUCUAGGUUAUUGUCGGUGACAUGGGACCGGGAGUAUCAUGACUAGAGCCUUGAGGCAGACACAAUCGCCCACGUGGCCUGGCACCCUCGGGGGGCGUCGGGCCCGAGGGUGAUGUGUUCGCCCUCCUCUUUGUCUCCCCGAGGGGGUCGGACCGCUCCCGCCUCGGCCCCGAGGGCCGAGGCGCCCCGACCCCUUGUGGGUUUUGCGCCGCGUAUAUGAGGUAGGUGAGCAUAGCGGGGCUCACCUAACCACAUUUAUUGCGGUUUGGACGAGCGCGUCACGCCGCAUGUAACGCAGUGCAGUGCGCUCGUUUAUCCGGUCAGUGACCAGUCACAGACCGAUCAGAUCGUGGGUUAGGUGGCGACAGGCGGUCUGACGCACGCCUCGCCCCAUCCCGUCAGGAUGAGAGCCUCCAAGCACUCGUCCCUAGCCGGAGCCGGCGUGUUAGCUCCUGGAGAUGGCACAUUGGUCCCGGUCAGAUAUAUACCAGGCUUCAUCCUAACCAUUACAAGCAAGACAUUGUAUGAAGAGGGGCGAACAUGCAGAUUGAUAAACUGACGCGUGGUGGACAAGAAUGACCGAUUUGUGACUGGUCUGACACUGGUCAUGUCGUCAGCAGACAGCCAUGUUCCCACGUCGCGCUUGCUUCCGGCGGAAGUGGAGGUAGGUAUGGGCCGUCCCAUCAGAAGGUCAUUCGGACGGCAAUCAUACAAAUCUCCGUCCAUUUAUGAAAAGAUAGGAUAAGUCCCCACAAAAAAGAGAGAGAUGGUGCAUGUGGUAUCCCCUUGAGGUAUAAAAGGAGGACCUUGCCCACUGAGAUGGGGACUGGACUUUUCCAAAUUGGGAACCCAGAACAAGGGAGAGGCUGGCUCAUACCUUGUAGCUCCUUCAUACGCAGAUCACCCAAAACACAGGAGUAGGGUAUUACGCUUCUCAGCGGCCCGAACCUGUAUACAUCGCCCGUGUCUUGUGUGUUUCCGGUCUAGCGAACCUUCCACAUACAGAGAGCUUAGAAUCUCACCCUGAGUCCCCGGCCGAACCGGCAAAGGGGGGCCUGCGCAGUCUCCCGGUGAGGAGCCUCACGCUCCGUCAUCUGGCGCGCCAGGUAGGGGGCUCUGCGAGGGAUUUUCUGAGCUCUCGCACUCUUUCGUGUGCGCCAAGCUUUUCCUGUUCAGCCCAAUGGCCGAGCCAGCAAAGGCACACGACCUCUCCCCGAGUAUGAGCGGUGACGACGGGGAGCCAAACCCACGCCGUCGACCUCGUACUCCACCGCCCCUUCCACGCCAAAGUCCUAGGCGGGAGAAGGCGCUCGAGAGGGCUCAAGGAUCCGCGACUUCGACAUCCACAGGAGGUGGAGAAGGGCGGCGAGAUGGGGAGCGUCGCCUCCUCAUCUACGGCGACGGCAGCACGCCCCAGGGCGCGCUCCAAGCUGCAGGCGCGCUCCUACAUCACCCGCCCGUCGCCCAUGACCCGGAGUCUCCAGCCCAACGUUGGCUGGACGAUUUGGCCAAAUUGGUCAUGACUGCACGGCAGCGCCUAGAUGCUGGUGGGCGGUCCUCCGCCACCAAGGCCUCUGGUGCUGCUACCACCGGCUCCGCGUCGUCAAGACGGAGGGCGCGGCGAGCGGCGGCUGUUGCUCGCCAUUUGGCCGCCACUCCUUCGUCAGCGCCUCCGACCCAGGAAGAUCUGCGUGGGGGGCCGGAUGCCCGCAUCAGUAUCGAGCGCCGGCGUAAUGGCCGACGUGCUGCCCACGCAACGGAGGGCGCCUCCUCGUCCGGAGUGUCACAUCAACACGGACGCGGGGAUCAGCCCUCCGUGCCCCCGGUUGGUGGUGUCGGCUGUAGAGCCUUUGUGGCGAGCCUUCGGAACGUCCGUUGGCCCCCAAGGUUCCGGCCCACCAUCGCCGAAAAAUAUGACGGGAGCGUCAACCCCGCCGAGUUUCUCCAGGUCUACACGACCGGGAUCGAGGCCGCCGGGGGUGACGACAGGGUCAUGGCGAAUUUCUUUCCCAUGGCCCUGAAAGGACAGGCGCGGGGUUGGCUAAUGAACUUGCCACCCGCGUCUGUCCACUCUUGGGAGGAUUUGUGCCAACAGUUCACCAUGAACUUCCAAGGCACAUAUCCGCGCCCAGGUGAGAAAGCAGACUUACAUGCAGUCCAGCGAAGGGAUGAUGAGUCACUUCGCUCAUACAUUCAGCGGUUCUGUCAAGUCCGCAACACCAUACCAUGCAUCCCUGCACAUGCGGUGAUCUACGCGUUCAGGGGGGGUGUGCGGCACAACCGCAUGCUCGAAAAGAUCGCCUCCAAAGAGCCCCAGACUACCGCGGAGCUUUUUCAGCUCGCAGACCGAGUGGCUCGUAAGGAGGAGGCAUGGACCUGGAACCCCUCCGGUUCCGGUGUGGCAGCUUCGGCCGCCCCCGGAUCCGCUGCUCAGACAGGGCGGCGUGACAGGAGGAGGAAGAAGAGGUCAGCCCAUACCGACGACGAGGGUCAUCUCCUCGCCGUCGAGGGUGCUUCGCGGGCCACCCGAAAGGGGAGGCCUGCGAGCGACAAAAAGAAGGAAGCCGACGCUCCCUGACCUCGGCUACUUGGAAGAGCGAAGGUGGCGCGCGGCCCUUCGAGCCGCGCGCAACCAGCAGAGCCUGCGGCGCUACCAUCAGCGCCACGUCCGGGCCCGAUCACUCUGCGUCGACGACCUCGUCCUACGCCGUGUCCAAACGCGUGCUGGACUGAGCAAACUCUCACCAAUGUGGGAGGGUCCGUAUCGAGUGAUCGGCGUCCCCCGGCCGGGCUCCGUUCGGCUGGCCACGGGCGAUGGCACAGAGCUGCCUAACCCAUGGAACAUCGAACACCUUCGUCGCUUCUACCCCUAGUGGGGGUCGGGUGUCAGGUCUUGGGCUCGGGCCAACCCCGCACCCCCCCGGGCGUGCAGGGUUGGCCGGGGGCUUAUCUUUUUUCUCUUCCGUAUUUCAAUAAAAGCAUUUUCGAUUUCCUAAAGGCUGUAUCUGUGCUGUUGUUUCCUUUUGAAGGAUCUUGACUUGAAAUAGGUCACUCGUGUUCAAUCCUGCCCUCGGGGGCUCGGGUCGGCUAAAAUCGCCAAACGGGGCCCAGAACCGAGCCGUGCCCCGGGACGUGGUGAACUCCGGGGGGGAAUCGGCAAAAACCCACAAUCGGGUCACCCAUAACCCUCGGUCACCACGCUCCCGGCCUGGCCAGUCUCGACAUGUGGAUCUCCCCAGGCACUAGCCUUGACCUGCGCCGUUUGAGGCUGGGACCUGGGCACGAGCCCUUGUUCAAGCCAAGACACAAAAGGACCGUGGCACAGACCAUCCUCGUCUCAUACACAGAACAAAUGAAAUUGACACAAAAAUUUCCUCUUUAUUUGAUUGCAGAUUAAAUCAGCCUAUAACAAGAAGAAGGCCCGAAGGCCUCGGAAGAAGAAGGAAAAGAAGAAACUAUUUAAAGAUUGGCGGGGGCCUGGGGGCUCACUCCGAUGCACCCGGGUCGCCAGCCUCGUCGCCACUGUCGGUUUUCCCUUGCUGAUGUGCGCGAUUUGCGACCACCGGGAUUCUGCCCGAAGAGAGAGAGAGCAGGGAGGAGAGGCCCCCGAGCCGAACGGCGGCCCAAGGCCCCCGACGGCCGGAGCUGGCUCUCCGCCUGCUUGUCCGACGGUGCCAGGCGCCCCCGACCCCCAGGAUGGCCCCGAGGCCACUGCGGGAAGGCCGCGCCUGUCGCCCUCUGACCCCGAGGUCGUCGGCACAGAAGCCGAGUGCGCCCCGCGUGGCCUUUCGGAUGGAGAGCGCCCUGGAGAUGUGGCCCCUGACGAAGAAGAUCGGCCCCGCCGAAAGGUGCAGCGGCCCGUCUACUUCGUUAGCGAGGCCCUCCGGGACGCCAAGACCCGAUACCCUCAGGCCCAGAAGAUGCUUUAUGCUAUCCUGAUGGCUUCGAGGAAGUUGCGCCAUUAUUUCCAGGCGCAUCGGGUCACGGUGGUUACGUCUUAUCCCCUCGGCCGAAUCUUGUAUAACCGAGAGGGUACUGGACGGGUGGUGAAAUGGGCAAUCGAACUCUCUGAAUUCGAUUUGCGCUUUGAACCAAGCCACGCGAUCAAGAGCCAGGCCCUCGCCGACUUUGUGGUGGAGUGGACCCCAGCUCCCGAGCUCGUCUCCGUCCCCGAGGCCAGCUCGAGCCCAUCGCAGCUGCCUCACACCGCCCUCUGGGUGAUGUAGUUCGACGGCACCCGUAGGAACCGGCCCUACCUGUCACCAGGCCUUAGAAGUGGCGUCACGCCCGACCGCUUCCCUCGGGGAGGGCGAUCGCCCUGGCAUAACGCCGGGGGCUACUGUCGGUGACAUGGGACCGGGAGUAUCAUGACUAGAGGCUUGAGGCAGACACAAUCGCCCACGUGGCCUGGCACCCUCGGGGGGCGUCGGGCCCGAGGGUGAUGUGUUCGCCCUCCUCUUUGUCUCCCCGAGGGGGUCGGACCGCUCCCGCCUCGGCCCCGAGGGCCGAGGCGCCCCGACCCCUUGUGGGUUUUGCGCCGCGUAUAUGAGGUAGGUGAGCAUAGCGGGGCUCACCUAACCACAUUUAUUGUGGUUUGGACGAGCGCGUCACGCCGCAUGUAACGCAGUGCAGCGCGCUCGUUUAUCCGGUCAGUGACCAGUCACAGACCGAUCAGAUCGUGGGUUAGGUGGCGACAGGCGGUCUGACGCACGCCUCGCCCCAUCCCGUCAGGAUGAGAGCCUCCAAGCACUCGUCCCUAGCCGGAGCCGGCGUGUUAGCUCCUGGAGAUGGCACAUUGGUCCCGGUCAGAUAUAUACCAGGCUUCAUCCUAACCAUUACAAGCAAGACAUUGUAUGAAGAGGGGCGAACAUGCAGAUUGAUAAACUGACGCGUGGUGGACAAGAAUGACCGAUUUGUGACUGGUCUAACACUGGUCAUGUCGUCAGUAGACAGCCAUGUUCCCACGUCGCGCUUGCUUCCGGCGGAAGUGGAGGUAGGUAUGGGCCGUCCCAUCAGAAGGUCAUUCGGACGGCAAUCAUACAAAUCUCCGUCCAUUUAUGAAAAGAUAGGAUAAGUCCCCACAAAAAAGAGAGAGAUGGUGCAUGUGGUAUCCCCUUGAGGUAUAAAAGGAGGACCUUGCCCACUUAGAAGGGGGAUUGGAUUUUUCGGAUGGAGAAGGAUCAGAGAGGGAGAGAGUAAGAGCUCUCUGGUUCUCCAGCUCUUUGUAGCUUCUUCAUACAUAGAUCCACCAAAACACAGGAGUAGGGUAUUACGCUUCUCAGCGGCCCGAACCUGUAUACAUCGCCCGUGUCUUGUGUGUUUCCAUUCUCGUGAACCUUCCACAUACAGAGAGCUUAGAAUCUCACCCUGAGUCCCCGGCCGAACCGGCAAAGGGGGGCCUGCGCGGUCUCCCGGUGGGGAGCCCCACGCUCCGUCAGUUAUGGAAUAGGUUUUUUCAAUAGUCUACAUUUAAUAAUUCUAAGAUGUGAUCGGGGCUAAAACCUUUUAAUCCCAUCUAAACAGCCCCUAAGUCUGGUUGCCAACCGUAAUAUCAAAAAAUUAAUUUAGGGUGUAACUUACAGAAUCAUAUUACAUUCAGUCUUGGAUAAGAAACUAUCUUUGUUCGGUCGGCCAAAAACCACAAUAGUUCCGGUUGCAAUAAAAACCCAGACUAAAGAUGGUUUUUAGUCCCAGUUUAUAAGCAGAACGGGACUAUAUGAUCUUUAGUCCCGGUUCACAUGUUGUCAUGGGCUGUCAGGGCUCUCCGGGAUCUUUAGUCCCUGUUGAAGUUACCAAUAGUGUAUCCGAGAUACACUACUGGAGACCGGGGAGGAGGGGAGGCAGCGGCGGCUGCGCCGGCCGUGGGCAUGAGAGGAGGACGGGCCGGCGGCCGGUAGCGCCGGAUUUUUGUCCUUUCUUUUUUUUAAGAAUUUGUGAUUCAUUGUAUUGAAAUGAAGAAUUUGUGAUUCAUUGGAUGGAUUGAGAUGUAUAAUUUCUUUUUUGAGAAUCUGUGGUCUGAGAUGUAUAAUCUCUGAUGUAUUGAGAUAUUACUUUGAUUUGGGGUUUGAUUCGGGGAUAUGUAUCUCACUCGAUUUGAGAGAAAAUAGUUAGGGAUUAAGUAGUAAGUAUCAAUAGAAACAAUGAAAAAAAAAGAAACUAACCGGAACUGCCUCUGCCUUCUUUAGUCCCGGUUGGUAAAGAUCGAUCUUUAAUCCCGAGUAUUUGAAUCGGGGCUAAAUAUAACGAUCUUUAGUCCCGGAUUCAUAGUCCCAGAUAAAAAACCGGGACUACAGAGAAUUAUAAACUGGGAGUAAAAACGAUCUCUCCACCCGUGAUAGCUGGUUUUGCUAGUGGCAUCCUAAAAUGAAAAGAAGAAAAAUAAAAAACAAGUAGAAGAUCAAGACUCACCUUCUUCUACUCUCCAACUCUUCCCCUCACCCCCACCCACCCCUUCGCCCACUCCUCCCUCUUCACGCCAACAAGUUGCACGUAGAUCGUUACCAACGGCCUCCACCUGGGGCACCUGUUCCAUCGAUCCCGCAUUGCCACCAUUACUGCAAGCUCGAGCUUGGCAAUCACCUUCCCAAGUGCCCGCCGAUCCUGCAUGGCUGCAUCGCCACCAUCACUGCAAGCUCAAGCUUGGCAAUCGCCUUCCCUUCACACGAUAGCUACGGAACAUAGCUGCCGAUCCUGCAUCGCCUUCACCACAGCUAGCUCGAGCUUGGCAAUCGCCUUCCCUUUGCACGAUGGAUGCGGAACAAGGAAGGAUGGGGACGGGGAGCUCCACCCAGAUGACAGUGGCGCCAGAGCAGAGGAGGCACUGUGGGCCGCUUUGGCGCAUCUUUGUCUUUUUGUCUUAUUAUUAUUAUUAUUAUUAGAAUUGGCGCAUCUUGUAUCGACAUCCCAUUUCUCGCAUAGUCGCCUGCCUUCCCUUCUUGCGGCGGGCGCAUAGAGUGGUGUAUCGUGGGUGCUCAUGGUGUCCGUUGUUUGUUCGAAGGACCAUUGACGUCCGGCCCCAGCACCAGGCCUGCGUCUAUCCCUUAGCAGCCUGCGCGGUAGUGUGCCAUGGCUCCAUGCCCUGAGAGGAAAAUGAAUCAUUGGCCAGAGUAAGGGACUAGGAGGAAAGAGAAUCCUGGCCAGAUAGCUACCACUUGCGGCCUUGCAAAUUUAUCACAAAGUGUAAUGGUAGUGUUAAGAUUUAACGCUAAAAUAUAUAGUUUUGCUAUAACUUAUUAAAGCUAUAACGUUAUGAUGUUUUUUUAAUAUGCAGUUCUAUGAUAGAUUUGCUAUAAAAUCUGUAGAUACGCCUUAAAUAUGUAGUAUUGCGAUAGUUUUGGUCAAAUUAUAUGUAAUUUUGUAAAAUUUUACUUUAAAUAUUACUUUUUAAUGUAUAAAUUUGAAUAUUAUUUUUAAUGUAUAAACUUGACAAUAAAUUCUUUGGAUUUUGGACAAUAAAUUCUUUGGAUUUUGGCGAUGUCAAGGGGAAAAAAAUCCCAUGUCACAAGCUUAAUGGCUCUUUUAAAAUGACAAAGAAAUUUAUAAAAUCUAACCAUAUCAUUUAUAAUAGAGUAAAUUUCACAAAACUACAUGUACUUUGGUCAAAUUAUUACAAAACUUUUGUCAAAAAAAUUAUUACAAAACUACAGAUUUAAGAUAAUGUAUCAUAGAACUACAGAUUUAACAAUAAAUUUAUCACAAAUUACAUGUUUAAGGCUAAGUAUCACAAAAAUAUAGAUUUAAUAAUAAAAUUAUCACAAAACUACAUGUUUUGGGAUUUAAAUCGUUAGCAUUAAUGUUAUGUUGGACUUAUAAUUGUUCAAGUUUUGUGAUUAAAUUGUAACUAAACCUGUAGUUUUCAUGAUAUUCCAUUUUAAACAUGUAGCUUUGUGACAAAUUUAGUGUUAAAUCUAUACUUUUAUGAUAAUUUGAUCAAAGUACAUGUAGUUUUGUGAAAUUUAAUCUUUACAAUAUUCAGAACAAACCUUUUAAAUAUAUGUAUUCCGAAAGGAGCAAUGCUAUACGUAAAUAUCUAUCUAAUAUAUUUACGGUGGCAGAGCCACUGACGUUUUGGCGGAACUUCUAAAAAGUAAAAAAAAAAAUUAAACCUAAGCGAUAAUUAUAUUCGACUUUUAAAAUACCAACGAUAAUAAAGAGAAGAUACAAUGGACGGCCGUAGAAGAGUAUAAUGGUAGCGUUUGACGGGACUUAACCCAACACGACAAUGAACUCUAAAAACUAUAAGAUCCAAUUUUUAAAAGUUCCAAGAAAAGUGAAUAGAAACAGUGAAAUAUCGAGCAAAGCAAGUAGGGAAUAAUAAUUGGGUGACUUUUAAAAACUAUAAAAUUAGAAACAUGAUAAUGAUAAGGUUUGAUAUUUUAAAGUCUUAAGAAAACGAGAUAUCUAUUUAAUAAAUUUUAAGUAAAACAUAAUAAAAAAUAUAUAAUUUUAUAGGGUUACUAGCCCGCGCAAGCAAGCUAGUUUUUAUUAAAAAAGCAAAAAGAUGUGAGAUAAUAACUUUAAGAGGUUUAUAAGGCCUAAACCUUCGGUAAUUAUCCACAUCGACGGAUCCUCAUCCUAAUCCGUUCCCUUUGUCCUGUUCCCCCAUCUUUUACACUGUUGCACUCUGCAACCGACGCAUCAACCUCCACCGCCCUUCUUCCCCGCCGUCCCGAGAAAGGAACCGGAAAAAAAAAAUCCCCAAUUCCCCCUACGCCGAGCAGCGGCGUGCCGGCAAUGUCCCUCCGCAAGCGCCAGCGUUCGGCGAGCAGCUCCCGCCUCAGCACCCUCUCCUCCUCGCCGGCUCCCCACACCGCCGCCGCCGCCGCCUCCGCCUCCUCCCCUCCGCUCUCCUUCCCCAACGCCGACCUCGUCCUCCGCCUCCACCUCGACCCCUGCCCCGACGACGACGCGGACCUCGACGCCGGCGAGGAUCACCGCCCCUCCCUCGACCUCCACGUCUCCUCGGCGUCCCUGCUCCGCUCCCGCUACUUCGCCGCUCUCCUCUCCGACCGCUGGAGCCCCGCCCCCACCUCCGCCGCGGGGGGGCACGGCCACCUCUCGCUGGCCGUGGCCGCUCCGCGCUCUGCCUCGCACCCUUUCCACGCCCACGUCGAGGUCGUCCGCCUCCUCCACACCCUCGACUUCGCCGGCGCCAUCCACUCGCCCGCCGACGCCCUCGACAUCCUCCCCGUCGCGCUCCAGCUCCUCUUCGACGCGUGCGUCGAGGCGUGCACGCGGUUCCUCGAGGCGGUACCCUGGUCGCCCGACGAGGAGGCCCGCGUCCUCGAGAUCGCGCCUCUCCUCCCCGCCGAUGAGGCUGCCGACCUCCUCGCUCGGAUCACGCCUCCCCCAGCCGCCUCCGCCUCCGCCGCCGGGGGCGAGGCCGCCAGGUCGCCCUCCGAGGCGAUGCUGCACGGCUUGAUCCACUCCGCCAUCCAUGGGCACCCGGUCCCCGCCGCAACCAAGGCGUUCGUCGCGAUGCUCCUCAAGGACUACCCCUCCCGUGACUGCGUCCAGAAGGUGCUCGACGAGGCGUUCCUGUCACGGCUGGAGACUGUCAAGGAGCUCAUGGGGAAGUAUGCCAGCCCGGAUUUCAGGGUCGCGGUGGACAGCGAUGAGCGGGACGCGAUACAGAGGCUGAACCUGCAGUCCGCGGUAUUGAAUGUGAGACACUUGCUCUGGCUCAUCGAGAGGAUGGUCGAAAUGAGGGUGGCCGGUAAUGCGGUUAAGCUGUGGAGUGAGCAGGCUGCACUGACUGCUGAUCUGCAGAAGUUGCUGAAUGAUGUGGAUAUGUGGAAGAAUAUUACUCCUGGGCUUCCUGUGCUUGUUACCAGAUGCACGCUCAGGUUCGCCAAUUCGGUUGUGAAUGGGGAGACAAUAGUUCCUCGUCAGGUUAGCCUUCUGAGCUGAUAUUUGCCUUGUUAUGAACUUGCAUCCACGAUAGUACUUAAUGAAGGUAUGCUGUGAUGCCAAGUGUUGCAUAUCUGUUCAACGAUCGCUUAGUUCCAAUCUGAUUAUUUCCUUCUGUUGCAAAGCAAAUCAAUAGGUUUGAGUUGUUUAGUACAAGUAUGUUACAUCUGCAGAAGUAAUCCAAUGCUAUAUUUUGACUAAGCCAUUGCUAUGAUUUAUAAUCGAAUGUUCUCAUGAGUAAUCAGUAGUUACUUGUGGUUGUGAUCUGGUAGCAUCAUUUAAAACAAUCUAUCUUCGGACAUAAUCAUCAUUUAUUUCCCAUUGUUUCGUGGUUAGGAUAAACAUGACUUAUGUACUGUUUUUGGGAACAAUUUUACCACGAGGAUCAUAGGUGUAGACAUUCCUUUAUAUUUUUAGUGCAAUAAACUAGUGGCUUUUUCUGGAUAGUUUGGGUGCAUACAUGUGCAUUUUUAAGAGUUCCAGGUUGUUGCUUGAAGUCUUGAGCAUUAGUUUGGAGUUGUUUGCAAUUUGCAUCCAGUAAACAAGUGCUAAAUCUAACUGAACGAAUGUCCAUAUGAGCAAAUAUUAUUUUGAAAGUAGUUAGUAGGCUAAAUUGAGCUUACCCAGAGUUAGUACCUAGAUAGUUAUUUCCAAUUCCCACAGGUUGUCAUACUUCUUCUAUGAUCAUUUUGUUCUGCGGACAGAUUUUUUUAUUGCUCCUCUGUAAUGUAUUCCAUGUUUCUUUUUCUUAGCGCUAUGCUUGUAAUCACUCAUGGUUUUACCAUUUUUAUGUAUGAUCAUUUCAUUCCAUGUUCACAGCUUGUUUGAUAGUUUCUUUGUAUUGACCUCUAUACUAUCUACAAUGGCUGUCUCUGGUUGGUUGCAACUCACUUUUAAGUGUGCCUGGAAGUUUUUAUGUGUGUAUCUGUGUUGGAUCAACUCGGGUGGGUCUAUAGUUUAAUAAGACAGUAAAACUUGAAAUAAUUGUAUCUUUUCAGUGUACAGGAGCAGAAAACUAGACAUGCAUCAAUCUAAAUUCGAUUCAUGUGGAAAUUACUGUGCAUAUCAGUUUGGUGGGUUCAAUAAGAUUUUUCAUUAGUAAUACUUUAAGAGGUUGAGUUGUGAGUUGGAUAAAGGUUACUUUGUUGUACUUGUGUUGUUGUUUAACUUGAUGGGUCUCUAUGAGUAAAAAAAGCAUAUGUCCCUGCCUCCUCAGAUAGCCAAGCUCUCAACUGCGAGGCCUUUGUGUAUAUGUUUUUUUUCUUCUCUCUGGCCAGGCAGAGUUGGUCUAAAAGCAUUUGGCAGAUGGUAGGCCAGCUCUUUUAUGAAUAACUUUGGCAAGAAAAGCUAGCAGGUCAUCCAAAUGAGAUGGGUUUUUCCCGUAGAUCAGUGUAUUAAAGAAAUGCUCAGAUCUGCUAUUGUGCUUGUCUAAGUACCAUGUCAAUCCACUAGGUACACAAUCAACAUCUAGUUGUAUGAUGGCAACAAUGACAAGCACAUUUUACAACCCUGAACUUUCAUGAAUAUAUGCACAAGAAUUAAAAAGUAAAGCUCAACUCAAACUAUACUAUCAAAUUAUGAACUAUCAGAACUGUUCAAUUUUCAACCAUGGUACAGAUAGUUUUGGUUGACAUAACAUUGAUGGUGUGUGGCCUGAGGCUGAGACAGUUUUUUUUGGGACUCAGCUAAUCCUCUUGAUCUCUGGCAUAGCUGAACACACAAUUUUAUCUGAUGAUAUCCUUGUAGCUCUCUGUCUAGUAUUGCCAGAUUUUCCAUGGAGAGCUCAUACUACAUUAUAAUACACGCUUGUAGCUUUGUUCUUGUGUUUAAUUGGGUCUGACAUAUAUGACAUUUCUGCUUCUCAGGUGAGGACGAAGCUUGUCAGAAGUUGGCUUCCUGUCCUAAACGUCUGCAGGAACAUGGUUCAGCCUAUGCAGUGUGGAUACAAGUCACCAAAUUGCCAAGAGCUAGAGGAGACAUUUCUUCAGAUCAUCUCCACCUUGCCUGUCCCAGAUGCUCAGGAGUUGCUGCAACAGUGCCUCGGGUUCUCGACUCGCAACGUCGACGACUGCCCGCACUUGAUCGCAGCCUUCAAGACAUGGUUCAGGCGUGCUGGCCGGGCUCCUCAAGGUGCAGAAAAUUGAGAUGAGCGCUGCAGCUAGUGUCUGCCAACAGUGGGUGCUGUCUUGUGCGAAAUCUCACAUCUAGUUCAAUGUAGUUCCUAACGCUGUUUCUGUACAUUGUUGUACUACCUACCCUAUCUAUUGCCAUGUAAGGUAUAUGAUAUGUACAUAACAACAUUUUUCUGUUCGUGUGAAACAUGUUACCCAAGUGCAGAUGAAUGAUGCACUAAACUAACUAUUCACGCGUGCAAUGUUCUUCCCUUCGGAAUGUGAAUAUAACUUGACGACAAAUGUAUAUUCAGCUGAUGAUUUCUUCUGUUUAUCUGCCGCAAGAACACUGCAGUCCAGUGAGUUUAUCGGUUUCUCUUGUCUACAACUGAGAAUUGCGGUCCCGGUGUAUCACUCAAAUAAGCUCAUAUUUUGUGUUCUGCGAGUUUCAGAAUUCAGACCAUUCUCUUCAAAAGAAUUCAGAUAGUACUACUGAAUUGCUCGUGCUAUUCUCUCGCCAACGUGGCAAAGCAGUAUCCUCUGAUCUGGUUUAUUAAUUCUUUCUCGUUUGCUGGAACAUUUAGUGGAGAACAUGACUAAGUUCAAAAGUCAGAAUUCGGUUUCUUCCUCAUUCCAUUCAGAAUUCUUUUCAUAUAAAAUAGCUGUGGUAAACUCCUAGUCUCUGCAGCAACUAAAGUCUCCCCUUAAAAUAUAGGAUUCAAAUCUGGAAAGAGGUCUACGCACGAAAUGUCACUAUUUCAGCACAAGUCUCAUGUUCUACGUAAGACCCAGAAUGUUUAGUUCUAGAAGGGACAGUGAUUAUGGAAGUUGUUAUGAACCUGAGUUUUAAUCUAAAAGGAGAUUAAAGAUUUAAGACGCUCUCAUCUUUCACUCGCCAAGGACACGUUUUCUACAUUAUUACAGUACAUUACGUUGGGAAGGUUGAUACUUAGCCCAACCCAAAAUACAAGUGGCCAAAAGCAAGCCAAAUUUGAGAGAUUUUAUCUCGUCGUCUUCCUUCACAUCGACAUUACACAAAGGAGGAGGAGAAAAAACAGAAAGAAAGAAAAAAAUGGAAGAAAAAUUGGAACGAAGAAGAGGAAGACACGAGUGACACGCCAUGAAUUCUAGCACCGAAUUGUACACAUGUGCGACGAGCUGCGGCGACGACGAGCCGACGGGACGGUGAGAGCCAUGGCGUGCAACGGCGAGCUAGUAGAAGCCCUGCACCGGCCACCGGCGGUCGGGAUCGGGGAGCCACGACGAGCGCUUCUUCUUCUUGUCCUUCUUGUCCUUGCUGCCGCCGCCGUCCUCGCCGUCGACCUCGGCCUCCUUCUCGCCGUCGGAGCUCUUGGAGUCGCCGUCGGAGGAGCUGCACCCGGCGGCCACGCCGCCGCCGCCUCCUCCGCCGCCGGACUUGUUCCUGGACCGCACGUACUCGAUGAGCCUCCACGCCGCCGGCUUCGGCUGCUGCGACCGCGGCGGGGACGGGGGCUCCUUGGCCGGCUUCUGCGCCUUCCGCUCCGCCGCCUGCAGCUUCGGCGUCCCCGUCGGCGUCGGCGUCUGCGGCUGCGGCAGCUUCUCCGCGGGCGGCGCCGGGGCGUCGCUCUUCAUCAGCGGGUCCGCGUCGUCGGGGAGCCGCGCCGACUGCGACAGCCGCUCGUACUCCGGCAGCGGCACCGUCUCCUCCGACGACGCCCCGCCCUCCUUCCCGCUGCCGACGCAGUCCAUGAGCAGCAGCUGCUGGUGGCUGCCCCCGCCCGCCCUCCGCCUCUGCCGCCGCGCCCUGAACCUCGAUCCCCUGCCGCUUCCGCCGCCGUAGCGCUUCUCCUCCUCCAGCUGCUGCUGCUGCUGCUGCUCCUCCUCGUCAUCUUCCGUGUGAACCAGGACGUCCAUAUUUAUCUCGGCUACUGGCGCCACAAACCAUGCACCGUCUCUCUCUCCCGAUCUCGCGAUCUCGCGUUGGGAGUAUAAAUUUUGCGCAAGUGAUGAUGGGGGUGCAAAUGGAUGGCGAGAGAGGGAGGGGGAAUGGGGGGAAAAGCUGGGGAAUGCCAAGUUUGACAAGGAUUUUUGGCUCGCGAAAUCGCGUUUUUAUUCAAGCGUGUGGGCGUUUGACCCGCGCGCACGGAGGUCGGGGUCGUGGUGGUGGUGGUGGUGGGCGCCGUGGCGAGGUGAUCCAGCCACGCGCAGACGCGCCCGCUUGGCUCGCGUCGCGUGCCGUGGCGUGCGCGUUCGAGGGCGGGGCGCGUAGGUGGAUUUGGACAGUUUUGACGGCGGAGAAACGGCAAGCCAUGGCCUUCUUUACUUGGUGAAAAGAAAAUUUUUUAGUUACAUCAGACGUGACCGGAUAUCAGAAAGGGUUUUUAACACGAAUGAACAAACUAAUUUCAUAACAGCACAUGUGGUUACUGCAGCACUUAUGGUUAAUCAUGGAUUAAUUAGGCUCAAUAGAUUCGUCUCGCGAUUUCCAUGUAAGUUGUGUAAUUAGUUUUUUUAUUUUAUUUAUAUUUAAUGCUUCACGUAUAUAUAAAAAAGUUGAUGUGAUGUUUUUGAAAAAAAAAUUAGAAACUACACCAGGCCCAUAUCGUGAUCAUCAGAGAGGCCGGGUAGUACACAAAGUGUGCGUUAACUAGUGACACUUGCGAAUUUCGGGAGGAGGCAGGAACGAACUUGGUCAAGUCCUGAACUCUGACCGCAUUAUAUCCCAGGUAGUACUUCUGUUUGUGUUGCAAAUUUAUACAAAAGGGAAUAUAAAAUCACAUUUCAAGUUUCAACACAUCUCACUAAACGACAUCCGCUUCUCCGCUUAUCAGCCAUAACCGAAAUUUAAGUUUUAAAUUUCAUUUGUUAAUUUUAGAGUUGAUUUUGAGGUUUUUAUUAUUGUAGUUUAUUUUUAGCAUUGACUUUUAACCAUUGGCAACACAUGCCUAUAAACUAUUCUUUAUUUGGUUUAUUCAUUUUUUCCAUUUUGUAUUCACGGUAGUUCAAACAUCAGAGCGUUUAGUAGAGAGUUAAAACCGUCGUUUUGUGAGACGAUAUGUGAAAAUGAAAUGUAGAUAUAUAGUUUUGUGAAACUAAUUUUCAAAAGCGUAUUUUUCUUUUAUUUUUUUUUCAUUUACAACGUAGACUAAUGAAAGGGGUAAAUGACUAAUAUCAUGGACUGCCUAUUUUUUCCACUUCACAAAUAUUGCAAGUAGAGUAAAUAAUUACGUAGAAAUAUAUUAGUGAUGGUUAUGUCAACUAGGUUUAACAAAACGCGGUUUCCGUGAAAAUUGGACUUUUUGAACCGGCUCGGGAAAAAGUGCUCGGUUUUCACUUUUCAGUUGAGUUAAAAAAAUAGAUUGAAUUUUAGAACUUUUUUUUGAAAUUUUCUGACAAAUUUCACCAUUAGUCAAUGGUUUUCGUGAAAAAAAGGGAAAAAUCUUUGGUCCCUUUCUUUAAGUGAUUCGGUUCAUGAACCUGUUGUCAAUUAUAUAUAUGUAAAUGGGGAGAGUACAUAUACCACCUCCGGAAUUAUCGACAGUAAAGGACCACUCGCCUUUCACCCCAGUUGCAAAAUACAAACAUAACAAAUUUCCAGUUGAGCUAAUCAAAAACCCUAUUUUGUACGAUCAUUGGAUCUAGACAGAAUGGAUCAAAUUAAGCACUCCUCGAUCGCUAACUGGCCACUCCACAUGACGGUGGUCACGAUCUCUGGGGACGCCUCGUGUCGCUAAACAAAUGCCAAAACCACGAGACGAUUAUCUCUCUAUAGGAUCUGGUAAUCUGGUAUUUCUAGUCCUCCAACGCUAAGCCGAAACUAUAUUAUAGUUGCAUAUGGCAUCUGCUUGGAUUAGACCAAGCAGAUUAAGAAAACGAGAAAGGAUUUUACGCGGCGAGUCGGCGUCGAUGCAGGCAGUCGAUGCCGUGCUCGCACGCUGGCUUCGCUGCCUUUACACGCCACAAGGCCCACUCUUGGUCAAUAAUGUACUGAUCUUAAGACUGAAUUAAUAGGGAAAAGGAUCUCAUAUGCUUAGCAUGAUCAGCCUCGUUAAUCGCGUAGGAGUACUAAUUAAUCACCCGGCCCAGUUCGUCAUUGUGUCCUGAAAAUUAAAGAUAACUGUAGCGAAGGCACAUCUGAUCGGCAUGAUGAUCCUCUCCUAGAUUGGCGUAAUUAACAUGUAAUAAUCCCCGGGGAAUGGUACGGUUGCAGGCUGCACUCCGUGCAUGUAGCCCACUGAAUCUUGGGUGACCGGUUUGAUAAGGAGUUGUUGUCCCCCGUAUUCACCGGCAGGCAGAUUAGUUUGAUGCUAAACACGCCGGAGAUCCGCUGUUGGACGGCGGCAUGUUCAUCGUUGCAAGCGAUUUGGUUGGACCACAUCACUCGAGCCAGCUGCCGGUAGCAUGUGCAUACAGCCAUGCACACGCAGCUUAAACCUUGCUUAGUUAGCGAGAUGAAAGUUAACUUUGGAGUAGUAACCAACUUAACCAUGAGCUAGCUAAGCUGAUGAGCCGUGUAUACAUACAAUUUUGGACGUUGGAAGCAACAAAGCAAACCGAUCGAAUAGAUUGUAGGCAGCAAUCGACAUGAUGCAAUCACACUCGUGGUCCUUGCCGCUUUGCUUCGCGUCUCACCGCGUGGGUGGUCGUAGGCCUAGUCCACGCCGGUCGCCGGAGGCGAGACCGAGAGGCAUCAGUUGUCUCCCGUAAGGUUGUGAUCGAGUUGAUCAAUUAUAGAUCGAGUUACCUCCCACUUAAGUCUCCUGCACACACCUUGGUCAGGGAUCAGCUUCCGUCUUCCGGUUGUAGUACUUGUCCAGCGUACGUCUCCCUCUUCGCCGGUGCCUGUCCGACCAAUUCACCUUCACCAUCCAGACCAUCGUCCCGGCGCGUCAUUCGGGCUCAACACAAGGCUGUUUGGUCGCUGGUUGCGAUCCGUUUCGGCCCAGUAAAUAUGGGCAUGCAGCACGUAAGAAAAAGAUGAUCGAGUAUGUUUUAGUAUGUUUUAACAUAUUGAUCGAAUCAAUUUGUAUCUCUUAACUGUCAUUGAUAUGUGCCUGCAAGGAUGUAUAAUAAGAGAGAUUCACCAAGAUUGGUAAAUUUCCGUUCGUCGCACUUAUUUUCGUCUGCCAAUUGUUCGAUUCCUUCUCCCCUCUCGCACGUGCGUGCGUGACGAAAUACAUGUCGCAUCAUAGUACAGCAGAAAAAAAAAGAGGGUUUGGAUAGGGCUUUAUUCCUAGGUCGAUAAGAAGCGGAUUUGCUCAAAUUCUUAGAAAAACGGAAAGAGGAGGAAAUAAGGAUUGAAACCCCUCAAUCAAUCUAUCUAUUAUAUUAUUAAAACAGCUUUGAAAGGAGACACCACGUUCGCUGUGGAGACUAGAAAAUCCCACAUUAAUCGAAGAAAAAGAAAAAAAAAGAAAAGUAGAGUUUAAGUAGAAGUACAAUAUUAACUAAUUUUUUUAAAAAAAAUAAAUUCUGAAAUUAGAAAAAGAAAAAUAAGAUUUCAAUUAGGAAUAUAAUUUAUAACUAACUAAAAUAUGUGAUAAAAAUAAAAACUAUUGAAAGAAAAGACCAUAUAAAACACAUGACGAGAUAAAUUAAGUAACAGGCCUAUAAAAGAGUAGAGUGGUGGCGGUUGAUAUAACAUAUAAAAAUUGUUAAUAAAACACCAAAUAGAAUCCUAAUGACGAUUAAAAGGAGGGACAUUAGGCAGGCGGUGAAGCUAACAAAUAAGGCGGUUGCUGGGACUUCUAGAAAGACAAAAAUACAUUGAUAAUCAUAUUCGAUUUUUAAAAUUUCAAUGACAAUAAAAAUGAGAAGCACCGGGCAGGGUGUAUAAGAGUAUAGUUGCAGAGCCGCCGACGGUUGACGGGACUUUUAGAAAAUAAAAAAUGAAUUCUAACGAUAGUUAUGUUCGAUUUUUAGAAUCACAAUGACAAUUAAGAGUAGGCGGCGGACGGGCUGUACAGGGGCAUAGUGGCAUCGUUUGAUGACUUCUAAAAAUUAUAAAAAAAUAAAAUUACAAGUCCAAUUUUUAAAGGUUCGGAACUUCUAAAAAAUAAAAAAAACAAUGAUAAUCAUGUUCGAUUUUAAAAUCUCAAUGACAAUAAAGAAUGGAGGCAGCGGACGAACCGAAGAGGAGUACAAUGGCAAAGCCACUAACGGUUUGGCGGGACUUCUAGAAAGUAAAAAUGAACACAAACAAUAAUUAUGUUCGAUUUUUAAAAUCUCAAUAUCAAUAAAGAGAAGAGACAGUGGACGGGCCGUAGAGGAGUAUAAUGACAACGUUUGACGGGACAUCUAGAAAUUAUAAAAACGAAACCCAACGUGACAAUAAACUCUAAAAACUAUAAAAUCUAAUUUUUAAAGGUUCUAAGAAGAAUAAAUAGAAAUAGUGAUAGAUCGAACAAGCAAAUAAAGAAAAAGAUGACAUAAGGAGUAGCAACUGGUGUGACUUUUAAAAACUAUAUAAUUAGAAACACGAGAAUGAUAAGGUUUGGUCUUUUAAAGUCUUAAGACAAUGAGAUAGCUAUUUAAUAAAUUUUAAGUAAAAUCAUACUAAAACAAUAUAUGAUUUUGUUUGGGUGCUAGCUGCGCAAUUGCGCGGGUCACCCAGCUAGUUAUCUCCAAAGAUACGAUCGGAUUUCACAGAGGAGGUGGCUUCAGGGAGGCAUCGGGAAGAUGAGGAACCUCGACGGAGGUAGGGGAAGAUACUGUAGCGAUGGGUCCACAACACAGUUAGAGGACAUGGGGGGAUUAGUAGACUUUUGGUUGCUUGCUGGGCUGGAUACGUGAUUGCGGGCCGAGGCCGACGGGAGAGGAAUAAGUUCACUUGAGAUCCCUCAUGUUGACGUUGAGUUUGAAAUACAUCCCUAAACCGCAAAAACCGGGAAGAACGCAUCCCUCAUCUUUCAAAACCGGUGCAAAUAUAGUCCCAAAGGCCAAAGCAGUAUUGAAGAUGGUUUUAGGUGACGUAGCGCUGACAUGACACAAUAAGCAAAAUAAAAAAAUAAAAACCACAUAGGACCCACAUGUAACUAUGUAAGGGUGUGUUUAGUUCACGUCAAAAUUGAAAGUUUGAUUGAAAUUGGAACGAUGUGAUAGAAAAAUUGAAAGUUUGUGUGUAGGAAAGUUUUGAUGUGAUGGGAAAGUUGGAAGUUUGAAGAAAAAGUUUGAAACUAAACUCGGCCUAAGUUAUAUUCUUUUUAUCCCCUCUCGCUCCUGUCAGGCGGCGGCCAUUGCUGCUCCGAGCAAGGAGCAGCGGAUAAGAGCGACGGCGGGCAGGGCAGGGCGAGCGUCGACACCUCGAUCUGGGUCACCGCCGUGCUUGUCGGCAACCACGAGGAGAGGAAGGAGAGGGGGCCAAUAUGUGUGUUGUUGAGGAAAAAAAAUUAUGCGUAGACCGGCUGCAAAACCCGCAGCGUGCAUACCCGACUUAAAUGGGCGGCACAUGGACGAGGGAGCAAUCCGACGGCGCCCCUGCGCAGCUCCAUCCGCACCAAGAGAAGGCUCAGCUCGCUCAUGUCGACUCCCACAACCAAAAGCGCGCAUCGAGCCGAGCGUGAGGAAUGGACUGGCUCUGGCUUAGCGACUCGCUCGCAUCCUUUUCUUCCGCUUUUCUUUCCCCCGCCGCCGUCGCGAUCUCCUUCCCCAUCUCGCCUCAUCUAUCUGGAUCGUCUCUCCUCGGCGCCGUCGGCUAGCCGGUAAUCCCCUCCGUUCAACAACCGAUGCGGUCACCUCUCUCGCCUGCUACCGUCGUCGCCGCCUCCCCUGUGUUCCCCUCCGCGCGCCUCCCCCCUGGCUACGGGCGCCAUUGGUGACGGCGGCGGCGGCUGGGUCAGCUAAAGCGAGCACGAGGUGUGUUCCCCUCUACCUCCCUCCUGGCCAGGGGCAUCGGGCGCCUUCGGUGAAGGCCAUAGGCCCACAGCGGCUGGGUUGGCGAGGACGAGCAGAAGGCUAUGGAAGAACAUGCAUCGAUCUGGACUGCAAAUCUGCAAUGCAACGCGUCGCCGGAAGUCAAGCAACGAAGAAAGUAGUAGUUGAUAUGUCUGAUCAUUUGCCCAUGUCUCUCUGUCUUUCAUCAAAAUGCUGGGGUGUUGGUUUCUGCAAUUUCGCUAUUGUUUAACCAAAUUAGUUCCUCAGACCUCAGCUAGUCUUGCUGAAAGUGAUGGGAUGUAUGAUGUAUCGCUCGCACUGAGUGGACUGUUUGCAGCAAUGACAAAAGCUUAUGAACUAUACGGCAUCUUUGGUGUUAUGUAAUCUAGAAUGUGAUGGAUUGAUGUGUAAAAAAGAUUGUGAUUGUUUGUCUGGUUCCUUUCAAAUUAAAAUGAAAACUGAAUUAUGUAAUCUGAAAUCUUGAAGGUCAAACCUGGAAUGUGAUGUCCAGAAGAUAAAUCAUUCUCAAACAAUAUUGUUGAUCAUGCAUAAGUGUAACCAGAAAGUAUUUUCUAUACCUGGAGGCCAUGGCAUCUAGGCGUAUGCAUGUAAUUUAAUCGCUCAUCUAGUUAUUUGAUCGAUAGUCAUGUUUCUUCCUAUUAGUUGAUCUGUGACUAUAUAUAUGCUAUAGAUUGCACAAGCUAGCUUUGAUCAUUCCUCAAGUUGGAUGGCUUUAGAUUUUAUUUCCAUUUACAUGUUGCACUAUGUUCCUUAACUGUACUCUUUUAUUAUGUUACACCAUAAUUUAUUUUCAUUCGCAGUGUCUUCCAGAAAAUACUUUCGAGUCGAGCAUACAUGUAUUUGUAUUUUCUGCUCCUCAUCGGCUCCACGAUCCCAGGCGACUACGUCGUUCGCACGCACAGGUGAGAGAAACGGGUCCACUACGGCAGGCGAAUCCCGGCGGCUAGGUCGACCUUCUCCUGUCUUCGAUCUGGCGCUGGAAGACGAAGCCGAAAAAAGGUCGCUUUUGCUGGGAGCUGAGUCCGCGUCAGGCGCCGUCCUUGCCGCCGCAAAGCGAAGCCGGCCGAUCGCUCGAGUGGGAGUCGACGCGAGAUCGCGAGCGAGCCGAGCUGAGCCUUCUCUUGGUGCUGAUGGAACACGAAGUCGUGAGCGAGCCGAGCUGAGCCUUCUCUUGAUGCGGAUGGAGCCGUAAGGGGGCGCCGUCAGAUUGCUCGCUCGUCCACGCGUCGCCCAUCUAAGUCAGGUAUGCACCGCGCUUCGUUUGAAGCCGAUCUGCACAGCAUUUUUUUUUCCGUUGUUGCUGUUGUCGACGUAGCAACAGAGAAUACAAGAGAGUUCGUUGGCGCUGCAUAUAUAGGAGUAGGAUUCAUUAAAGUUGUAGUGGCACAAGAAGAAGUAGCAGCAGCGUCGUGUUCCACUUCCAGUGACACUGCCGCAUCCCUGCUGCUGUCGACUGCAUGCACGAAACACGAACAUUCGUCAUCUCCGGCGGCAUCCCUUCUUGAGCUCCGCCUCGCGCACAACGCCUUCUCCCGUUCUCAAGGUUGUCGACCAUCUCCGGGAACGACGACCUUGAAGGUGUUUCGAAAGUUUGACGUCGGCAAGUUCGGCAGCAACCAAUAACCUCUCCUAUGUGCAGACCUCCGACCGGUAGUCGUGCAAGCGCGAGCAGAUGGAGGCCAGCUCGUCCAAGAGGUGCCCAUGGUGUUCGCCACGCUGUUCGCCUUGGCCGUCGUGAUGGCGCUCGUGCCUGCCAUGCCUGUGCUGCAACCAGACGAAGCCACGUCCGCGACUUCGACCGCGGCGGCGACAUGGAAGGCCUCGACAAGAGGCCCGCCGGUGUACAUGGUGAAGCUGGCGCCGACAACAGGGAAGCGGAGCACGUACGUCGUCGCUCGAUGGGCACCGGCGCGCCACAUCGGCCGCAGAGGUGGACGAACUGGACGUCAUCGUGAACAACUGCAAGCCGCCGGACGCUGCUCUUGCUCGGAGCAUGGGGAAAAAGGGAGAUUGUUGUUUCACUUACAGGUGGAUCCCACAUGGUUUUUUUUUUAUUUUUGUUUAUUGUGCCACGUCACCCAAAACCACCUUCUAUAUUUACACCGGUUUUGAAAUAUGAGAGAUGUGUUCUAUCCGGUUUUGUGGUUUAGUGAUGAGAUUUAAACUCGAUGUCAAGAUGAGGGACAAAAGGUGAACUUAUUCUGAGGGGAGAAGAAGAGAUGAAAGCAGGUCGGCUCGGUCGUGGGCUGAGGGAGACAAUGGGCUAAAAAUGGCCCAGAGUGUAAGGAGGGUUUUUAUUUAAAUAAAUACUGAAAUGAUAUUUGUAUUAUUAAAAUUAGCAGCUCUAAAAAUUUCAGAGAGUGUAACUAACUUUGGAGAGCUUAAUAAAAAUAAAUUUAGCCAUAUUAUUUUUAUUUUCCACACUUACUUUACUUUUAAAUUAAUUUAAACAUCUACCUAUUUAAAAAAUACCAAGUAUUCCAGAAAAUUUGUAUUUUAGUUAAUUACAUAAUGUAAAUCUUUCUUACCUUAUCCUCAAUUUUCUCAUCUUUUCUUCCCGAUGUAACACACAUGCUCUUUUCUGGUAACUUUUAAGUUCAAUAUCUUGAACGUAUAAUGUAUGGUAAAGAACGGAAUGUUGGGUGUGGUUGUGAAUAUAUUUCCGUUUGUGUUUUUAUGAACUUAUAUAAAUUAAUCCUUGAUCUUCUUUUUUCUGUAUAUGCACGAACUUGUACAAAUUCUCCAAUGAAUUUCCUUGAUCGAAUCGAGUAUUUGUUUACUACUAGCACGCAUCAUGUGAGGCAAUCCCUUGUCACUCCAUCCGUUUGUCUGUGUCGUGACGGUGUAACGCUUUGAGCUGAUUUAUCGGCUCUCGGCCACCGCGCCGCGCGCCGUGACGUUGAGCUCGGCCACCCUCACUUUCCUCGCCGCGGCGGCGUCGUUGUCGUCGUCAUUCAUCAGCCUGACCACCGCUCUCGCCACAGCCUCCGUGGCCGCCUUGCUGGCAGCCUCACGUACCCGCACACCAACGCGGAGCACGUCGACGAGGAACGUCUCGUUGAGGAACUGCUCAGCACACAGCGGUCACAUCGCGAGUGGCACACUGACGGAGACGGCAUCCAGCAUCGAGUUCUAGCCAUAAUGGCUGAGGAAGCUGCCCACCGUGCGGUGCACCAGGAUGUCCGCCUGUGGCACCCACCGCUCGGCCACCACCAUGCCUCUUAUUUUGGGAGAGAUGAUGCAAUUGCGCGUGGGUUAAGGUCCAGGAAUUCGCGGCUAUAGGAAGGUUGUGUUUAGUUCACGCUGAAAUUGGAAGUUUGGUUGAAAUUGGAAUGAUGUGACGAAAAAGUUUAAAAUUUAUGUGUAUAGAAAAGUUUUGAUGUGAUGGAAAAGUUGGAAGUUUGAAGAAAAACUUUGGAUCUAAACACGGUGGAAAUGCAGGCACGACGACUCGGCGCAUAACAUGUGUGUGUUUUUGUGUUGCUAAUCUGCACUUCUGCAGACAACCUUCAUUUCAGUUUCAAACAUUUUCUUCAGUAAGGGAGUUUUAGAAUUCUUUUUUCUUUAGCAAGUGAAGUGAAACCAGUGACGGAGUCAACUCCUGAGCAGUUUGGGCAGCUAUUCGAGGUGGUGAACCCAUAACAAAAAAAUACCCGAGGUUAGUAGCGGAUCCAAAAAAUUUACUUAAACCCGAGCAAACUUAAUAGUACAUAAUAAUUCAUAAAAACUCUACGGAUUAUAAACCAUUGAAACGGACACAUAAGAUUAGGUUUCAUGUGAGUUUGAUUAACUAAUUUAGCAAAUAAUUACAUAGUAUCAAGUACUAAUCAACAACUAUACGCAGCGCAGCCCGUGCACCUGGCCGUGGUGGCCAUGCCUUGGCUCCGUCGCUGCUCGGGGUUUUAUACAUACUAAGUAUAUAUACUAAUUAAUAUGAUAUAAAUUAGUUAUAAUUAGAUAAUAAACUCGGAAUCCUCGGGAAGAUCAACGUAGGAAUGCCCCUAGCUGUUCAGGCUCCAUCAAUGACGAUUUCACUAUCAACCUUUCGUCAAUCAUCGAAAAACUCUAAUUGUAGUUUGAGCUGCACGGUGCUACUAGCUGUGCUACUCGGAAUGACGAACUCCCGGUCUUUCUGUUUUGGUUUGAGAUAGAUCAGAUUUAGAGGUGAAAACUACUGUCAUGUAAAUUCCAGAUGUUGGUGGUUCGUGCGUUAUAUUGUAAAUACUAAACCUGAGCUUGGGAUUAAUUUACAUGUGAAUGAUCUAAUGAAUUAUUAGUACGGCCAUUGAUACUUGUGUUCUUAUGAAAUAUUGAUCCUGAUAUUAGGUGCAUCUAUGUGUGCUAUGUAUUGUGAACAUUGGUGGGCAUAGGUGCUGGAGGUGCAGCUUCACUAAUAUUUGUAUUUUCCAAACGGCACACACUUGUGACGGCUAUCUACGUCAGGAUUAAUUAUCCUGAAGACGACUGUUUGGCAAAUUGAAAUUUCUCCGACAAACCAGUCCUAACAGGAUUUCCUGAUGGUACCACGGCAGGAUGUAUUUCCCUGGCGUGAUAAUGGUUUUUUCCUGACAUUUGUGGCUGUCAGGUGUAAUCUGGUUUUUUGGUAGUGUUGAGUUGCUAAAUUGCUCAUUGAUUUUUCGGUAAUCUAUCGGUGCUUGAUGGUGUUUCAUCGGAUUGUCACCGUCACUGUUUCCUCCCGAUCGAUGAGGCAGUCACUGGCAAAUUCUAUUCAAUUUUGAGGUUGUACCGACUACCGACCAACCACCUGAUGAACCUUGUACAGUUAUUUAAUCUCGUAUACCGACGUGCUUUAAUAUUUCGAUAAUGACUUAAGGUUACAUUGCUCGUUUGCUAGUUGCCUUUCAAAAAUUCACAGCUCCAAAAAGGAAGAAAAAAAGAAGAUAGAGCGGACGAGCUCGGAAGUAGCUCGGUUUUUAUUACUCCAUUACAGUGUAGCUUCUCUCUUAUGGAAAGUCAGAGAAAUGUGAGUCCCACUAUCAUGAGCCCACAUGUAAGUGGUCUACGUCAAAGGAGCCUCCUCUCUCCACUACCGAUGCUAUGUUAAUGCUGGAUUUCCUUUAGAAAUCAUAAGUUUCUUCACAGCAACAGGACCUAUAUUAAUUGUUGUCAGGUGUGACGAUUCACAGUUACACAAAUCCAAAAUCUCAAGGAAAAUCCACACAAAAAGAAAAAUAAAUCGCAAGCAAAGACUACCAGUGUGCCAUAAAACAUAAAUCAUAGGAUGGUUUAAUACUUGCACAAGAAAAUAAUUCAUCAAUAUUUCAUAACGCGUGACAUCAUCCACCAUAUAUUUGUGUACAUCAUAUCAACUUCCGUUUUUGACAAUGAAGUAUCACACCUUAAAUUGCUGAUUUGUUUCCGUGGAGACACAUGAGCAUUAGUUCCUUCCUAGCUUGUGUCAAAACAGAAAACCGGGGCUUCUUCCGAUAUGUUUAUACAAAUAAAGUGUGUGUUCAUAGAAGUGAGUGUGUAUACCUUGUGAACCCUACGUUUGUACUGUUUCUAGAAAAACUAAAAGGAAAACCGUUGCUUCUCAUCAGCUCUUAUGCACGGAGUGUCCGUAAGUCCGUUCCAUCUCUCAAUUAAUUAGCUAAUAUGUGAGGAUAUAUAGCGGAGUGGUUAUUACACAAAAUUGAAUUCCAGUUAAGGUUCAUCGCAACGAAACCAUAUGGUGUCAGCGAGCGGCACAAGUACUGCAGAUGCUGCGGGGAUGGCCGAUGGCAUGCAUCCGUCGAACGAAAUUUGUUUGGCAUCGAAUUAUUUAUUGGUUUGGCAUCGAUGCAUCACCUCAUACAGUAUAUAGCCCAUCCAAAAUUUUGCUCUUGCUAUCUUUUUCUUGUCACCAUCUCAAACUGUAUAUAGCCCAUGCUAUUGUUCUAUCUCUAUCUCAGUCUCUAUCUUCUUAUUGAACAGAAAAUGGUCUGCUCAUAAGGUUAAAAUGAUAUUUUUCAUGUGAGCAAACACAGUGCGAUGGAUGGAAAUAUGACGUCGGUGAUAUUUCUUAGACAAAAUUCGUCCAUAUGAUAGCAUUUUGUAGAAAACUUGCUCUCGUUAAUGGCCAAAAAGCGUAGAAUUGAACGCUUGUCAAUGCUAUUUGUUAAAAUUUCUCCUUAUUUUAAUGCGAUCGGUUCAACUUGCUGGAAGGCUGGAAGCAAUAUUACGCCAAGCAGUAUUACAAUCUUACAACAAGAAAGCAAUGAUAAUUAAAAUACCGAACUGUUUUCGGUUAUAAUGCUCAAUUUUGCACAGCUAAAAGAUGAUUCUUCAGCAAUACAAUGCUGAAGACUUAACUGUCCACAAUCUUCUUUUAAGUUUGCUAGAUCCCAUCUAAUAUCUGAUUUAUAAUAAUAUUUUAAAACAAAGGGAAUACUAAAUUAUUAUAUUUGAUGAUGGAUAUAAUACUUCGUGAUCAGAACUUAGAAACGCGAACAUAUGCUUUGUUUCCGGUUCGACCACUAUUUGCCCUUUUGCACAAUAACAAUUUUGUACUGCUAGUAGUAGCAGUGAACAUGGAAACCCAAACCAAGAUGCUUCUGAUUGGCAUCUAGUGACAGAUAUGAAUGUAUAAUGCACGUGCUGCCAAGAAGCAAGAAGGGGAAAAGAAAUAAGGAAAGAUAAAUGCAGCAAAUGCCGACGAGCAUCCUCUUGUCAGCAUCCAUUGUUGUUUAAUCACCUCAUUAUUCUUAGCAAGUCAAAAUAAUAUGAAUCCAGAUCAUCCUCACUUUAGUUCAACUGCACUACUGUUCUCAACUGCACACAGCGCAUAGAAAACCGACGACUUCAAGAUCGGAAAGGGAUAGUACGACAGAGGCAUCACAUUGCUAAUACACAAGGCUACUUUCUUAAUCACAAAACAUAAACAUUUUUCUAAGAGAAAAAAAUACUCAUGCAUAUUAAAAAAAUAUGUGACUUUGAAUAAAAAUAAUUAUGACUGAUUGAGAUGGGAAAGUAGGAAAAAAAGAAUGAUAUCGAGGUGAUUGCGAUUUGGUUGAGAUAAGGGAGUAGAGAAAAUAUUGUUAUAUUUUGCAACGGAUGGACUAAGUAGAUAGAGCCUAGAUUGGAAGGUGAGGGAGUGGGAGGUAGAGUGGAAUGGAGGUGUUUGGCCAUUCACUCGGUGGGCGUUGGAGUUUUAUUUUUUCAGCAAUAUAUAUAAGAUUUGUGUGUCUUUGUAUAAAAUAGAGUGUUUGCAUAACAGCUCAAGUUACGGAUCCAAAAAGAGAGAAACAAAAAGGGAAAGAACUGAUUAUGGGGUUAAGGUCUGAUUCUCGCAGCAUCUAUUUUGUGACCACAGUCUUCGCGUCAGAAAGAGUAGCUGCGUUCGUUAGUGUGUGUUCUAUCUUCUCUCGUUUUUCACGUACACAUUUUUCAAACAACUAAACAAUAUACUUUUUUUAAAAAAAAUUAUAUGAAAGUGGCUUUAAAAAAUCAUAUUAAACUAUUUUAAGUUAGUUUUAGCUAAUAUUUAAUUAAUUAUGUGCUAAUGAUUUGCUCCGUUUUUUGUGCGGAAGGAGAAGGUUCCCAACCAAAACAAAAGAACGCCGGAAUGAGGCUUCCUCUUAUACAUGUAGCAGCCACCUCCAUCUAUGUUCGUGUUGAUGUGGUUAUUAAUAUAAUGUUCUUUCCAAAUCAACCGAACCGUAAAAAUGAUGAUUGUGUAAAACCGCAAGAAUGAUGAUGGUCAACAAAAGUACUUUUACAGUUGCUACCGUCCAAUACUAUAGUAUAUUUAGGGAUGGUUUGGUUUGUGGUCUAAAUUGAUCUUACCAAUUUUUGGCAAUGCCAAAUUUUGAUAAGUUUUGACAUGGCUAAUUUUGGCAAGGUAAAGUUGUGUUUGGAUUGAAGCCAAAAUAGCCUAACUUAACUAUUGAAAUGGCCUAUUUUCUUAGGCAUGCCAAAAUUUGGCUUUAAGCCAAAUAGACACUAAACACUAUUGAAAUUGCCAAAUAUUGGUAAGGCUAAUUUAGGCCUCAAACCAAACCAGCCCUUAAUAACUUUGUAAAUACUACUGCUCAAACUUAUAGUUAGGGUGUGUUUAGUUCACGUCAAAAUUGAAAGUUUGGUUGAAAUUAGAACGAUGUGAUGGAAAAGUCGAAAGUUUGUGUGUAGGAAAGUUUUGAUGUGAUGAAAAAGUUGAAAGUUUGAAGAAAAAGUUUGGAUCUAAACUCGGCCUUAACAUUGUCUGUUCGUCGCCAUAUUCCCAACUUUCUAUCACAUCAUAUCACAUCAAAAACUUUCCUACGCACAUAAAUUUCCAACUUUUUUUUUCCAAACUCCCAAUUUUCUUCAUACUUCCAACUUUUUUCAGAAACUAAACACACCCGAAGAUAGGAGAUCCGAACAUCCUCCCCAAAAUCACUGCACCGCUCGCCUCUAACUUUAUUCAAAUAAAGACAAAAGGAUCGUAAUCCCAUAUAGCUGGAGUUGGAAAGGGGAUAAUAAAUUCAUCCAUUUUACAUCACUAUAACAAGUCUAAAUCUAAAAUACAACAAGCAUUUAAUAAAAAAGUUAUGCAUGAAAUCUGACUAAAAUAGAAGAUACAAUAACGCAUAUACCAAUUCCUAUUAUACUCAUUGUUGGGUUUUAACCCUAAAUUAUUAUUAGGUUUAACUUUUAUUUUUGGUGUCGCUCAUAAUCUAUAACGAGGCUAAGGAUAGGAAUAUAAUGGACUCUAUUUUCAUAUAUGUAUUAUAUAUGUUACUUCUAUACCGUUAGACUUUUAUAAAUCAUAUCAUCAACCAUGAUCGUACAUUUCAGUUAUACGAGUUUAUAAUAUAAUAAUAUCUGGCACAUAUAUGUUAGCCACAUGCAGGAGCGGAUCUAACGUGGGUGCAGGGGAACUUGAGUCCCCCCUACACCCACAAAACCCAUGGAUACCCUCUAAGCCCCCCUUUAAUUUUUUCAUCAUAGUUGAUAAGAUAGGAGGUGCUAAAGGUCUCAUAAUAGUAUUUUAGCAUAGUUUAAUACUAAGAUUAUAUGUUUAUAUCGGUGUACUCAGUAUGUUGAGUCCUCCCAACUUUUUAUUUUUGGAUCCGCCCCUGCCCACAUGCCCACAUAUAUAUAAGAUUAAUUCAAAUACAACCGUAUAACUCAACAGCUUAUAGCAGGUACAAUAAUAAAAAUAAUAAACUAUAAGUUAGCUACAAUCUUAUAUGGAGAAGAUAAAAGAGAAGAGAGAAGAUAAGCGGAUUACAGAUUUGUAGCCAGUUGCGGCAUGAACUCCAAAACGUUAUGUGUGCAUAACAUGUGGGACCAAUUAUUAAUGAGUAGUAUAUAUUUGAAGUUAACUAUUAUAUGAAUUGGCUAUUAGAUUAACUAUAGAUGAUUUGAAGCUAGUAAUUGCCUAUACUAUUAAACUUGCUCUUAUAGAGCUGUCUCUAUAAACAAACCUAGCUACUUCGCAUGCACGAUUUCCGGGAUCAAAACACAUGUCUCGAAUAUCAACUCCUUGAGUUAGAUUGCACAUCAAUCGUACCCUAUUACGUAAUACUUUCACACUUUACUAUAAUUCCAACACUCGUAUGAUACGAUAUUACGGUAUGGUGCGUCCACCGUGCACACCAUUAGGGUCAGGAUCAGGCAUGGGCAAACUAGAGCUUGAGUAUCAUGCCUAGCUCCAUAAACCUUAUCAUGUCACUUUUGGAUUGAAAAUUCGUCCAAACAAGCUUGUCAUUUUGGGAGUAUCUUUUGUAACAUCAAUCACCUCUAAUUUAAAAUGUUCUCCAUCUUAUCCUCAAGUACUAACCAUAUAUUACUUAAUAGAAGGCACUAUAGUGAUUUUUCCUAAACCCUAAUCUUUGCUAAAUAAUCUAGAACGAUGAUUUUGUUGGAACGGAGGUAGUAUAUAUAUAAUUUAUGAAAUAUUUAAGCUUCCAUUAGCUCAGUCCACUACUAGGAGAACGGUUUUUCUAUGUGGUUAAAUUUAAUUUUCACGUGCGGUGGGCUACCCGCACACACCCAGGGGUCUGAGAAAAUCGUGAUUUUUGCGUGUGGGUGGCACACCGCACGGAAAAAUAAAAAUCCUAAAAAAUUAAAAAAUUAAAAAAUUGAAAACCUAGAAUUGGGCGGCGCCGCCGCCUCCUCCUCGUCCUCGUCCUCGUCGGCGGCGGCCGAGGACGCCGCUCCCGCACGGAAAAAAUCAAAAAUGAGCUUAUUUUUCCAGACGCGACCAGUUAUAAUCCGUGUGUAAACUAAAUGCCUCCCUAUCCAAGAAAAUAGUUUCUUUAGAGCGGGUACAAUAAGUGACUAAUAGCUAACCUUCGCCUACGUGGAAGAGAGAAAGUGUUGGAGAGAGAGAGGAAAGCAGACGCUUGCAUGAGAGCCGGCCAAGCACAAGCGCCUAGGCCAAUUCCCCAAUCUACGAACUGCUGCAUGUCAGUAUUCUAAUAUGGCCCAAAGGGAGCAAUCCUGGUGGUCCCACACAUACAUAAAAAAUGGUUCUGUCAAGAUGCUUUGAAUGACGUGGAUGUAAAUUGGAGCUGAUGCUUACUCCACUAUUAAACCUGCUCUUAGCAGUCUCCAAUGUUUAUGAUCAUAAGUAGCAUUAAGGUGGGUCCCAUUAUUCUUAUAGUUAUUACCACAAUGUUUAAAGCAAGAGUAACCUUUAAGAUGGGUCCCACAAUAUACUAUUCUAGUACUUCUUUUAUUAGCCAUGUAAAUUUUUCAUCCUCACAUUCAUUUUACCCUAUUAUUUUAUUGCUUGUGGUCAAGCCAUAAGCUUAAAGCUUUCUUUUGCAUUUAAUGCCUUAUGGCUUUGUUUCACAAUAUAUAUGGUCACUAUAAAACCUUAUGGCGUCUUCUUAUGGCCACAUUGUGGCUGCCCUAAGGGCCUGUUUAGAUCCAUUUGGAAUAGCAAAUGGUAAAAGUUUUGGUGGCAAAAGUUUUGUCAUUGCAAAAGUACUGCAUGUUAAAGUUUUGUCAUUCUAGCACUAAAGUGAGAGAGAGAAAGAGAGAGGGAGUGGUCCCAAAGCACUUUUUGGCACAAUUUGCUACUAUGGACUAGCAAAUGCCAAAUGCCAAAUUGCCAACUUUUACUACUAGUAUUUAGAUCCAAAAUGGCAAAAAGUGCUACAAAAUGGCAAAACUUUUCCCAUUUUGGAGGAUCUAAACAGGGCCUUACACCAUAUCACAUAAUACUUUCACACUUAUUACUAUAAUUCUAACACUUUUCUCACUAACCAUUCCGAUUUUACUUCGGUUUCCGUUAGCACGUUUUUCAAACUACUAAAUGAUGUGUUAUGUGUGAAAACUUUAUAUAUAGAAGUUGCUUUAAAAUAUCAAAUAUAUAAAUUUGUUAAGUUUAUAAUAAUUAAAAACUUAAUUAAUCAUAUGCUAAUAGCUUUCUCGUUUGACAUACGUUAAUUUAAUAUUCAUCUUCAUCAUCAGCCACCUCACACGAUGCAGUAGGCCAAAAUUUUAUUCCAUUAUGUUAAAAGAAUCAGCCACCUCACAUGAUACUAUUAUGAUAUGGUGCGUGCGCACUACCGUGGGUUUGAUCGUGACAAACUACCCAAAAAAUUGUACAGCCUGCUGCUGCGUACGCAUCCAGAAGAAGCCCAUCCGUCGGCUUCUCCGCGGCCGCUCGUCCCACGGAUCUGGAAAUCGCAUCCGCAUGGUGUCUGGUCCAGUAUAGGCCCAUGCGACGCCACGCCAGGUCCCGCUCAUCUCUUCAACAGAAAUUAGAUGGAGAUAAAGAUUUUCGUGACACGUUUUUUAAAUUACUAAACAGUACAUUUCAUGCUCAAUUAAUCUAAAAUAUCAUAUUAAUCUAUUUUUCAAAUUCGUAAUAAUUAAAACUCAAUUAAUUAUACAUUAAUACCACCUUAUUUUACGUAAAAAACUUAAUUUUCAUCUUCAUCUUCGUCUUUAUAAGAAAAAAACACCACCCCUCUCUCUCUGCGGCGCCUAGAAUUUCUUAAUCUGAGACCUAGACCCUGUUUAGUUAACACCAAACUUUCCAUAAACUUUCAACUUUUCAUCACAUCACAUCCAAAACUUUUCUACUGAGUUUAUUUUCAAACUAUCAACUUUCCCCGAACUUCUCUUCAAUUUCAAAAAAAAAAAAAAAAACACUGCCCUACUGGAUGCCCCGGCCACGAAAAGAGAUUCGCAAUCGCGAUUGCUGCUGCAGCUGCAUGCUGAUCCCACUGUACUCUCCAGGUAGGAGGACGGGGGUGCGUGGUACAGUUGACAUUUGAUACUUCUCUCGCCUUUCUUUAUUAUUCUCCCGCUCCCGAGACGACAGGAGGAGGUGGAGGGGGAGAGCCAUUUCUUCCUCUUCUUCUCUCGCCGGCGGCAACCCUGCGAGCCUGCAGUGACGCCGCCGCCGCCGCUGCGUCGGUUCUGAGUUUGCUUCGUCUCCGGGCUCGCUGGUAUGGAGACUUUUUCUUGGUUUCCCUCCCUUCCAUUUCUUGUUCUUGGUGUUCGGCUUGGGAUGCCUGGGAUCGAUGGCUGCUGCGAUGCGAGAGAUUCGUGCCUCGUUGAUUCAUCGCCUGGUUAAUACGAGGGUUCUUGUAUUGUUCUUGGUCCGGGAAAAUGUUAGGUCUGUUUGGUAAUUGUAAUCUUCCAUCCAUAGCACCGUAGAGGUAGAGCUCAAUCUUCGGCUAAAAUCUUGGGUAUUUUACGGUUCUGAAACCAAAAAUCUUGUUUUUUUUUUUCUUUUUGGUGAUUUGUUCUUGCGGUAAUUAGGCAUAAUUCAUCUUUUGAGGGGCAAUAUGGGUAGUCUCACACCACAGGACGUCACAAAAUUGCGAAAUCUUGAUGAUGAAUUCCGUUGUAUCAUGGUAUCUUGUCAGAUCUAUGAUUUCUGACCGUAUCUGUAUUUAGUGGGGUAUGCGGUAGAUGUUAGAUUUUGUUUUUGAGCAGUUGCAGAUGUUAGAAUUAACAGGUUCUAAAACCACUAUUAUCUUUAUGCUAGAAUUAACAGGUCCUAAAACCAUUAUUAUCGUUGGUGAAAUUUCUCUUAGUCAAAGUCCAAAAGAGGAUGCUGUCAAUGCUGCCUCGGUAGUCAUAUACAUUGAUCGGUACAUUCCACCCCCCUUUUCUUUGUCCAUGGAGUACAUUUCAUUGAAAUGUCGAAGUCAACAAACAGAAAAUUGCAAACCAAGUUAGGGUCACAAAUGUAAAGCAGGAUCCGUGCUUGCCAUGUUGUCCUUUUCUUUUUCUGACGAGCGAAAUGCCCGUACAUUGUUACGGAAUUAAAAAAAAAUCAUAUCGGCACAUGUCAAAGAGGAAAUCUAUUUUGAAUUAACAUCAAAGUUUUUGCUGUUUUCACUCCCGUAAAAUGGGCUCCAUUUAUUACUAGCGUACAAGGAUUAUCAUGAUUGAGAGCUCCAGGAUCUAUUCUAUUCGUGACUUCUACUGUUCUACCGUUAUUUUGGUUUAGUGGGAGGAUAGACAAUGAUCCCGUAUGUCAGAAUUUGAGUUGGUGGUUGGUUGGUAGCAAAUUCACCACUCACGAUCACCACUACUUCCUUUAGAUGGAGUAUAGAUUCAAUCUGAUUUCUGGCUUCAGUGAAUUGCUUGCCUCUUACAUGUUCUAGACUUGUAGUGUGAUGUCAAUUAGUUAGGACUUACUUCAUGUCAAGUCGCUGGCUUACUGAAUAAAUAUGUGAUAGUCAAUUGAGGAGAGGCACCUGUCACAGACAAAAAGUAUGAAGUUUGAUGCACAAAUAUGGGUCCAAAUCCUUUUAGUAUUAUAUAUUUUAUUUUAUUUAUUCCCAUCUAGUUAUGGUAAUGCAUUAAUGGUUGCAUCUGUGCAUGGCUGAUUGGCUGGAUGCGCAUAAGUAUUCUGUGAAAUAUCAAUAUUGGUGCACAGAGAACUGAAGAUGUUACAAACAUGGGCAAACUUAUUGUUACACUAAAAUAUUACAAACAACAAGACUAUAAGUAUACAGGAAAAAAGUAUGAAGUAUCUCACAAUAAGAGCUUCUAGGCAAAUUUCUGCUGAUGAAAAUUUUUUUGUUCUGUUCUUCGGACUUGUGCUGUCUUGUAAGCUGGUUUCCCCAGCAAAUGAUGCCGUGUUGGCUUUCUAUAAAUGCCAGGUUGUAUGACCUACUUUCUAAAAAAAUCAUUGAAUAUCCAUACAAUCUUUUUUAUUAUUAUUUGUCUAGUAUAGGUUUACUUCUCUCAAAAGUCUUGUAAACUUCUCUAGAAGUUGGAUUUAUCAAGAAAAUGCUGUUAGCCACUAUUGGGCAUAGUGAUCUUGUUUGCAGUCUAUAUAUGUAUGUUAUUCAGCUGUUCAUUUAGUUGAACACUUGCAUUUCAUAUUUCAUUAUUCUUCAAAUAUAUUAUAAUCACACAUGCAAUAUUCAAAAUCUUAUUUCAAAUGAAUGAUCAAAGUGGUUUUACACAAGAGCGAUGAGGUUAAUUACUAAUUAUGUUUGUGUGAUGAAGCCCUAUAUCCUAGUAUUAGCGUCCUUAAGUUCUCCUCUACAUUUAUUGAUUCAAGUAGUUAUUUGACCACUAGCAUUGGUCUGUCUUACACCAUGAUAUUUACCCCAUUUCUUCCCCUUUUGGGGUAACUUUGAAGUUGAUCCUCGUUUAGAUUACUCAUCUAGAAAAUAGUACUCUCUGAUCCAUGAGGAUGUUGAGCAAAGGACCACAUUAUAUUUGAAUCAAUAGCAUGUAAUUUCUGUUUCAGGAUUGAGCUUUGUCAAGAGCAGAAGAAGUCAUGUUUAGCUUUAGGAAAAAGCAUGCCUCUCGCUUCGAUUCAGAUGACAUUGAGCAACAAGAAGCAAAGGUACUUUCAAAAGCUAUCAUGUCAUCUUUUAUAAUGUAAAAUACAUGGUUCUGAAUUACAUCGACACACUUUUUGAAUAUGUUACUACAAUAUUGAUUUUAAUAUAAAUAAAAUUGUCCACCUUCAAAAGUAUUUUUUUAGAAUGACAAAUAUGUUUACUGUGGUAUGACCAUGCUCAGAUGAGUUUAAAUUGCAUUGCUCAAGCUGUUAAUUUUUAUGGGUACUGUUUUGAGUCUUGGCAACGGAGUGUUUCAAAUCUACUAUGCUGUUGCCAAUUUCUCAUCCAACCAUCUUCAAUGAGCAGAUCCAAGAGCUCAGAGCUGCACUUGGGCCGUUGUCUUCCUCUGGUAAGAAAUAUUGUACUGAAGCAUGCUUGAGAAGAUAUCUAGAGGCCCGUAACUGGAAUGUUGAUAAGUCCAGAAAAAUGUUGGAAGAAAGUCUUAAGUGGAGAACAGCUUACAGGCCAGAAGACAUUCGUUGGGUAAAUCCACUAUUCCUUUUUCUUCUCUUGCUCAAUUGAUUAUUUCCCUUGAAAUCUUGUUGAGUGACUAGACCAUCCUAUUAACAGCUUUCUUCUGUAAUUUUAGCCCGAGAUUUCUGUUGAAUCAGAAACAGGUAAAAUGUACAGAGCAAGUUUUGUAGAUAGAGAGGGGAGAACUGUCGUCAUUAUGAGACCCGCAAAGCAGGUAAGAAUUCUGUACGAGCGUCCUUCUUAGCCUUUUCGCCUUCAGAAAAAGCUAAUGCUUCCUAUUCACUGUUUCAAACAUUCAGAACACAUCGUCCCAUGAAGGGCAGGUACGGUUUCUUGUAUAUACGUUGGAGAAUGCAAUCCUCAGCUUGCCUGAAGAUCAAGAGAAAAUGGUUUGGUUGAUAGAUUUCACAGGAUGGACCUUGGCAAAUGCGACACCCAUAAAGACUGCCAGAGAAUGUGCAAAUAUCCUGCAAAAUCAUUACCCUGAGAGGUUGGCUAUCGGGAUCCUGUUUAAUCCCCCCAAAGUAUUUGAGGCUUUUUGGAAGGUACAGGCUCUGAUUCGUUUUCAUAAAUGAAAUAUUGUGCUAUGGAUAUUGUUCUACUCACAUAUUAGAAACCAAGUUAUAGUGUUUGAUACGGGGGAAAGGAAAUCUUGAUUCUUUUUGUAACUCAAAUGUUUCAAUUGCCUUCAGGUUGUCAAACAUUUCCUUGACCCAAAAUCAAUCCAGAAGGUGAAUUUUGUAUACCUGAAGAACGAGGAGAGCAUGAAGAUCCUGCACAAGUACAUUGAUCCAGAAGUCCUUCCUGUAGAGUUUGGAGGAAAGAACAAUGUGGUGUACAGCCAUGAGGAGUACUCCAAGUUGAUGGUGAAAGAUGACAUUAAAAUGGCAAGCUUUUGGGCAUCGGAUACAAAAACUGACCAUGUUAACAAAGUCAUUAACGAGCACUCCGUCCCCGAGGUUACGCAACAGUCGUCGCUGGUGGCUGCGAAAGCGAGCUGAGGAGUAUCAAUCUGCCAUGAUGGGGGUUAUAAACCAAAACAAAUUCUAAAAGACGAUGUAGAGGACUAUUGGUAUGUUCAUGAUAAAUAAAUGGAACUGCAGAAUAAUUUACCUGGGAUGUUACAGCUCCAUGUAUUACUGCUAAAAAUCUUUAGCUAAAGACCAGUCUACAAAAAAUCUUUAGCUAACCGACCUGAGCUACAGAUUCAGAGAUUAUAGCGAGUUCAUUACAAACUAUCACCAGUAAAAGGAAAUAACAGACUUUAAUUUGCCCGGUAUUAUGUCUUGUCUCUGGAUGUUUUUAUCUUAACUCUGCCAUUAUUUGUCUAUUUGGAUGUUAUUCUCAGUGUUCUACUUUCUUUAAUUAUUCCUAUUCCGAACAGCACCAUGAAACUAGGAUGGACAAUUCGGAUUCUCUUCAGGCCUUUAGUGGAAAAAACUUUAUAACAAGUUGUAGGGCAUCACCUGUAAGGUGAUGCAACUUCUUUCAGGCCCAAUGUCUUUCAACCAUUCCCUACAAUCAUUUACACAAGAUGCUUUUUAAGAAAUGGUAUAAGAAAAUUUGACACUGUUAAAUACUUCAUCCGUCUCAAAAUAAGGUAAACUAGUACUAGUAGUAGGGACACAUCGAAAACACAUCAUCUUCUUUCAGGCCCAAUGUCUUUUCAACCAUUCCCUACAAUCAUUUACACUAGAUGCUUUUUAAGAAAUGGUAUAAGAAAAUUUGACACUGUUAAAUACUUCAUCCGUCUCAUAAUAUAGUAAACUAGUACUAGUAGUAGUAGGGACACAUCGGAGACACAUUAUUGUACUACAAAUAUCCACAUUUAUAAUACCAUAUGUCCCACAAGAUAUUUAAAACUUGGCAUUGUUUAAAUAAGAUAUUUGCAUUAAAAAAUGCCGCGCCAGGAAGGGUUCGAACCUUCGACUUUUUGUUUAGGAAACAAACGCUCUAUCCACUGAGCUACAGGCGCUCUCAAUGAUGAUAUGGCCACCACUUCUUCUUGGGCCGGGCCGGCCUGCCACAAACGGCCAUUGCAAUUUUGGCCUUUUCUGAUAGGCCGCUGUCUCAGCUUGGCCUUUUCUGAACCCUGAAGACAGCAGCUCACCUAGAAUUGUACUCUCAAAUGAACAAACAAACAGAUUACACACCAUCAAACUAUUUACAGAGAACCAAAGAGACGAAGAUUCUGAAAAGCAGCACAGAAACCAGGCACUGCCAGGCGUGAAUGGAACGAACAUUUCUGCUAUGAUCAACAAUGAAACAAUCAAUUACAGUAGGGAAGAAGAAAAAGAAUCAGCUCGCCAUUCUUUCUUUUUAAUCAAGAGGGGAAAGAAAAAUAACAACAUUGCCAAGCCAUUUGUCCAGAUCAUGCAUUGGGCACCAACCACUAAUCCACUAUACGAUCGCUUCCCAGUCCACCCCGAAAAAUGGUACCCCUGAUGCCAGUAUGCUGCCUGUGAAGUCAAUGACAUGCAGGAAAUUCACGCUUCGAUCUGUCAGCUGAAAGAAUUCAAUCACAAGGUAGCAGCAGCGCUUCGACAGCUGCCACCCUUCAUGGACUUCUCUUUGCACUAAAAGGGUCACAAGACAAAAGAAAGCUCCUUAAUCCUCGGUGUCACGUGAACCAGAUGGCUCAGGGAAGAUCUCCUUCGAUUGCCUCCUGCGGGAGGAAGAAUGGUCACCAUUGCUCCCUCCGGAUGAUUUGAUCGUCUCUGAGCGUUUCAACAAGUUGUCAUCCCUUGAAGGACCUAUAUCAGACGAGCUAUGCCGCCAACUCCCGAAGAAUGCAGCAUUCCAUGAUCCCCGUGAUGACGUGGCUCUCAAACGGGCUGAGCUAGAGCCGCCGUUAUCUUCCCUCACCACCUUCAACGGAUUCUCUAGUGCUUUUAGAAUAUAUUUCAUCGGCGGCCGUUUAGAAGACCUAGGAUUCAAGCAGGACUUUGCAACAAUUGCCAUUGCCCAGACUUCCUCCAGAUGGUCCUCAUCAAUUAUAAGUGAUGGAUCAAUGAUCUUGCUCAUGAGCUCUUUCUCAUAAAUAUUAAUGUAGCGCAGAGUGUGAUCAAGCCACUCAUUCGUUGCAGCAUCAUUUGAUGCACUGAUACCUAGCCUUCCAGUCACCAGCUCCAACAAAACUUUUCCAAAGCAAUAGACAUCAUAUGAACAUGAUGCAGAUGGAGAACCUGGUUAAAUUAGAGGUUUGUCAAUGCACUUGCAUCCAUGAACCUAAAACAUCUAUAGAUACAGUUAUACAACACAAUUUAACAGUGUCAUCAUCAGUUUCAAACAUUAGGCAGCUAACACUUGAAAGAAAUGAAAGCAAGCAUGGAUGCAUGGACUUACCAGAAGAUCCUUGAUCCGCAGUCCUACAUUUCCCAGAAAACAACACAACAUUAGAAAAUGAGACGAAUUUCAUUCAGUGCAGCAAAAAGAAAUUACAUAAAAUAAACUGGCAGCAGAACAUGAGCCAUAUCAGGAUCUGAAAUGCUAGGAGAAAGUUUCCAAUUACUUUCGCUACCAACGGGCCUACUAGCACUAUUUUUGUCCUGUGCAUAUAGAAACCAAUUUGGAAUUUGCUUAGCUGCACCCUCAAUACAUGGGAGAGGAAGGAUAAUAUAGUAUAAUUGACUAAUAUAUAUUCGGAACUCAAAGCACAAGUUUAAUUCAAAUGUUAGCAAAAUGAAUAGGCAUGAUGAACUGAACAGCGAAGUGCAAUCAAGCAUUUUAUGGAUAUUCGAGUCUUACACGUAGAGCUAAGAAACAGAGUAUGCAGUGCUAAAAGUUAAAACUUACGAUGAAAAUCUCAACAGCUUUGUGAUGACAUUUUGGUGGCCUUCCCCUUCUUGAGGACACACCUCGCUCAAACUCCCAAGGCGCACAUCAAAUUUAUCAUCAAGAAGAAUACUGCUAGCUUGCACGUCCCUGUGGCAGAUCAUGAUCUCAUUAGUUCAACAACCAAGAUUACUCACAUGGUUUACUGCAUGUUUCACUUUAAUACCAAAACAAUGCUUUCCUAGCGAAAUGAAGCCAACAAAGAACUUCUGAUGCAUUUGCAUGAUAUCAGGAGGGGUGCUCAAAUCUUUAACAUUGUCUAGUUGGUAGUAAUAUAGUGCAUAGAAACAUCUCAUUGAAAGUCACAUAAAAGGAUAUUUGGACCAACUGAAUUACGGACAAGGUGAUCACACAUAUUCAGAUUUAACUUGACUAUAAAAUAGCAUGAUAAUAAAGAAGUGCCUAUAUAUAAGAUGGAGGAUCUAGCAAGUAUACCUGAACAUAGCAUGCCAACUCAUCAGAAUUGCAACGUCCAAUAAAAAACAAUGCUACAUAACCGCCCUCCAUUUCCCGCGAGGUGGAUAAACAAAAAACAGUGCUGUUCAUAUUCUGAUUUUUUUCGGUUUAAGUAAGCUAUGGAUCGUAUAAUUAGUACACAGCAGUAAUUCAGCAAUAUCCAAAUUCAUUAAAUAUGUGGCCAGAGCAUUCCAACUGAAAUAAUUUUUUCAUUCACAUAAAUACAAAGAAGUUUAUACCCGAAAAGCAAACAUCCAACUGAAAUAAAUUUUGUAUUCAUGUAAAUACAAAGAAGUUUAUACCUGUGAACCAUUGGUGGAUUACACUCGUGGUGGAGAUAGCAUAGUGCCUCUGCCACUCCUGUUGCAAUUUUCAGCCUCUUUAUCCAGUCCAAAGAUUGCAGGCCUUCCUCUUCCUCCCCUGACUUUCUGUGCAGUGCACUUGAUAAGUCGCCAUUCCGGACAAAUAUAUACACGAGAAAUUUCUCCUCCUCUUUAUCAAGGCAAUGCCCCAUGAUCGGCACCAGCCUUUCAUGCAAUCCUUUGGCAAAUAAAUCUAGCUCCGCCAUAUAAGCAUCUUUCUUAGCCAUGCUGGAAGUUAUCCUCUUCACAACCACAGAGGUCCCAUCAUGGAGCGCCCCAAGGUAAAGAUCACCUGAGUGACCAUGCUUGAUAAGCCUAUCAUCUCCAAAGUCCGUGGUGGCUUCGACGAGCUGGUCAUAACCGAAUGAAUCACCGACCUUUGCCAAGUUUGCAGGCGAUGCAGAAGGUUGCGUGCCAGCAGUAACUGCACCCCCACCAGUUCCAGACGCUCCCAACUGUGUGUUCCGCACGCCACUUUCCCGCUGAUCAUUCCUACUCCCAUUCCUCCUACUCCCAGAGCACACCAAGCAAUACAAAAUGGCAGCAAUCACAGCUACCAAGAGGACACCGCCGCAAAUGGCUCCAAUCAGUAUAUACUUCAAAUUCUUGUGCCCCUUUUUCCUUCCCGGUGAAGCUGGCAUCGCAGGCUGCGGUGUGGGUGCAGGACCUGAAACAUUAUACGGCAAACCACGUGCAGCAUAGAACUGCUGACAUUCUGCCUGGCUACGCUGUCCAGUGACAUCAACGAAGCAAUUCAACUCAAAUGAGAAAUUCCCACCAUCACCAUUGGAUACACCCAGUUUGCCGUCGAAGUAAUUCCCAGAGAUAUUGGCCAGCUUCGUCCUACCGAAAAGUUGGCCAAAGGAUCCCGGCACGCCACCAUAGAAGAGGUUCCCGGACAGAUCCACCACCUGUACAUUGGAUGGAAGCGCGAGCCCUGUAUCCGGCAAUGCGCCGGUGAGGUUGGUCCGAGACACAUCGAGAACGCUCAGCUCCGGGAGCGACCAGACCGCCUUGGGUAGCUCGCCUGAGAAGGCAUUGCCAGAGAGGUUGAGAGUCUUGAGCCGAGCGAGCCCGGCGAGAGCACUGCCAGGGAGCUGCCCCGAGAGUAGAUUCCCCGCGAGGUUGAGAGUGGUGAGGUUGCUGAGGCCGGCGAUGGCCGAGGCGGGGAUCUCCCCCGUGACGGCGCAGCCGGAGAUGUCGAGGAGCUGGAAGGUGGGCGCGAGCCCCGCGCCGAGCCACGCCGGAAGGGAGCCUGGCAGGCCGAACCCGGGCGCGCUGAAGGCCUCGAGCCGCGUGAGGUUGCGCAGCCCGUCGACGGCGAACCGCGGCGCCAGGCGCCCCAGCCGCGUGCGGCGCAGCCCGGCGAGGUCGACCGACACGACGCGGCCGCCGCUGCAGCGCACCCCGGCCCACGCCGUGCAGGGGUCGGCGCGGCGCGGCCAGUCCCGCGCGCGCAGCCCGAGCGAGCCGCGCAGCGCGUAGAGCCCCGAGAGAUCCGCCCGCGACGUGAGGUUCCCCUGCUGCGCCACCACCGCCCCGGGCGCCGCCACCACCGCCACGAGCAGCAGUAGCCGCGCCCAGACCCCACCACCACCACAACAACAACCACCAGCCCGCAUCAUCUCCUCCUCCUCCAUCCACCACCACCACCACCACCACCUCCGCCGCCGCCGCCACUCCCCAUUCCUCCCCACUCCAAACUAUGGAUGGAAUCGCGGAGAAGCCAGGCAGGCAGCGGAGAGACGGAAUUGGGAGGGAAAUUAAACGCAAUAAAGGAGAGGGGCGCAGAGCAACGCAGGGUCGCAGGUACAGAAGCCACCACCACCACCACCCUCCUCCUUGGGGGCUCACCUUCUCUACCCCGCCAUCAAUGCCCAAAGUUACACUCCCCCAACUGCCUCCCAAUUAUUACCCCCUCUCCUCCUCCUCUCUCCGCCGAUCCGAACCCAAAUUCCACUCCACUCCACCGCCGCCGCGGUCACGCCACCGGGUGCGAGCAGCCGCCGCCGCCGGAGCCGGCGAAGAGAGACGACGACGACGAGGAGGUCAGGAGGAGGAAGACGAGGAGAUGGGAGGAGGGAGAGAGAGAGAGCUGAUAUCGUGGGGGGUUUCGGUUGUUUAAGGAAGCUGUUAAAUGUUUUUUUUGAAAUCAAAUCUUCCGGGCUGAAAUGGCAUGCGAUUUCCCCGACGAUUUCCCCGAUUUCCCUGUGCACUGGCUGGCUCGCUCACUCACAACUUGCCUUUUCUCCCUGGCUGCGUUGCGUUUUGACGGCGCUGCCCCUGGUGCGCGGGGCUCAAUUGCCGGCGGCUGCCACUGAGAGGGUGAGGGUGAGUGAACCCGGCCGCGCGUGGUGGGUGGGUCUCGCUCUCGCGGCGGGUUUGGUUCGGUGCGUGGUGGCUGCACGUACGGCCGGUUGCGAGGAGGGGGGGUUUGGUGGGGUUUUUCGGGCGGGUCAACGAGGGCCGUGGGCGCGGGCGUCGUGCGCGUUAUCUUUGGGUGGGUUGAAAUUCAGAUUUUACGUGAUUUUCGUUGACAUGCUUUUUAAAUUAUUAAAUAGUGUAUUUCGUAAAAAAAACUUUCUAUGUAAAAUUUAUUUUAAAAUAUUAAAUAUAUUUAUUUAUCAAGUUUAUAAUAAUUAAAACUUAAUUAUUCAAACACCAAUUUAAUCUUUAUCUAUGUCAGUUUCAUACACCACUAACCAUCGUAGAUGUCGAUUCUGAUUCAUUUUUGAAUUUUCUUUUUUUCUUUGUGCUUCAGAUAAGAGUGAAAGUCGGAUGUAUAAUCUGUGUUGUAAUCCAGAGCAAUGUUAGAUUUAUGUUGUGUGCUGUGCACGUAGAGAUAUUUUUCUUUAUUUUGGGAGGACAUUAUAACGGGCUAAAUAGAUAUGAUAUGAUAUGAUACGAGCAUUUGAUGGGCGGCAGCAUUUAGGAGGCGAAAAUACGACAGUUCGUUUCUACAGUUGUUUACGUGCAGGGGUAGUGUCAAUUAACCACAGCCAGGCAGCCAGCCUCAUGCUAGCUAGCACGUGAGCAUUGAAUGUAGGAUUUCUCCUUUUAAACGGAUGGAAUUGAUGUAUUACUGGAUUUGCACCCUGCAGGUUUGCCGGACUGGGAAUGAGAUGUUGUAGAAGAAUUGCAAAAUGCAUUGGCUGCUGCUGUACCCGCAAGCGUUUCAUAGCAUCCAUUGAUUUUUCCUUCUUUUUUUUCUUCUUUUCCCGGCUGGCUUUGACACGGCAGUAAUGAGUAAUGACAGGUCUAGUUUGUGGUGGCCACUGGACAAGCCACUACUACUACUACGCGGUGGAGCCAUCGCGACGGGUGGAUCCCAGGUCGGACGCGUCAGGUAAUAAAAACGAACAGAAGAGAGCGCGGCACGUCGCGCGAGCCCACCACCACAGGCGGCGGCCGGCGUCGCAAAACCGCACAAGGCGAGGCGAGGCGCAGCGCAACGCAAUACCCUUCACGUCACGUUCGUUCGUUCGUUCGUUCGGACGCCGGCGCCGCGGCGGGGUGGAGGCGUAUCCCAUUCCCAUCCACCGAACCGUAGUCCAUUCUGUUAGCAAUGUUUCAUGCAUGGCAUGUCUGUCAAUAUGUUUCCUUGUAUUACCAAUCCUCAUGAUUCCUCUCGGUGCUGUUCCAUAAACCGAUUGAGCAAUCUUAGAAAGGUUUUCGUGUAUAUGUACUCCACAUCUCAAUCAAUGGAUUUGUGCGUUGAGUCAAUCACUCUAACAUGGUAUCAGAUUCUCUUUCCGCUUCCGCUCCCCAACCCUAGCUCUCGAUGUCGCUCCCUAUGCCAGCCGACGCCAUGUCGUCGCCUCCUCCCCCCGCCGCGCACGACGCCGUCUUCACCCGGAUCGUCCAAGCCAUCGCCGACUCCAUCCACGCCAGCUACGACGUACCCGCCGGACUCUCCGUCGACCCCGACGUCAUCCGCUCCGUCGCCGACGCCGCGGCUGCCCAGGCCAAAACGGCAGCUCACGACGCCCUCGCCACCCACCUUCGGGCUCUUCUUCAAGUGACAGAACACGACGCGUCGUCGGCCCUCGUCGACACCACGUCGCCGGCCGCCGGCCCCGUCGCCACACCCACGUCCGGCGCCAUGCCCACGCUGGUGAUCUUGUCUACUUCCGACCUGGCGGUCAUUGCGGCCAUUGAGCAAUCUUAGGAAGGUUUUCGUGUAUAUGUACUCCGCAUCUCAAUCAAUGGAUUUGUGCGUUGAGUCAAUCACUCUAACACAUUCGUGCGCCGCCCGCGCGCCGAGAGAAUGUCUCGGUUUGGCUCACGGUCGCCUGCCUCUUCCUUGGAUUUUUGCAGAGUGCGCGUGCCCCCGUACUUUGACGGCUUCUCCCGUCCCGUUGACACAACACAUCAUGGAACUAUCUAAAAAAAUGCUAGUACAAUUUUUUAAGGGAAAAACUUUCAAAUCUAACUAUAAUAUAAUUGUAAUAUAAUUUUACUACAACUAUAAUAUAACUCGUACAUAAGUAUUAAAAUAAUACAUGCAACUUUAUAUCUAACUUAUAUAGAUAUUACAAUGUAGUUAUAGUGCAGUUACAAUAUAACUAUAGUAUAAUUAUAUUAUAAUUACACUACAAAUAUACUAUACUUAUACUUACAGUUACUUACAUUUAAAAAAAAUUGCCAAAAAAAUUUGCGACAGUUUUUUAGCAAUUCCUUAGAUUAAUAGGUACUUCUAAAUUAUAUGUAGUAUAUUAUACAUAUAAUUUUUUUCUAGAAAACAAUAUGGGUAUUAUCUUAUAAUAGUGUCUAAAUCAAACUUAUUUACAUCUUUAAAUAAUUAUCACAACCCAUUCAGCACAAAAUAACACAAAGAAUUAAGAAACGAUCAGAAGUGUUACGUAAGCGUAGUUCAACUAGUGUUUUUCUCUUUUUUUAACUAAUCCACCUGAGUUCAAAGUCGUAGUGUUUAACACGGAUACUUAUAUUUACGGUUAAUAAUUUUUAUUGUAUUUAAAAUAUCAAAAGUAUUUUUUUAAAAUAAAACUUUUAUACAUUUUUUCAGUGAUUAUAGCACAGGACUGAGAAAUAGAAAACAGUGAAAAAAAAGGCACAAAACUAGUUCCAUUCUUCGACUGCUUCUGCAGUGCCGUGGAGGCGUGGCAUCGUCUCUUGGAUCCUUCUGAAAUUCCAUCUACUUCUAUCUUCUUUUAUCAUGAGCUGUAUUAUAUAUAAACAAGAAGGGACAUCGAUCUGUUGUACUAGUAUUAAAAUUUCUAUGCGUAUCAACAACUGCCACUAGUACCGAUACUCUACUUAUGUCUGCUAAAACAAACUGCACUUCCAACAACCAUGCUCCGAUUCUUCCCGUAUACAUACAGCUCGGAUGUGCAACUGUGGGUGGGCCCCCUGCACGCAAGUAUUACACCACUAGCCGUGGAGGCGGCCUCGUGUUAGUUAGAAAAUCUUGGGUAAAUAAUAUGGUCAAGCUGUGGAUGAUACUGCACUAUUCUAACCUAAAAAACAACCAAACCUACCUAUACGUGCAAUGAAAUUAUUGAGCUAUAGCAGUAGCUAUAGCAGUAUAUGUAGCACUAUCUCUCAGAUUAUUCCCCAGUUGUAAAGUGAGCGAUCGAUCGAACUGCGCCGUUUCAGUAGGUGCGGUCUCCACACAGUCCAUAUACCUGAUAGAGUGAGCUGUCCAUCUCUCUGUGUACCCUAGUACUGUAUUACUGUACCAGUCACUAGCUCGAUCCUCUGACUUCGGGAAGAUAAGGCAUGGGUGAACAGGAGGUGCAAAACAGAAAUAGAUAAAAAAAACCCUCAAUUAUUAUACUACAUCCGCUUCAAAAUAUAUCAACCUAAUAUUAAAUGAGAUUUAUACAUACUUCUAAACGGGUGUUUUGUGUUAAAAAAAGGAAUCGCUGGAAAACUUCUGCAAGUUUUUACACAUAAAAUUUUUAGAUUUGUGGCCAUCCAAUCACCUUGAGAUUUGUGAAUGAAGAAAAAAUUACUAGAAAGAAAUUCUCACGCAUAUCACGCGUAAGAGCAUAGUGCUAGCCAACCAAAUCAUAGGUGAAUAAAAGUUUUAUGUAAGUUAUAUCUGGGUUACAUUGUAAUUACACUCCAAUUUUAAUAUAGUUUUAUCUGAAAAUUUUUCACUCAAAAAACUUAUUGGGAUACUUUACUAGAACAACAUAUCAACUGUGUAGGAAAGAACAACAUAUCAACUGUGUAGGAAUUAUUUCACUCGUUUAUGCCCUCAAGUAACUAUAAAAAAUUAGAUAAUCCAUCAAAUUCAACUAUCCCAAUCAAACGGGGCAGUGGGAGAUUUAGUUAAGCUUUUGAAACGUUGGCCAUCAACGAUUCCUCAAAUGCUAGGUAAAAGAAUGUGCAGAUUAGUGUAAAAAAAUGCAGUAUCGUAGUACUAUAAGAUCUUUUUACAAACUUAUUAUAAUAUAAAAUUUAAAAUCUUGAUCAUAUUUUGACUACAUAUCAAAUAUGAGUAUUAUUUACGACCAGGGUACUAUUUAACAAUGUGCACCCAAUAAUGAUUCCAAAAUUAAAACACCGUUUCAUGGGUACUGUUUACAAUUGCUGUGCCGUGUUAUCUUGGUCGCCCACCAUGAAUCAGACAGCUACUCUACAUCCAAAUUCAUGUUAUAUGGUAGUGCUUCUCUUGACUUGUUUCUGUGAAGUUAUGGAGGAGUACUAUACAAAUCCUCACGCAAUAGGUAAACAAAUGAUUCUGCUGGGAUAUAUAUGUGGGUGUGAAUAUCAAUAUUUUAAAUAGCGGGCUAAGGUAUUUAGCGGUUAGCUUCUCAAACAGUUAUAGCGGCAGCUAUAGCGGGUUAAAUAGAGUUAUAGCGGCUAAAUUGUACACGAGAGCAAAUAGCUAGAACCCUUCUCAAACAGCUAUAGCGGGAUAGCGGGAGAUUUAAAACCCUGGUGAAUAUACGAUGAUAUAUAUGACUGCAUUAUUAGAUUAAUUAUUACUAGGCACUAAUUAGCAUACUUAUGCUUAACCUAAAAUAGAUGAUACUGGCUAUUGCAAAAUGCAAGCAGGUUGUUGACAAGAUUAGAAGCUUGAGCCAAUUAUAGGAGACUCUAGUCGCUGGUAUAAUAGCAUGCACAAAGUACUACUAGCCCAGUGGCACAGUACAGCCAGUAGGUUAAUUUGCUUAUCAAUGCAACCAAUAGCACUAGCAUCAACGGUUAGAAGGAAGUUGUACAGCAUUACAUAGGCAAGCUAGCCAAGUAGCGAGACGUUGAUCUCCAACUAGCAAGAAAUUAACUAUGUUGGUACUAAUUAAUGAAGUCUAUUCUACCGAUCAAUCAACAGUGUCAAGUAGGUAAAUGCGUUGAGAAUUUUGUGAAGACGCCAAUUAAACAAUUGCGUGGAUAAAUAGUUUGUCCAAUCGAACAGUAUGCAACCAUCCGAUAAUUGAAAAUUUACUUUAAUUUGCACGUCUUCUACUUGUAAGCCACAGCUGCUUGGUAAUCUCUAAAUUAAAGUAUAAUAAGAUGUGAUUCUAUCCUAGCUCAUACCCGGCCUCCAAUGAAGUUCCAUAGAUCUUAAAGCACUUACUUAGGGGUAGUUAAUAGUCAACAACAAUUGAAGCAAAGCGUGAGUGUAAAUCACUUAGGAAUACUACUCAGCAAAUUUGAGAGUUAUAUUUCAAAUGACAUUAACCAACAAAAAAAAAUUAACCUCCAUGUAGAAUUAUUCUUGACAUUAUAUCUGUUAUAAUUUGAUUUCUAAUUUAUUUUUUGAAUUCGAAUUCUGAAACUUGAAUUGUAGAGACAUUAGUACUGAACUACUGAUGAACUUUCUGAUGGUGCUAUCAACGGGACAAUUAAUCAUUCACCAUGCUUGCUGCUUCAAAGCCAACCGUUGAUCCAUUCCAAUAAAGGAGGGAAGAAUAAGAAUAAACACGUCUGAUGGCAUAUCGUCCUUUUGAAAAGGAAUCAAGCGCUGUACAAAAGUCAAAAUGGCUAUAAAGCCCACUAAAAGCAGGUACAAUAGCAUGCUAUAAGCCAGCUGCAAACAUAUUUUAAGAAGAUAAAUGAGGAGAGAAGGGCAGCGGGGUACAGAUUUGUAGCCAGUUGUAGCACGGAUUCUAUGACACAGCGUGUGUAUGACGGGUGGGACCAUGUAUUAAUAGUGUAGCAUAUAACUAUUGUAUGAAUAAGCUAUUAUAUUGGCUAUAGAUAAAUUAGAGCCAGUAGUUGGCUAUACUAUUAAACUUGCUCUAAUGAUAGUAUACUUUUAAGAUGAUUUAAUUUCACACGCAUGCGCCUGCUAUAAUUAAUUUAAUUUCAGCUUAGGAGACAAUAAAAUGCAUUGCCGUUCUGCAAAGAACACUAGAACGAACAUGCCAGUUUUUCGAAGCAUCAAACUAAAAUACGAUACGUUAUGUAGAUUUUUGUUAACUUUAGGUGGAGAUUUACAAAUAACUUGAAUAAAUGCAUGUCUCCUUUAGUGUUAGAGCAUUAGUCUUUAUAUCGUGAGUUAUAGGAUUGCAUGUGCUCUCUGUUGAACAAAUUGUGUAAUAAGUGGUUGUAACUUCGUUGAUGCAAAGGCCAGAUUUUAUUCCAUUAUCUAAAAAAUCUAAUUAAAGAUAACGUGGAGGAGUCGUGAACAAAUUAUUUCUCUCGUCAGGGUUUGAAGCCUUAUGCCUAUGAAUAUUAUGUACAUGUGGCUAUUUCAGUGAUUAGUUUUGGUUUACCCUUUCCAAGAGGAAAAUUUUGAGUGCAUUACUAUUUGUUUGGUACACAUUUAGCCGGCACGUCAGUUUCACAGGAUAGGAUAUAAUUGAAAACGAGCAUGAUAUAAUUGACCUGAUCACUCUCUCUCUCUCUGUGUUUUUCUUUUGCAGCAAUAGACCAUACUAGGUAGCAAAGACUAGCAACUAUUGACGUUAUCGCUUUAAUUUGUUUAAAAUAUUUAACUAACUCAACAAAGCACAAUAUCUUCCUGAACAGUAGUAUCAUCCUAAAAUAAGAAACUUAAUAAAGUUAGAAAAAAAUAUAUGGUGACUUGAUAAAGUUAAAGAUAAAUGAAUUGAAACUUGAUAAAAGUGAAGUACAUUUUAGUAUUUUAAAUUUUUGUAUUUGUAUGUGUAUCACGGGCUAAAAGUUAUAAUUAAUUAUUUUAGAAUGGAGAUUGUAAGAGGUCAGGUCAGCGUCCAAUCAUAAAGAGAAAAUUAUCCGGUCAAACUCAUAUAUUAAGAAGUUUGCGUGUCGAUGUGAAGAAAAGAAAAGUUACGACUAAUAUCAUGCUACCUUUUCAAAA
rnacentral:lncRNA from 1 species